AAAAAAGGGAGAUAAACUUCAUCUUCUCUCGCUGACUGUUUCCAUCUUCCCAUUCCUUAUUUCCACUUCAGAUCUAUGCUUUCAAAUCACCAUUCUAAGAUGAUUCCAGCGAAGUAAAAGGAAAAUGAGCAUGUAUGGGAGGGAUCCGUAGGGAAGCCCACUGGAGAUAAACACGGAGGACUGUGUCAACGACAUCAGCCGAACAGCUUUUUCAGUGGUUGCUGGUGGUGUCAAGUAAGAUUGGGUGGUGAGAAUCGAUUUAUUCCGGGUAAAGAAGAUAGAAGAAUAUGAUAAGAAGUUGAAAAGUCGACGGUGGAGAGAAUCAAAUUAUUCUGGCGAUGACUGGGAGCUGGAGGAACCGCUUUAGGAGGAGGAAAGAAGGCAACAGGUGAGAAAUCGAAGGAGGUGGAGGUGGAGGUGUUGGUGGGAUGGCGAUAAGGCAGUGGAUUACUUGAGGACAAAAUCUUUUUGUUUUAAGUUUUUGUAUAAAAGAAUAAAAAUUUUGUUUGAUGGUUUGUUUUAUUUUCAUUUUUUUAUUGAUUACUUAAGUUCGUCACAUCAUAUUCCACAUCAACAUUGGUGUUUCAUUUUCUAUUAACUUGAACGGAAGCGUUAACGAAAUCUCGUUAAAAGACAGAUUUGAGAUUUAAAAUAGUUUGGUUAAAUUUGACAAUCCGUUUAAAAGUUGGGCUAUAUUUGGGUAUUUGUCCAAAGAAAAGAGAUGUUUUUGUACAAAAUUGAAACCAAUGUGACUCCUGAGGUUAAUUAGCCGUAUAGAAGGAGAAUCGAGAAAGUCAAAAUGUUAAAUGGUGUCUGCAGUUUGUGCCAUACGCCAUACCUGCUUCUUUUCAUUUUCGAUUUUCCGCCAUAGCUAAAUCUCAAACAAACCGCCAGUGUGCUUUCGAAAAAAAAAUCAAACAAACCGCCAGUGACCCAACCAGUAUUUGGAUUCACAACACCGCUGCUCCACUCAUAGUACUAUAAUCUCAGCUAUUUGUCCACUUGCUUGCUUUCCGUUCAUGGAGAUGCCCCCGUCCGAAGAUCUGCUCCAGAAGCUUCAGGAUCUGCAAGAUAGACAAGCUAACCUCCAGCAGGAGAUGACCAAUCUUAGGCUCUCCACCGAUACCAACCAGGAGAAUAUGCUCCACCAACAGCAACAGCAGCAGCAUCACCACCAUCACCAUCACCACCACCAUCCUCGCGCUCAGUCAAUUUCUCCUCAGCGUAUGCGGAGUUUUGAAGCCGAUUCUGAGAUUAAAAGAUCCUCGCCCCCGUUCAGACCUUCUUCUACUCAGCAGAGAGAGUCUCAUGGUCCGCACAACGCAGAUGGCGGCGACGGUAAUGUUGCCGGUCCCUCGGCUAGCAAGUUUGCAGAUAGUCAGUAUUUGAAUAUCUUGCAGUCUAUGAGGCAAUCUGUACAUCUCUUUGACCUUUCCGGUCUUAUUACCUACUGGUGAGUGAGUGUUCUGUUCACUUCAUAUGUUUGUUUGUUGCGAGAAUUAUUUUAAUUUCGAUGGUUGAUCCAUGGCGGCGGAGGUUGACUAUUGGUUUCUCAGUCUGUUGAUGCGAGACUAGCUUUCUACUUCAGAUAGGAGCUAGAAUUCAGCUUCUGUUAGCAUUCAUGAUGUUGAACUCCGUGCAUGUCUUGGAAAUUGUGCAGGAAUCGAACUGCUGAAAACCUUUAUGGUUAUACCGCGGCGGAAGCCAUAGGUCAGGGCGUUGUUGAGCUGUUGGUUGAUCCGAGGGAUUAUACGAUGGCAGAGGAUAUUUUUCACCGAGUAACUCUGGGAGAGAGAUGGACAGGACAGUUCCCUCUAAAGAAUAAGAGCGGAGAUAGGUUUACUAUUGUGGCGAACAUUUCUCCCUUCUACGAUGAACAAAGUUCGUUGAUAGGGAUUGUAUGUGUUUCUAGUGAUUCACGACCCUUUCAAGAGGUUAGAUUUGGUUUCUCUCGUCCAGGAAAUUCAGAGGGCGAUUCAACUUCAAUUGGUGCUAUAAGCAAGCCUGUUCUUGAUUCACAACAACCUCUGCAGACAUCAUUCGCCUCUAGAAUUUCGACUUUGGUUAGUCUUUUAUCGGUCUACCUUAUUUGUAUACAUUUUCAGUUUUGUUUACCUUCUGCAUAUAUUAAUUGUUAUCUCAAAAUAUGAAAAUAGGCAAACAGGAUGAGCGAUAAGGUGAAAUCGAAAAUGUGUAGCAGAGAUAACAAUGUUGAUCAUGAAAGUGUUAGCGGAGAUAGCCAUCAAUCUCAUCAUAGCUUCUUAGAUGCCGCUAUCUGUGACCAAAGGGACGAUGCAAACUCUAGUGGAGCCAGUACUCCACGAGGAGAUGUUCUUCCGUCUCCUUUUGUUGCUUUCCCUGACACUGAUGAUAACUUUUCUGCAAAACAAUCGAGUCAUUCUAGUGACGAGGGAAAACCUUCUAUCCAGAAGAUAAUCGCAUCAAAAGCAGAGGCGUGGAUGGGCAAAAAAGGCUUGACAUGGCCCUGGAAAGGGAAUGAAAGAGAAGUUUAUGAAGCGAAAAGCACCAAGUUUGUGUGGCCUUGGGUGCAGAAUGAUCAAGGGACCGAAUCAAAUAAACCCACAAGUUCCUUUUCUGGUACAAAAUCUGAAAGCCACUCCGGUGAAGGUAAUCGACGUACAAAUAAUGAAGCGUCUGGGUCCUGGUCAUCCUCUGCGAAUAUUAACAGCACAAGCACUGUGAGUAGUCGUGGGAGCUCAAAUACCAGUGCUGUUAAUAGGUCAGACUUGGAAACAGACUGUUCAGACGAGAUACUAUGGGAGUAUUUGACAAUUGGAGAACAAAUCGGUGAAGGUUGUAUCUGAGUACACAUGCUCCUAUUUGGUUCCCCCUGCUUUCUCAAUAAGUCAAAUCAUGAAUUCAAUGCUUUCUUUCCGUUUUACGUUGUUUGCUGAUGUUGGGAUAUUCUUGUUAACCAGCUUGUGUACUUUUGAUGUUGAUGCAGGGUCUUGUGGGACUGUCUAUCAUGCCCUGUGGUAUGGAUCAGUAUGUUCUUUUCCUCAUCCUUAUGUCUCAUUCUUAACCCAUAUCAUUUACAUUUUAAAAAAUAAAGGAUUUACUGGUGUUAAAAUUUUUGUUUGAAAGCCACAACUGAAGUCUUGAACUGUGUUACAUAGUAUUUCACCAAUAAUUAGGUUGGGGUUUACUAUGACGACGAUUAGAUUGUUUCCUUGUCAAACUAAUAAAUCAGAUUUACUAUACAGACAAAUGUUAGUGUCACAGUUGAAAGAGGUAAAUGUUGUUUCAGGAUGUUGCCGUCAAGGUGUUCUCCAAGCAAGAGUAUUCAGAGGACGUGAUACUUUCAUUUAGGCAAGAGGUGUGAAUAUGUGUCAUAAGUUGGACUGUCUAAGUGAAACACUAUUUCUCGGUCGUUUAAGCUUCUUAAAAGUUACUGCUUUGCUGAUGAAGGUAUCACUUAUGAAAAGACUUCGUCAUCCAAAUGUGUUGCUGUUUAUGGGUGCCGUAGCCUCACCUCAGCGUCUCUGUAUCGUUACAGAGUUCCUACCACGGUACCUCCAUGCUCCAGUAGUCUAAAAAUUACUCGUCUUACUUACCAGCUUCAUGAUUCUUGUUCAUUGCAUUUCUGAUUCCUUAUGGUGAAUAUGCAAAUAUCUAUUUAGAACCAACCACCAGAACUUAUGCUGGCUAGUUUGUGACACAUUCUCAAUGUCGUGAUUAUGCAGUGGAAGUUUGUUCAGGUUACUCCAAAGGAAGACAACCAAACUGGAUUGGAGACGGAAAGUGAGCAUGGCCUUGGAUAUUGUGAGUAGUAAUGUGCUUAAUUUUCUAAAAGUCGUAUUCCUGCCUUUCAAUACUGAUCAUCAACUGUGUUUCUAUGGGAUGAGAUCCCCUGUGGAGAAGCGUCGAAAGACCAUUUUCAGUCAUCGGAAGAUGAACUGUUACUCAAAAUUUUAAUGUCCUUCCAUCUGUUUAACAGGCUCGGGGUAUGAAUUAUCUUCAUCAUUACAACCCUCCUAUAAUUCAUCGUGACUUAAAGUCUUCAAAUCUUCUUGUUGAUAAAAAUUGGACAGUAAAGGUAAGAAGCAUUUGUUUCAAUUCAUCAUUAUAAUUCUGAGGGUGCUUGUUACCCUUGAAGACGGAGAAAAAUAAAGGCAGUAAUCUCGCUGUCUAUCUAACCAGGUUGGUGAUUUCGGGCUAUCACGUUUAAAACAUGAAACAUUUCUCUCAACAAAGACUGGGAAAGGCACGGUAGGGAUUAUGGUUUGCGCCUUGCUUAGCUUAAAAAGCAUUUACUAUAUCUGUGGCUGGCUCUCAGUGUAUUAUUUUCCAAAAUUUUAGCCUCAAUGGAUGGCACCGGAAGUUAUCCGCAAUGAACGCUCAGAUGAGAAGUACGCCUUCCUUCUUUGAUUAUUCUUGCUAUUCAUCCUUCUGCAGACAGACAGUUGGAAACUUGUAAAGUGACAUUGGUUUAAAAUUUUGAUUCUCUACCAUGUAGGUGUGACAUAUAUAGCUUUGGAAUAAUAUUGUGGGAACUUGCAACCGAGAAGAUUCCAUGGGAGAAUCUCAACUCAAUGCAGGUAGGACAGUCACAGUUUUCCUUUUUCCAUCAAGAAUUAGUAAAUUCACUGAACUUCAUUCACUGAGUUCAUGUCAUGGGAUCUAAUGGUUAAAAUUUAAUCAGGACUAUAAUCUGAAAAAACUGAAGUUCAGAUUUUUUACACGUCAAAGAGCAUAUUCAGAUAUAUAAAAGAUAAUCAAUCAAUCAAUCAUUCAUAUACGUAUACUUUGCAGGUAAUUGGUGCCGUGGGAUUCAUGGACCAACGAUUGGAAAUACCAAAAGGCGUGGACCCUCGCUGGGCCUCUAUUAUUGAAAGCUGCUGUUGCAGGUACUUAUCUUUUCUUUUCGUUAUUUUCAUAAUAGAGUAACGAAAANNNNNNNNNNGUAACGAAAAUAAAAAUAAAGAAGGGACAAGAUUGUUUUUUGUUGAAUUUGAUUUGAAGUGAGAUGGUGUUGGUAAAGGUUUACUGAUUGUUUUUACCCUGCCCUCAUAUGCUACUGUGAAUAACAAUCAUGACGUCAGAACUCUCCCAGAAUCUUGGCAUAGAUUCGGGCGGAGGAAGCUCUUCCUAUUUGACCUUUUAUAUUUGUCGUUUACUUAGGUUGAUUGGAUAUGAUAUGAUAUUAUUAUAAAGUAAUAAAAUACAAAUUAUAGAUAGUAAAUUGUGGUCAUGAAUAUUGGAUUGAUUCCGACUAAUACAACUAACAUUCUGGUUCUGCAUUGAAUUGACUUGGGUUGUCUGGUAUGGGUUUGAAUAGCAUCUAAUACCCUAGCUAUUCGAGAUAUCCCAUACCAAACAAUUUCUUGAUUAAUAGACAAUUUUUUGUUUGACCCUAGAAAAAGCUGGUGAUUACUUAAUAUUGAUUUUCCAAACAUAUGAAAAUCUAAUGUUGAUAAUGUGGGUUGGAUGAGAUAAUGAAUGUUUGCUGUCUCUGGGUAUAAUGUGAGUCGGAAGUCAUUGUUGAAUCACGUCAUCCUAUCCUUCAAUUUGUUAAUAGUUAUCUGUGAAAUUUUGCUUGUUGGGUUGAAUGAAACCUUAGUGAUCCAAGCAGCAGACCGACGUUCCAAGAACUAAUGGAAAAGCUCAAAGACCUUCAUCGACAGAAUAACAUUCAGUUGCAAGCAGCACGUUCUUCUGCAGCCGGGGGAGGAGAUACGUAACGUUAACAGCAUUAUAGAGAAAUUGCAGGUAAGCACAGUAAUUAAAUACCAAACCAAAAUCUCGAGACAUUUUUAAGUGCCUAUUGUAAGUUUGAACUCAAAAUCGUUUAAGGCUCGCAUAAUCAGUACGCCAGCUUGCUGGUCGAAUUCCAGAGACUCCGGGAGAGACACUAGGAGAUCCGUAUUCUGCAUGUUUUAUCGCGAAGCGAACUGCUUCGCUGAUGUUCUGGCUGCUAAGGGGCAUGAACUCCAGCUUGGAGUUGUCAAGGAGGUACAAUCGGGUAAUGAGAUUGAUUACUGGGAGGCCCAUGAUAUAACUGGCACUAGUUGUAUGCGUUCUGUUAUUGAGUUGUAAGAGUUGUUGAGUUGUGUUUUCUCAUAAAAAAAAUAGCUCUUUCAUACUGAUGAUAUUUGAGUUGAAAUUUUUGUUGAACCAAGCGAGGUGGUCCAUUUUGUAUAUUAUAUGAACUGAUCGGCACUGAAAACAAAAAAAAAUGCAACGGUGAUGUGGUGAUGUUGUGAUGUCGCUCUACUGGGAAUCGCCUUAGCUCAUGGGGAUAUUCCAUUCAUGACACGUGUGAGCAGAGAAUCACUUAAGUAUUUGUUAAACUGAUAUAAAAGCCCAUACAUUUACUAUUAAAUGCUCUAUCAUUUAAAUUCGAUAUAUAAAUUAUGCGAAUGUCCUUUGAACUUCCUCUUUAAAUACAUAUGACGGUGGCGAAUCAAACACACUUUCUAAUUUUUGAAAACUUUCUCUUUUCGAAAUACUUUCUGAAAUCAAUCCCCAAAACCGNNNNNNNNNNNNNNNNNNNNNNNNNNNNNNNNNNNNNNNNNNNNNNNNNNNNNNNNNNNNNNNNNNNNNNNNNNNNNNNNNCUGUCAGCCGCCGCCGCUGAAACCCGCCGCCACCAUUGCUCCCAUGCCGCCUGAAGCCCCGCCGUCGCCGCUCCCCAACCACCGUCUAGGUACUUAAAAAAAAUUUGUGACGGUCUGCACGCCGACCGGUGACUGACCGUCUCAAUUUUUUUUGAAUUUAUAUUAUUAUUAUUUAAAUUGAAUUAAAAUUUAUAUUCAUUUUAGUGAAUUAACAAUGAAAUAGGUAAUGAUUAAUACUUGAUAAUUGAAUAAUUAAUCGAUUAGUUAUUCGAAAUUAAUAAUUAAGGUUAAUUUACUAAUUAAUAUAUAUUGUAACAAUUAACUUGGAAAUUAACAAUUUAAUUUACUAAUUAAUUUGGUAAUAAAAAUAAGCGAUUAAUAAUUUCUUAUUAUAAUUUAAGUUAAUUAGUCCAUAUAGAAAAAAUAUUUGAAAAUUAGCGAUUAAUCAUUAUAUUUCGUAAUUGAAUAUUUAUUUUACUAAUAAUUGAAUAUUAGUUAUUACAAUUAAGGUGAAAUAGCAAUGCUCUAAUAUAAUUAAGGUGAAAUAGUGAAUACAAAUUUAAUAUUUGUAAUUAUUAGUUCAGAUUUAAAGCGUUAGUUUUGUAAUUAAUAGUACGAUUUCAAUUGCAUAUAUAGUUAGAAGCGAUGUCGAUGGGAGAUGUUGACUUGCCGUGGUUUAUCGAUCGUACUAUUUCUGCAUUAGAUAGAAAAUUGGUGUAGGAGAAAUGGAAGGGAAAGAAAUCUAGGAUAGGGGAUGAUGGACAGUCUAGUGCGCAGUUUCAGAUUCCAUGACCGAUAUACGUGGACCCCGAUAUGCACUCUGCUAGGAGAGAGCUGACGGUUGAUGAGAUUUUUGCUAGCCAUCUUUCGGAAUUGGGCGAUGAAAUCCAUACCAUUCGGAAUGACUCCGUCGACGACGAUGAGCAGAUCCCGCCGGACGGUGACGGCAAUGAUGAUGACGAUUGUGAUGUCUCAUUUCACCCUUUCUUGUUGAAUAGUGCACGCCCGCGGAAGAAACCAUCAGGGAACCUUAACAUUUUUAAUUUUGGCCAUAUUUUUAUUGUUUAUCUCUGGUUUUCAUUUGAUUUUCUUAAUUUCUUUUAUUGGAGAAAGCAAAGCUGUGAGAGGUAAAAGAUUGUUGAUGAAGAAGAUCAUCAUUAUUCUUGCGUUUGGUAGGAUAUGGCGGGACUAUAUAUCUCCUCUAUUAGCUCUUUUUUUUGAACAACUCCUUUGUUAGUUCGUUGACAGAAAAAAUAUUGGAUUGAUGUUUUGUUUAUAAUCUUCUUCAAAACUUUUUCUUCUUCAUCAUGGUUGAUUUGAAUCCUUUUUAGAACCUUUAAAUUAUUUUCUUUCUCUUUAGAUCAAAGUUCAUAUAGUUUGGGUAUGAUCAUACCAUGUAUCAAAUUUCAUUAGAAUUUCAAAAUUAAACGUACUCGGAAGAGAGUAUUAUUAAGAUAGAUUACCAUUUAAAAAUGAGAGAAUAGUUCUAAAAUGAGUAUCUUUUUUGAGAAGUUCUUGUAUUGCAACCCUAUUUUAAUAGUGUAAAAAAAUUAAUUAAUGUUUUUUUUUGAUAGAUUACCAUUUAAAAACGAGAAAAUAGUUCUAAAAUGAGGAUCCACCGUUAGGAUUCUAACAGUAGACUAUCCGCUAUUAAAAUAAAUAAAAAAAUCACCAUUAAACAUGCAGUUUCUUGUAGUGUCUCGUCCAGAUGCGCCAGAGCCUACCCAACACGUGGCACCAGAGCAUGGAGUCGAGAUCACAGCUUUGAAGAACCAGCGUUUCCUCUUCAGCUUUGAUAACCAGUUCGACUAGCAGACUGAGGUUACUGCUAUUGUGGUGACCUGCAGCUCAUACUGCUCCAUGUGUGAAGUCUGUACUUCAGGUGGCCACAAUUUAUACGCUCAUUUUCAGACGUAUUUUGGAAUAAAUAUCGAGUUUUAAUAAAAAAAAUCAAAAUCGAAAAUCCCCCAAAGGGGUUUCGGACAAGAUGUUCACGCCUCUUUCAAAGUCGAGACGAAGAAUUCUUAUAUUAUGAAGGAAAGUGGCCAUCAGAUCCACUGGCCAGAGCCUAUGAAAAGUAAAUGUGCACCCACGACCUCAAUUCAUAUUCCGACUUCCAUCUACAGCAUGGGCACAAUAGAAAACAUUGUAGGGAACUAAAAUAUCACUACAUAAAACUGUUUGUAUAACGGUAGAAAAUUAACCGCCGUCAUUUAGCAGCGAUAGCUAACAAACCGUUGUUAGAUUUUUUUUAUUUAACGGCGGAUGUUGAGUGGCCGCAGUUAAAUGUAUAUAAAUUUAAAGACGGUCAUACAUCCACAAGCCGCUGUUAAUUAAGAAAUAGUUUAGCAACAGAUUAAUCUGAUGUUAUAUUGGCAAAUUAGUAAUUGCCUUAAACCGGACGUCACCGUUUUAUACAAUUUUUAUCCACAUCGCGGUUGCAACACUCGGUUCAAAACAGGCAAAACUCCCCCAGGCCCUUGCUUUUGUCUUUGUUGCAGAACAGUCAGAGGCAACUAACCACGAGCAAAUCAAUAGCUAUGCUGAGCUUGUUUAGUUAGAAACCUUGUGUCGUUUAUUUUCUUUAAUUCUUUUGUCAAAUGUCGUUCUUCACUUCAUUCAAAGAAACUCCAUCCUGUUGGUUAUUUCUGAAAUGGAUUUCUCAAGAAUCAGAAAAAAAAUGAUAACUCAAAUUAAGCAAAAUUAAUUACUGAUCAUUAAUCAAUAAUCUAACUUCAACCGUGAAAACCCAACUCAUUUACACCCCUACCUAUCUGCACUUAGUAGAGUGAAAUUAAGUUUAGCAACUAGAGAAACAAUCCCAUUUCUCUUUCAUUGAUAUAGUUAUAAAGGUAUUUUUCUCCAUAUGGAUGGAUGAAAGGAUAUGCAUACAGGUUAAGGAAAAUUUAGGUGGGCAGCAUAUAUCAGCUGUUGCAUUCAAUGCCAAUGGCAUCUCCAGCUGGAAAAUUACUAGUAAGCGACCCGACCAUCCACUAUAAAUUGGUACUCAUCAGCAGUGGCGCAUGCAAUUCCCCACGUACCAAAUUCGGCUGUAAACAUGAUGAGGCAGCAGCCAACUAUUGGAGUGAUACUAGUCCUGCAGCUUCUGACGCUAAUUUCUGCGUUUGGACUACCAGUCAACCACCAACUAGUAGUGUCUCCAAGCGGUGCCACUUUCGCAGGCAGAAAAUGUGUCUUCUCUAAAGGAGGUGGUACUGGUGGACUCUUUGGAGGCGGUGGUGGCCUAGGAGGCGGUGGUGGCCUAGGAGGCUUAGGAGGCGGUGGUGGCCUAGGAGGCUUAGGAGGCGGCGGUGGCCUAGGAGGCUUAGGAGGCGGUGGCGGUGGAAGCUUUGGGAGUAACGGCGGAGAAAGUGGGGGCAGCGGAAAUGGCGGUGGUGAAAGUGCUGGCGGGGGUAAUGGAAGCGGUAACGGUGGUGGUGGUGGGGGCGGUGGAAGCAGCAAGGGUGGGGGCGGGUGGGCUGCAGCGGUGGUGGUAAUAAUGGCGGUGGGUAUGGAGGAGGAGGCAACAAUGGCGAUGGAAGUUCUGGAUCGGGAUAUGGAUAUGGAUACGGUGGUGGUGGUGGUGGUCGAUCGAGAUAGAGGAGGCAUUUGGAAUGGGGAAGGAUAUGAAGUAAGUUUAUGAAAUGAACGAGAGAUCGAGCUACUUACUAGAUGAUAUGAAUCUAUAAAUGUGACUGUGGGAGGGCAAGAUAAAAUGAGUACGUGCGUGAGUAAUAAUACAAUGUCCCGCAAUAAAAGAAAUUUGAGUGUUCAUGAUGAUGAAGUUAGGUUAGUUGGCACCUAAUAAUAAUACAUAUAAAAAAUUGUUUGCCGAAACAAAAUAUGGAAUUAGAAUAUGAGCCUGCCGAAUUUUAAAUAAAAUCGGGUAAUUUGUCCCUUUUGCGUUUUACCAAGCUCACAAACAAGGCAGUCUAUUAAGCAAUGCUUAUUUUACUAGCUCAUACUUUGACCAACUUCACAAUUGCGUACUCAACCCCUCGCUUAAUCUUCCUACCAAGCAGAGCCACAUCAUCAAUUCAGGCCACAUGGCCGUCGAGAAAUAUCAUAUUUUUAUCUGGUUACUUUUUUUUUUGAAAUAAAGGUAUUUCGUUAACUUAGUGAUCCAUCAAUGGACAAAAAGAGUUCAUAAGAAUCAAACACAUAUCAGGAGACGUCACUCCGUAAACGGGUGACGCAAGCGAAUACGAUAUACGAGCAAGCUCGUGAGCGAUUUCAUUCCUACAUUUCUUAACCCACUCGGCCUUGAAUAAAGCGUUAUUACUAAGGACAUGUCGACACUUCUGAAUAACUUGGCCGAACCGUGUGAUCAACAUUGUUGUGCUAUAGCGCCAUGUUGACCCAUUGACAAUCAGUUUCAGUAAUAGCUUUCUCAUAUCCCAUGCUUGUCAACCACUCGAGUCCCUCCCUCACUGCUCUCGCCCCCUCCUCACCCACCGACGCCAAUCCUGCUGCCUUGCUCAUAUAGUAGUGAAGUACAACACCCUUCUCAUCCCGAACAACCAUUCCAACCCCAUGGCUCACCUCCUGAGGGAACACUGCUAUAUCGAUAUUUCACUUUACGUACUCCGGAGGUUGAACAUGCCACCUCACACACCUGGUGGGUUGUUGUUGACUUCGACUCUUCACAGGCUUUUGAUAGCUCAACCAUUCUUGUAAGCCGUCCAUAGCAUGCCCUACGAUUGACUCUGGUGUGCUCGCUGUGCCACUCCAAACUCUCUCGUUUCGCUCCCGCCACACCGCCCAUAUCAUUGCCAUCGUCCUCUGUAUCUUUUGCGUCGCAUUUGAGGAUAGCACAUUGAAAGUCCAUUCUUGAACACUAGUCAGCUCGUCCCAUAAAGAUCUAACCCACUGCCACAUGCCGCUCCUCUCCCAACCUGCUUUCCCGACUUUACAUUCAAACAAUAGAUGGUCUAUAUCUUCUCCCCAAUUCGAGCAGCAUCCACAUUGGUCUGUGAUAUUAACCGCUCUCUCCAUGAGUCUUGACCAUGUAGGGACCGCUCCACGACCUGCACGCCAUAGAAGCUGCUUCACCUUUGGAGGAAGCACCACUCGCCAUAGCUGAUUCCAUCCACCCUUGACACCCAGAUUCACAAGCACUCCCCGCUUCUCUGUUGCUUCCCAAUACGCCGAUCUCACACUGUAAAGGCCACGUUUCUCAUGUCUCCAAAUGCGAAUAUCUUCAUCAUUUCCUUCUGGAGGCAUUAUCCAUGAUAUAAUCCCUGCAUCACGAGUAAAAAAAAGCUUGAUUCACCAUCUUAUGGUUCAAGGUUAUACCCGAAAUCACUAAAUAGUUUACAGUCAAUUCACUUAGUUGCAGAUUGGGGGUUGUUUCCACAUAACAAUUACUGUUAUCCCUCAACCACGGUUCUGACCACACAUUGAUUUUCAAACCAUCAUUGAUUCUCCAUCGAACUCCCUCUCGCACAACAUCUUGGGCUGCAAACAUGCUCCUCCAAAUAUAGCUUGCUCGAUAACUGAAUUUAGCUAGCAAAAAGUCCCCUUUAGGGAAGUAUUUAGCUUUGAUCACGCGUGAUACCUGAGCAUUGGGAUCCUGCAAGAACAGCCACCCAUUCAUGCCCAACAUUGUGAGAUUGAAAUCCAACAUAUUUUGAAAUCCCAUACGCACAAUAAUUCCCACCACCUCUAUGCAAUUCCACCUUUUUCAUUCGUUUUGGUACACCACCAAAAGCUAUUUAUCAUACGUUCAAGCUCUUCUAUAAAGGUGAUGGGUAAAAGAAAGACAUUCAUACAAAAGGUAGGGAUUCCUUGCGCCACAAUUUUGAGCAGAACUUUCUUUCCGCUAGUUGUGAUAAAGCGUUGGCACCACUUCUGGAUCCUCGUCCAUAACUUCUCUCGUAAAUACCUCAACGUAUCCUUCUUCUUCCUCCCUACAAUCGACGACAGUUUGAGAUACCGGCCAGUAUCUAACGGCGCAUGCACUUCCAAAAUCGCCUCCACGUCCUCCUUCCGAUAGGGUCGACCGAUUUAGUAAAGUGGAUACCCGAUUUUGCAUAGUUUAUGACCUGCCCAGAUGUCGAUGCAUACACUUCAAACACCCUUCUUAGAGUCCACGCUUCUCGAAUCCCUGAUUUUAAAAAGAAGAAGAUGCCAUAUGCAAAUAAAAGAUGUGUAAUAUGCGGUGCUCCUCAACUCACUCGAACCCCGUACACUCGGCCAAAAUUCACUUCUCAACGAAGCAACGAUGAUAAACCUUCAGCAAACAAUAAAAACAAGAAAGGUGAUAAGGGACUCGGUUGCGAUUCAACACACAUGGUGAACUUGAGUUGAGUCCACCGCCUGUAAGCUCGUCACUUUGGGCUUCUCUUCUUACCUCUUCUUAGUUGUGGGUCGGAGUUUCUCAGGUAAACUCGGUCUAUGUGGAUGACAGCUUUAGCCCGAUCAGGGUCGCAACGACCCCUAUUUGGAAUGAUACCCCAACAGCUAUGCAAAAUUUUGAAAAACGAGUUUGCAAGUAUUGAGUAAUUCAAUUAACCCAAACUAUUUAGCGUAAUAAGUAUAGAAAAGUUGUAAAAUAAGAGGGGAGUGCUCUGAAUUGGAUAUGUUUUGAAGUAAGCACUCCCUCCCUUAGAAUGGGAAAUAUACCCGGUCAGGACCAUCUGUUUUUACCAUAAGUGAUAGGGGAAUGUCUUUUGUCGGUAGGUGUUGAGUGGUAUUAACUAUAUGCAUAAGUUUGUUCUUUAUUUGGAUUAGGAGACUCGGUAAACGUAAUUGUGUGGUUUGGUGAUCUGAAAUGUAUUCUUAGCAUUUUGAAGUUGGCUUGAACUACUAAUCGUGUUAUCUUUUGCCAUGUUUUAAAUUUUGUUUCGAGUGCGAAUAGUAGAGUCACUUGAGAACAAGCAAUGUUCAACUUCCAUGUGAUAGGUGCAUGAUAGUGCUAGGAUUUGUAGUAAUUAUCUCUCCCUAUCUGCAUACUUUUUGAGUGAAUACUAGCUCAUUUCUGUUUCAAUCCCACAUGGUUUUGCAUCUUCGAAUUGUAUGCCUAGACCAGCUUACUUAGACCGUUUCGAUCCAUUUGAUGUGUUUCUUUGUAGUAUUUGUUAUCCAUAGGUACUUUAGAGAUAGGUGGUCUGGCUAUGAGGCUAUGGAUGCGAAUAGGAGCAUGGUUGGAGUUCGAAUUGAAGAAGGAUGCGAGAAUUGGUGAAGAAGAGGGAUUGCACGUCGUACAUGCCCUAAAGUGUAAGUAGCUCUCGUAGGAAAAAGGGGUGUAGGACGUGCACCCCCUAAAUGUUCAAUUGGACUCAUAGAUAAAAGGGGUGCAUGCCAUGCGCCCCCUGUUCCGGAAAUCUCGAUAUAAAAGGGGCAAUUUGAGGAAAGAGAAAGAAAUCAUCUUCAUAAACAAAUUCCCACGAUUUUCCCCUGAGUUCUCUCUGCAAAUCAUCAUCUUAUCAUCCAUAGAAGUAAGUUGAAGAUCCGAAGGAGUUCCCAUUGAAAAUUGAAUCUAGGAUUGAAGCUAGAAGGCCAAAAGCGAAGAUUAGAGCGAGUGUUACUCGUUAUCUCCUUAACAAGAUUGUGGUUAGGUCUUUUUCUGUAUUCUCUUCAUUUGGAUUUAUGAGUAGCUAAAUCUUUAUAGUUUUUAGUUGGGAUGUAGUAGUUGAGCCAUGAUACUCUCCCUAAUAGUAUAGGGUUGGUGAUUGUUGGAUAUUUGGAAUUGAAUGAAAGAUUGCUUUGAUUGUUGGAUUUUCAACCUUGUUCUUGUUACGACUUGAGUUAGGUCAAAUCUAUGAAAUCCUAUGUUUGAUCGACACUAGAAGUUAUUGGUGGGGGUAAGCCAACAGCUCUAUUCUACCUUUCUUAUUUCUUUUGGUUUUAACGGUUGUUCAACGAGUAAUUGGUGGUCACUCUAGUUUGCACGUAAUGGACCAAGUUGGUUGUAGUUAACAAUAACUUAGGUGUUGAUGGACCAAGUUAAAACUAUUUCCAAUUGCUUGUUAUUUCCUUUAAUUCAAAGGGAGCACCUUAUCACUUUAUAGAACUUCUCGGUGUUCAUUACUAGUUAGCCUAAUUGAGGCUAUUCUAACCUUGAUUGGGAAGUUAGUAGUGGUAAUCCGUGUGCAUGAUCAUGACGUGGAUUCAUACGAGUGAUAAGAGGAGUUAUAUUAUUCAAUCCUAGUUCAAUGUUUGCACGAUCCGACUUAAGUCUCAGUUUUAAUUAUUAUAUUUAAUCUAAUUAGUAGUAGAAUUGGAAUCCAAAAUAAAUUUGUUCAGUCUAAACCUUAUAGCUAAGUUUGAGUAUAAAAAUAGCGAGAGGAACCUUGAAUACAUACGACAUUUGUGUUCUCAAUAUAACUUCACAGUUAUUUUGGCGAUCAGUGCACUUGACUUGCUAGUUUACUUGUGAACCUAUAUUUGAUAGGAGUAUUAGACUAUGAUCAAAGUCUAUUGAUUCGUUCUUUAGAGUUACUUUGAUGUGUUUAAACUAGCACGGACUCUCCAUCUUGAUGUGAUUGGGCAUGCAUGUUAUCGAAUCACCAUCUAGUAAAAUAAUACGAGUUCUAAAAGACCAUUGUUGUAGUUAGAUAAUCUGCUUCACUAGUGGAUUUAUUCUUAAAUUGAUGUGAGUGGUCUUCUCCGUUUGUUGUUAAUCCGGUACUUGCAUGAUUUCGAACUAAAUUCAGUUGGCAUUGAUUCCCUAGAAUAAUAGAGGCACUUAGAAAAGCUCCACCCAAAAUAUCCAUCUCGUCCUUACAUUUUCCCUUAGGUAACCCAAUCAUAGCUAAAAAGGCUUUUUAAUACGCCCCAUAAUAUUGCAUCCCCUUUCUUUCAAGCCUUCAUUUGAUCAUAUGUACAUUAGUGGCAUGUAACUUGGUCGAGUCUAGGAGUCAAUAAAGUUGCUAAAUUGAGUAAUUACAAGAUUAUAUAGUCUCCCUUGAUCUUUUUAUGUAUAAGUGGGAUUUCAAAAAAUAAGAAAAACAUUUGAAAAUCUCGAGAAAAGAGAGGAGACUAGCGAAAAACCCUGUAUCGAAAAUAAAAGAAAGAAAAAUAACAUGAAAAAAAGAAACUGUGAUAGAUUAGUUGAAUAAAUGAGUACAAAAGCUCGGAGUAGUAUAGUGAAUAAGGGAUAGACGAGCUAGUUUGAGAUCAUGUAGAAAGUUGGAUCCUUGCAUAGUGUUAGUUUUGUUAGCAAUUAAGCUCCAUAUUAGGGUAGACCGAUUCUUUCGCCGCUAUAUACAUCCUCCACCAAAUUCAUUUGACCUUCUCUUCUCCUUUCUGUCCACAUUACAACCCUAAUAAAAACAUCUCUUGACUAGUAUUUGAUGUGCCACGAUGUGUUAAGUAAAAGCAAGUUGAUGUGCAAGUAUUGGAUGCGUGUCUCAGAGUAGAUGAUAAGCGCAUAAACACUCUCCUUAAACACUUGAGUGGCUGCUUUCGGCUUCAUCUUUAAGUCGAACUCCCUAUGAGUGUAAGUCUAGGUGGGUGGUAUAACAUGCAUGAUGAUGUGUGGCAAGUUGGGGAACUUCUUGUGAGGCCUUUACUUCUUAUUUCGGUUGUGUUUAGAGAUUCUUUUGUUUGUCAAGAAAUUUAGGGAUGCUUUGAGGGACAUGGGUCUUCUUAGCUAUGUUAGUAGUUUCAUUUGAUUGUAGAUGUGUCUAUGGCUUUAUCAGCUUUUUGCUUGAGGACAAGCAAAGCUUAAGUGUGGGGUUGUUUGGUAACACUCAAUUUGUCGUGUUCAUUGCCUUUAUUUAAGAAACUUUAUGUGCAUAUUUGUAUAGUUUUGGGUAAAAUUUUAGGGUGUUUUACGCAUUUCUAGCUUCUAUCUUGAUUUAGUGUCUCGAACCCGCUCGGGAUCCUUUUGAUCGUUUUGGAGUGUUUUUGUAAGAUUUCAGGUACAUGAUGAUAUCAUGGCACUAAUCAGAGUAAUACAAACGUGCAUGGACCAGGUAGGACGUUUUCAGGAUUGAAGAAAUCACAAGUGUUGAACAAUGUCACGAUUUAUGCUAUCGACUUGUAAAAAAUUGCGAUAUGCACAUAACAUAAUUAUUGACAUUUCAUAGCACAAAAGUUGAGACACCAUUCUAACAACUUCGGAAAUAAUUGUGCUAUAGAUUAUCAAAUAUUGUGCUAUGGCCAUAGCGCAAUUAUUGACUAUAUCCCAAUUGUUGACAAAUCCGGCGUUUUGAAGGAUUUUGGAAUCUCCAUUUAAAGGCCUCUCACCCUUCAUUUGGAGACAGACUUUCCCGAACGAAAUUCAGAGCAAUAUUGAGAGAUUUUUGAGUGACUUUAAGGAAACUUCAAGGAGCUCGAAAUCGAAGAAAGGAUCAAAGACGGUGAAUCAAGUUCUCGGAAAGAUCGGUGAAAUUAGGUUUUUCAUAAUUAUUUGUGUACACCUAGAUUCAAUGUCUUACUCCAUGAUUUUUAUUUGUCUUCUAAGAUCAUGAGCAGCUAAACUUCUCUUACUUAGAUUAGAUGACCCUAGGUUAAUUCUUAUGAGCGAAUGAUUUGAUACGUUUGACAAUUUAUGCGAGUUGCAUGAUUUUAGUUCAUGUUUGAUUUUGAAUUCAUUUUCGUUCUUGCCUGAUCAACUUGAAUGAAUCUUUGUUAGAUUUGUCUCGAGAGAUCAUGCAUAUCUAGAACACAUAAAUCAAACAACUAGGUUAGACGUUAACCCUCACCUGGAAGCGAACGAACUAGUCGGUCAUGUGAGCAAUUCUUUUUUGUUUACUCGCCUAGCGAGUUUCAACUCUUCGGCUUGAAAGAGCGGACUGGGAUACUAGUAAGGUAGCAAAUUAGCCAUCCUGAAAAUGCAUGAUUUGAUUAGAGGAGAAUUGCUAUAGUUUAUUGAAUCUAUCUUGUUUCGUUUUAAAUCGUGGAAUUUGUCUGUCACUUGUGAGAUUGAGUUGCCUAGGGAUUCAAAGUCUAAGCAGUUUCAUCCAUGUUUGUCUAAACUAUAUUCGUGCAGUCUUGCAAUCUUGGUUUUCUCUGUCAUAGCAAUUUUCUUUUUCUUUUUAGUGUUCGAUUGGUUCUCGUGGCACCUACACCACACUUUUUAUUACAUCGGUUGAUACUUGUUGCAACUUUAAGUAAGAUACAUAGAGAGAAUCAACUCCGAUUAAUUAAUUAACCGGAUUAUUUUGAGAACGCUACAAAAACGUUUAUUAGGAUGUCAUAAUCAUACCCCUAGGGUGGUCAUGUUACAUGCUAUUUCAUCAGUCAGUGGGUCAUCGUUGCCAUCAUCGCCAGCCUCGUCAAGGUAGGAUCAUGAAGCAGUUGAGGAUGCAAUUCCCACUUUGCCCACAUUGCGAGAAAGGUGGGAUGAGUGUUCUUCAAAACAGUUAUCAAGAAAGGCUAUAAAUGCAAGACUACAUCGACAGAAGCAGGGGUUCCUAAAACCGAAACUCUGACACCAUUUGUCAAGUUAUUUUUUUCUCUGCAACUUUUACAUUCUCCACCACUUUAGCUGUAGCCGUAGUUCUUAGAGCUCUUAUUGAACCUCUAUAGGAGUAGUGAUAAUUUAAUGUAAAUUGUCCCAAAAACACAAUAAAAUGAGACACCCUCAAUUGAACAUUUUUCGAAAAAGUUUGAACCGUGCUUAAAAAUCCUUGUUAAUAGAAGUGAAAAUUGCAUCUAUAUCAAGUCAACGUAGAGUUUCUUAAAAUACAAUGUGAAAGAUGUAAGGAUCUUUAAUUAAUAUGAUCGGAUAAAAUAAAUAUGAAGUAUUUGACCAUAAAUUGGACUGCCGUGUGUUGUAAACAAUGAAAAUGAUUUAAGGUUUAGAUAACAGUACUUUAGAGAUGAAUAAAAAGAAACAUGGUAAAACUAGUAUUUCACAAAAAAUUAGAUUUAUGUUAUUAAAUUGAACCAUGUCCCAGAUACAACCCUAUUAAGACGUAUGCAAGUUAUUUUCAACUAUACCAGGAAGUUUUUGAAGAUUUGAAGGUAUUAGUCCAUGUGAAAUUGCUUUUAAUUAGAAAUCCGGAUAGACGGUCAGGAUAUUAUUUGUUUGUUGACAGCAAACAAAUUCCGUCCGUUCAUUUUAAAAUUUUAAUUUAAAGGUUGUCCAAUUGAAUAAGGGCAGUUUUGUCAUACAAGUCGCUUUAAGUACCUCAUUUACUCUUUAUCUUUUCCACCGCCAACACUCUCUCACCUCUUCUUCAUCCUCUCCUAUCUGGCAACACCGAUUUCUUCGUCACCAUCACUGCCUCUUCGCUUUGUUAAACACUAUACUCUUAUGUAUUCGUAUUUGUAUGCUAACUUUCUUGUUUUUACUUAUUUGCGUACUAAAGGUUUUAUGUAUUAGUGUUUAGUUUAAGUUUUGUUUUCCUUUCAUGCACUUUUACUAUACUUGUUUCUAUUAUUAUGUACUCGCUUUUUAUUUAUUUGUUCCUUUUGUUUUGUACUUGUGUUGGUAAUUCUGUACUCACUUUCUGUGUACUUAUACCUCUACGUGAUUUUAUACUCAACGCCGUACUUGAGUUCUUAUAUAAAAAAUUUCAUGCACUCAUACUCAUAUUUGUUUCAUGUAUUGCGUACUUGCGUUUUACUUUAUUAUACUCAAUUUUAGCAAUCAAAUUGUCAUUUCUCUGAGUUGUUCUUUUGUACUUGUUUUUAUUUUAUGUACUCGCUAUAUAUUGUACUUGUUAUUUCUUCACAAUAUACUCAGUACCGUACAAAUUUCGGUACUCGAGUUCCUAUAUAUACUCAAUUUUGUUGUCUUGUUUAUAUCAAAAUUUUUACUGUAUUCGUGUUUAAUUUGAGUGUUUUUAAUGUAUGCGUGUUUAAUUUGAGUGUCUGCUUUUAUAUACUUGAUAUUUACUAUGUUUGUUUUUGUUGUUAUAUACUUAUUUUUUUAUGUACUUGUUUCUUCUUUUAGCAGUUGUUUGUGUUGGUUUUGUACAUGUUUUUGUGUACUGUGGUUAUUCAUGCGAUAUCAAAUAAUUGAUCACAUGAGAAAAAAAAAAUUGGCUAGUGACAAUAGAUAAAAACAACCCCUCUUUUUAAUCGAUAAGACACUAUAUGAUAAAGACAACCAAUUGGAAAAAAAGUGCAACAUGUAUAAUAACCCUCGAGCUUCAUAUAUAAUUCUAACCUUUCGUAUAUAUACAACUUCUGCAUGCAUGUUAAAGAAAUGGAGAAGAAAAUAUCACGCCAAGCUCGAUGGGUGCAAUAGAAUCUACCCACCCACGUUACUCAAUAGACCCAAUUUACAAGAAAUAAUUUUACUUGAACCAAUAUUAAACAAAAAGGAAAAAUAACCGGAAAGACAAGAAAAUUUUGAAAAUGACCAAUACGCCCCUGAAUUAAAGUUGCGAUCCUAUCCGUUAGAUCUUAUGCCUAAGAUGGACGGUUCGGAUAUUUUCUUGCCACCAACAAUUAUCCUACUUCUUCUUGCUGGAAAUCCGGACCCUUUAAUUAGUGUCCUAUUUCUUUUAAAAAUAAUCAAUUUUGUUUCCUUUUGCUAUGUACAAUUCAAUAUUUAGAUUCUAAUGAAGCUCAGAAGCUGUAUAUACAAUAUACUAUGUAUAUUAUAUUUUAUAGGUGCGCCUAAUUGUUGUAUGGAACACCAGAAUAUAUAUACAUUUUUUUUUAAAGUGGAAUGAAAUUUAUUAAGGCUCAAUCUAACAAAUAGGGAUUUCAAAAUUACGUAAUCAGUUAGGAGUAGCUACUCGUCGCUCUCGCUCGUGUGAUGUCCGAUUUCUAACUCUCCUAACAAAAACCACAUUACAAGUGGGAUUACACCAAAGAAAAUUGGAACAGUUACGAGCGAUCCUCCCUUUUUCUAAAACGUCCUUGGCGUAGUUGCGAAUAGCGUCGCAGGAUGCAAGGCUGUCAGUCUCGAAAGUAACAUUUGAGAGGCCUUUCGGUUGGGCCCAGACAAUGGCAUAGAGAAGAGCAGAGAGCUCUCCUUCAAGAGGUGUGAGUCGUCGGGGCAGAAUAUGAGUCUGGUAGCCAAGGACCCGUCCUGUAAAGUUGCGGAGAAUGAGACUCAGACCACACAGGGUGUGACGAGAAAAGGAAGCAAAGUCUGCAUUGAUCUUCAAACUGUCCAAUCUUCGGGGGAUGCCAACCUGUACAGUACGAGUGCGGAGCAGCCGUAGUUUGACGUGGAAUCCUUGCAGCUUUCCACUCUUCAAGUUGGACGUAGUUUGACGUGGAAUAGUUGCUGAGGCGGACCACCAUGGUCAAAAUAAGCGCUUUGGAAUUCCAUACUCGAUCAUUCCUUUCACACUAAAUACCUGAUAGGAGGACAAAGACUUGAGCUUUGAGAAAAGACACGUUCGUAUCGAGAAAAACAUGUAACCAGUCUUCCCAAGUGGUACUUCCCUGCCAGAGAUUUUGAAGCCAAUUGAGCAUACGCGCAUCGCGCCAAACGUCCUGUGCAAAGGGACACGACUAGAAGAGAUGCUUGCAGGUCUCCUCAGCGUUAUUACAAUGCCACACAAGUCUUGAAUCUGAACUCCACGUUGGACAAGCUUGUGGCGUGUGGCAAUGGCACCUCGGGCAUAGCGCCAAACCAACUGCUUCAUGCGUGGAGGAGCUUCAACAUCCCAGAGCCACCUGCAAUCUCCUGCAACCGACAAGUUUUCCAGCGAACCAAUAUGAUCGAUUGCAAGUCGGUAUGCCGAGCGUACUGUGAACAAUCCCUUUGGACGAGCGUCCAGAUUCGAGUGUCCAUUGAGUUAGGUUGUGGAGGUGGCGUGCCGAGGAUCUUGUCAACAUCCCUGUUAAAAAAAGUGAAGCAAGUUUUUGCUCAUCCCAAUCCCAAAUGGUUGGAAGGAGCAAAUCAUGAACCGUCAAAUUCACAAGUUACAGAUUAGGAGGCGUUUCCAAAAAGUAAUUCGCAUCCCCUUGUAGCCAAGGUUCCGCGAACACUUUAAUGGACAAUCCUUCCCCGAAGUUCCAUCGAUUACCUGAGUGAAUGGUCUCUUUCGAUGAAUGAAUACUCCGCCAAACAUAGCUAGGCCGGUAUCCCAGCUUUCCAUAGAGAAAAUCGCCAUUGCGAUAAUAUUUAGUUUUGAAAACUUUUGAGACUAGAGUAUCAGGAUUGGUAAGGAAGUUCCAACCCUGCUUCCUUAAGAGAGCCAGGUACAUUGUUGUACCGAUAUUUUGAUACGUGGUGUAAUACUAUUGAUCCUUAUAAUUAAUAUAUAUGAGUUUCUUUUAAAAUUCUUAAAUUUAGACUUAUUGUACAAUUUAAUCAUUCAAUCUUUCAAAAAAAAAUUCAACAAAUCUAGGUUAUCACCAUCUCCUCAAUGUUAUCUUAGGCGUGUUUAGGAUUAUAAAUUUUUUUGAAAAAACCUCAUACUUUCAUUAAUAAAAAGUAGGACAACUCUGAAUUACAACUAGGAAUCAGUGGAGGUCCCAAUUUUUUAAUCUGAUUGUCAAAUGCCAAUCAGUGGAAUUUUGUUGUCUGUUCAUGAUCGGUGUAUCACUUUCUCCGAUGAAAUGCCCAUUCAUCUCCUUUUCAAUGACACAGUUCUUGAGUGCUAGAAAAGAGUAGAUCAGUGAGUGACUUUCCAUGGAGAAAGAGGAAGAUGAAAGGAUAUGGAUUUUCACGAGUGCUAUUCUGCUGAGGGAAGAAGAAGAUGAAAUAGAGUUUUUGUUCACCAAACACACCAUAAAUAAAACUAAAACCAACGUUGACAUGGAAAUCAAAAUGGUAGAGAUCAAUCAAUGCAGUUCAAAUAUUAAAAAUAGCUAUCGAAUAUGUUUUUAUAUUUAUUAAAUUCCAACCAAUUAAGACAUGCCAUGUAGUCAAGGUACCGAUAUAACUAGGUUACUAAAGCGCUUGCUAUAUAACAAAAAGCACUUUAAAAUCGAGAUGAAGUAAUUAGAUACAUAAAAGUCAGACCUUAAUCACAUCCAUAAGACAAAUAUUAAUGAAUAGAGAAACAUUGGAGAUCUGGUUUAGUUCUCUGUCCAAACAGGAAGCCACUGUUUGCCAUCAACGAAAUCAAUGGACAUGUAUUCCUCUGCUUCUUUUUCCGUAAGCUCUUUUGCCCAUGGAACUCGUUUGUCUGAUUCAGCACCUGGUCCAUGGCAUUUAUAUUCUGCUUGGAACAUAUUCCUGUAUUUACAGUUUGACAGCCAAGGUAAGAUUGGUGAUUCUAUCCCAAGGUGUCGAAGAAUAUAGUAGAUGAAGGGUGGAUGUCAUGCUUACUCUGUAGUUCCAUCGUAACUCCAAUUGCUCCAACCCUCGGGUGCAAUGGUUCUAGAAAGGUAAGUUUUGCAAAACACAACUCUAGAAUAAGCGCCUUUAGCUCUCCCCAAAUAAACACUUCCAAUCCCAUAAACUUUCCCCUUUACAAAAACAAACCCACUCUCGUCAGCUUCUUCCCUAUUCUGUGCUGUCACCGAUCCCAGUAUCUUCACCCUGAAGUCUGCUAUAACGAACAUCUCGCAGCUCUGCCCAAAAUAAUAUCAAAAAAUCUUAACUUUAACUCGUUUGGAUGAGGCAUUUUCGAUAUGUUAUAUUUUUUUAGAAAUAAAAUAAUACGUUAUUUUAUAAUAUAGUAUUUAUGUGGUGCACAAAGACUGUGGCGUAAGAAUUAUCAUAUUUGAUUAAUAAGUUCUUCAAUGUUGUAUUUGGUAAUUGAAAUACCACAUUCUUAAAAUAAAAUACUUAGAUAGUAGGGAGGUAUUUGAAAUUACGCAAGUAUUUCAACAACCAUAUCUUGAAAUGGCACAAAUUUUAUUUUGGUUGCUAAGCGAGUUAUUUUGACGAAGUAUUUGAAAAUAACUCAAAAGUAGGUUAUUUGAAAUAUCACAAUCUCAAAUACUACAGUAUUUCAAAUAACUAGAUGACAGGGAGGUACAUAAUUUGAAAUAACUCAAGAAAUGAGUUAUUUCAAAUACCCAUCCCGAAAUGCCACAAUUUUUAUUUUGGUUGUCAAACGAAUUAUUUAGACGAGGUAUUUGAAAUAACUCAAAAGUAAAUUAUUUAAAACACUAUGAUCCGAAAUACCACAAGUUUAGUAUUGGAUGCCAAUUAACCAAAAUACUUCAUCCAACAGUUAGCUUGAAGAAUGUAUCGUCAAACCAAAAACAAUUAAGAUAAUAAAAAGUAUUAGCUAGUUUAAAGUUUGUUUUAUAAAGAGUUUAAAGUUACUUACAUAAAAAAUGGACCUGGCUCGGCCGAAGAUAAAAUCGAUGGAGCCUUGGAUGUAGCAAUGGUCAUAGUAAUGUCUGCCUUUGUAAUCGAAAAGGGUGUUGUGGUUGCUGUAGAACGCACAGCGGUAGAAUGCUGCCCUGUCGUGUCCAACGAAUGCAGCCACCGAUUGAUUUUGGGAAGUGAAUGCUUCCCCAACUGACGCUUCAUUCUUGAAACUAAUUCCAUACGCAAUGAAAUUUGGGGAUUCUAGUUUGAAGGUAGCUGAUUCCAUGUUGUCGGUCGAACUUUGUGACCACACAAUGUACGUUUUCCCUUUUCCAUUCCCUCUCAAAAAUAUGUAGGGCUUGUUGCACGGAAUGUGUACUUUCUCCCUGCAAUUUCAGUUACUUAACAUGUAAUUAUGCUCCACAUGUAGGGAGUUGAUUAUGGAGUCUGGAUUUGGAAUUAAGGAAAUGGUUUAUAAAUUCGAUCUAGAAAGUCAGCACAAUUAUCGGAUGUCAAAAAAUCUUGUCUUAAAGGUGGAAAACACGGGAGCAAAAAUGACAUUUCAUAACUUUACAAAUGUGUAUACCUACCGUACAAAGUUGUACAGUCGAUUAUCGGAAAUAUUUUAAGAAAAAUAAAAAAAUUUCAAACAUGUAGAGUCGACGAUGGUGAUUAGUUGGGUGCAAAAUUUUCGUCAACGGAGAAUUGACGUGAAACUGGUCGGAAAUGUUUCCGGUGACCGGAAAUGGCCGCGCAGUCUCCGGAGGGGUGGUCUGGGAUCAUUGAUGGUUGGGUUCUGAUGCAACAAAAUAUUUAAAACAGUAUGACCAUAUUCCCUCUGAUUUUUCAUAGCUAUACGAUUGUGUAUACUUUCCGUACAAAGUUGUACGGUCGAUCGUCGAAAAAUAUUUUCAGGAAAACAAUAUUGGGCCCACAAUUUUUUGUCAACAGAUGUCGGAAUCGCCGGGGAAAUUGAUUGGAAAAGUUUUCGAUGACCGGAGAUGGUAGUCCGAUCACCUGAAACGGUGGUUUGAUCACCGGAAAAGGUGGUCCAGCGAUUGGGGAUGAUUUGAUGCAACAAAAUAUUUAAAACAAUGACUAUAAUACCUCUAAAUAAUCUUGUCCCUUAAAUUAUGUGAAAAUCUAAAGACCCAAAUUACUCUGAGAUCAGAUCCAGAAAGAAAUAGCUAUCACUCCAUAAUCAGACUCGACGAUUAUGAUGGCUCAAAUUAUAAAUUUUGUAAUGCUGAACAAACCUGUAAAUUCCUUUCCUAACGUGGAUAAUGAUCCAUUGAGAAUUGUAAAGAGGAACAGCAUCAAUAGCUUCUUGUAUGGUUUUGUAGUCCCCUUCCCCGUCGAUAUCGACCUUGAUCGUCCGAUUGGUGCCGAUCUUACUCGUCAACAAUUGAGAGUCUAUCUUCGCGUUUGUUGACAUCGCCUCAGCCUGCUCGCUCAAAAACAAUACGACUCCAUAGACUAGAGUCACGGCAAGCACCAUCUGAAAAUUAAUCGAGGAAGCCAUUGUGUUUUUUUUUAUUUUCUUUUGUUUUUUUGUUUUUGUUUUUGUUUUUAGAGAUCCAAUGCGUCAAUGAACGCUGAAAUCAGGUUCAUUGACGAAUAGCAAGGUUAUUAGUGUUCUUGUUCCUGCCCCUUUUCUGUACUUUUAGAAUUUGGAUGUUUAAUUUAUAAGAUUAGUUUUCCGUUUGGAGAAACGAAAAUGGGUUGAGACAAGGCCUCUCCUAUAUUUGGCACUCAAAAUAUGGGGACGCUAUCGCCUACCGUUUAGUCCUUCCCCGAUAAAAGUGACAAAAUUGAAAAUCAUUUAUUAUUCACGGUGAUAGAAAAUAUGUGAAAUUUUGGGAUAAAAUUAGCUUCAACAACUACUCUUCUUCAAAGCUCUAAUAAAAAAAUAGUUUGGGUUUAUUAUUAUUUUCUAAACACAAGGUGAGUCUCUCCCACAUAUUCUACGGUCUUUUAUCGGGGGGUCUCGCUACCCAAUGGUUUGAGAGCUCAUUCCCAGCUGCUUGACCAAUUUUUCUAUUAAGCGGGGAGAGUUAUAUGAGCUAGCGCUGGAUCAGAUUAACCGUCGUCGGAUCAGCUAAUAAAUGAUCUAAAAGUUGAUAUGAAAAUGAAAGAUUUUGGAACUUUCCAAAUUUAGGGUUGAACAGGUCCAGCCAUAAGAAGUGAUUUGUCGACAAUAACUCAUUCAAGCUCUUCGAGUGUUUGAUGUUUUGGGUAUCCCAAAUUCGGACUCCACCGGUCGUUUCCUAUUUUAUUAAUUUCAAUUUGUCUUUCCUUUUAAAUAAUUAUUUCCCGCUUUCUACCAUCGGGUAUUGCUUAGCGUCUGGGUUGCUGGACUCUGUUCAAGGUUAUCUAGUAUAAGGAUGAUUGGAAGUACGAAUGCGGUAACUUUUGCUACACAUUUGUGGAAUCGGACUUCACUCGUUAAAAGUGAUAAUCCUCUCUGAGGAUCUUGUCUUCUCUAUGAUAUAUCACGAUGCUCAUAUAUGUUAUAAUCUUGAACCAUCCAUGUUAUAACCUUGGACCAUUAGAGACCCAUGUCUAGCUAAUGGUUCAUUAGAGACUCAUAGUUUAUCCUAAGCCCGCCAAGUGAAUGUUCCCUUACGAUAAGAUGUUUGAAUAAUAUGGCAAGUGACAUAAUAAGUUGAGCAACCAUAGUAAUGGUUGCAUAGUAAUAAAAUGAAUAUGUUAGCCCUUAGGGAUAAGGUGAUAUCUGAAUAAUGUGAUGUCUAGAUAAGGUGAUGUCUGAAUAAUGUGAUGUCUGGAUAAGGUUAUGUCUGAAUAAUUUUGAUACUGUAAAGUUAUUUUUGAAAUCAUAUGUGUUAUGUCUAGAGCAUGAUAGACUGACCCUGAACCACCCAGCAUGGUGUUUGUAAGUUGAUGCAUGAGCUGAGUGGAGCUGAUUAUGAUGUGGAGUGGUGAACUUGGUUUUUUUUAUUAGUGAUUGCUUUCAAAUGUUUAUACAGAGACUUGGUUCUUUUCAUGUUGUCUUAUGUUUGAGCUAUUUUCACUUUUUAAUAAAGAAGUUAAGUUUAUUUUAUGUGAUCAGUUUGUCUAUUUAAAUAAAGUUUUCAAAAUUUCUUUACUCCGAGUCCCAACAGGGCAAUUUGGUCAUUUAAUAAAUAGAAAAUGUUUGAGGUGUUUCACACUAAGUGCAUAUUACUUACAAGUCAUUUUUUUUAGUGUAGUGCCCUGCGGUUAUAAUUAGAAUUGAAUCUCUUUAGUAUGACUUCCUGUAAGCCAGUGAUUUGACCUAUUCUCCCAUCUACUUAUGUACGUCUAUACAUUUAUGGUCCUACAGGAGCCGCUGCCCCUAGGAGGAAAAGUCUGUGACGACGGUAUCUUAAUUGAGGGGCUUCGAGAGCCGGUGAGAGAGUUAUUUGGAGGAUGUUCACCCGUUGUUUUCAUGAGUUUUCUUUCUAGUUUUAAAACUAUUUUUAGGCUCCCUUUUAUUUGGGAGGAAUCUUGUUUUCAUGUUUAACAUUUGUACAGAGUUUUUAAUUGUCGGUGCUAGCUAAUUAGGAGCUUUGGGAUAGUUUCUUUACUUAUAGUUUAAACCAUAAUAGAGUUUGAUCUUGUGUUGUGAUGCCUUGGAUGAGUUGAUGUUGACCAUAGUGAACCACCGCGUUUAGUAUGCAUGGGCCAAACCAGUGGUUUGACCAGGUUUUUUAGAGGCGGGUUUGAAACACCCUAAUUUCUUGUGAUUUAUUAAAUGACUAAAUUGCCCCGGCCAGGAAAUUUUAAAACAAAAAUAAAAGAGAUAAAACCAGAAAUCUUUAAAAAUAAGAGGAUAAACUUUUUAACUAGCAGCGGAAAUGACCCUAACACAUGGGAACUCAACAUUCAAAAUCAAGUCUCAAUAAGUAGUUUUAAAUACUUUAUUUCAAAUUCCAGGUCCAUACUUGCCACAUCUUGAAUCAGCUUCACUCUGCUCCUGCAUAACUUUCAAACACCCUGGUGGGUGGUUCGGGGCCAGUCUUUCGCGCUCUAAUCUUAUCAAUACGAACUUAAUAUCCUAAAUACUUAAUCAUCAACAAGGAAUCAUCAAUAACUAAUCAUCAUCAAUGAAUCAUCAAUAAAGAAUCAUCAUACAUUCAUAAAUAACCAUAUCACCUAAUGUAGUCCUCUUUAUGUAAUCCUAUCAUAAGUAAGAACUUAACAUGAUAAAUACUUAAUUAUCAACAAGGAAUCAUCAAUAACUAAUCAACAUCAACGAAUCAUCAAUAAAGAAUCAUCAACAAGGAAUCGUCAAGAACUAAUCAUCAUAGAUUCAUAAGUAACCAUAUCACCUAAUGUAGUCCUUUUUAUGUAAUCCUAUCAUAAGUAAGAACUUAACAUGAUAAAUACUUAAUUAUCAACAAGGAAUCAUCAAUAAAGAAUCAUCAUGAAAGAUUGAAGCUAAAGUCAAUCAAGUUAGGUGCAUUAUGAAUCAUAGAACUAUAGUUCUUGUAACUUGUCAUAUCAUAAACAUCAUUCUUGAGGAAGUCAACUUACAUGACUCUGAUUCUUGUAAUAUCAUUGACCUUAACUAAGGUAUCUUAUUUCUUGUGGGGGCAUCCCCCAACUCAACUAACUAACCCACCGCCUAGCGCUAAAAUCAUAGAGGUCUGGGAGUACAUAUCUAUCAGACGGUAUCAUAAAUCAUAGAGGGCAAACUGUGGCCCGUAAUCAUAGUGGGUAUAUGCCCGAAUCAUAGGGGCAAUAUCACAAAACAUCUAAAUGAAGUGUUCAUGUUUCUUAUCACUAGUCAUGUCUAAACUUAUCAUCAUCUAACAUUAAUGUUAGUCUAACCUUAUCAUAGUGUUAACAUUAUCAUUAGUCUAACCUUAUAGUUAUAUAGGAGGCAUAACUUACACAACAUCGAAGUAAUAACAUGUCAUAAAUAAACAAUUAAACAUGGAGUCACGACAUAAACUAAAUGCAUCAAAUUAACUACUUAAUCGAACCUAUUGCAACGACAAGAUAUUACCCCCUUAAACCAACCCACCUCAUUGGCAAGCCGACAUCUCAGAAAUAUCUUUGAUAUGAUUCCCAUUGCUACCACGAAAUCACAGCCUUAGACGGUGCGUCGUUCUGAGCGGAGGUUUACUUCUUUGCAACUUGCUGAAACUUCCAGGGGAGAUUUUGUCAUUUCACUGCCCAACUUGGCAAACUUCAGAAUCAGUUCCCCAACUUCUGGUCCUUGCAGUUCAGCCCCUAUCAUACAGAGAAUUCAAGUCCAGUCAUCCAAUUCUCCAGAAACACAACUCAGUCCUCAAACUUACAGAAAACGCAGUCAGAUACCUUAUCUUUCGGAUUCUGCAGAAUGAUCACCAUACUUUCCAGAAUUACAGUUUGGUUAGUCUUCUUCUCCGGCGAACUGCUCGCCGCCGGUGAACUCAUCUCCAGAUUCCGGCGAGCUCCAAACCUCUUGGAACUACCGCCAAUCCGCCCCCAACCCUUUGUCGGAUGCCUCGGAGUCCCUUCCGCUGCUUCUCCCGCGUUCCACCGUCGUCCUCCGCCGAAACCACCGCCGUUGCUCUUCAAUUCCCGCUGGUGACCUGUAGUUUCCGUCGAUGGUUGCCGUAACCAUCACCUUCCCCGAUCGUGUAGCUCAGUCCUUAAAAUCAUAGCACGAACACCGGCUUCGUUUGCGCGAUGGGAUCGAUUCAAGAAUCGGCGCCGCCGCUGAGCUCCAUCUCCUGUCUGUUGCUACAUCCAUCUCUUACUGUUAAACUAAAUCAUAAUACUCCCCAUCCCUUGAUUGAUAACGGAGGCCCAAACUUCCGCUAGAUCCAUCCAACGGAGCGAAGCCCAUUACGUCAUCAUUACUUCAAUUAAGACCUAAAGCCCACAGUCAGCGACUGAAGUCCAAAAUGUGGCAGCCCUGCUCCUUUACUUGAACGGAUCAAGUCAAACGACCGCCGUUCGAUUCAUCACACGAUUCUGAUCUCCUCCAACACAUAACUAAACAAAAUCACGCCUGGACUCCAUCUCCGAUUGGUCAACCAACCGAACCUCACCGAUCCCUUGGACUUAGUCAACCGCACAGUCAAACUUCUCGGAUCCUUAAAUUAAUAAAUUAAAUUCACAUCAAAUUCACAGAUUCCACUAGGUUCAUGACUUUGAUAAUUAAAGAGCUUAGCUCUAAUUUACAUUAAUUAGUCCAUAUGACUAAUUAAUCAAACACUACUAAUGCUUACCGCGUCAAACUAGGAAGUCAAACCUCUCGAAUUAAAUAUUCGAUUCCAAAACAGGGUUUUUACCCGACGAGUAGGAUAUUAUUCUGACCGUUAACCUAUAGCUUAUCUCAUGAGCCGAUUCCGACUGAUAUCUAUAUAUCAUUAUUCAACAACCAAUUUAUCUAAUUUAAUUUAUGACGUUUUUACUAAGCUAGACAUUUCUCUAACUCACAAUUUGACUAUAAUUUAUAUGUAAACUAAGUGAUGAUUAAAUAUAAAAUUUCUAAAGUAAUACUCAUAAUGAUACUAAUAUUUUACUGUCACUAUUUUCUCUUGGAUAUUUUAAGGGUAAUUUAGGGAUUUCUUAAUUGAAUUUAUAUCGUUAGAAUUGGGGUGUAACAGGGUUCCACAAAACGGACAUCAUCUAAAAUAACCACUUUAAGGGAAGAAGGCAGAUGAAGAACAUCCAGAAAAUUCAAACCAUUUAUUCAUUUCAUGGUGACAGGCCGAUCUCCUACCACUUUUUUAUUCUUAUCUCGGUUCUGUUUUUUAUUCGCCAAGAUCAUGUAAAAAGUAAAAAAUAAGAAACAAUAGGCUAUAAAAAAUAGUAUCGGAGGCCUUCCGGCCGGGACUCGCUUGGGCCGGAACCAGCAGCCGACCGGGACCCCUCUCUGCCGAAACGAGCGGCCGGCCAGGCCUAAUUUUUUUCAUUAGGGUUUUGUUAAUGAAUAUUUAGAAAAAUUAGGGUUUAGGAUUAGGGUAUUAGGGUUUAGUUAGGAAUAAUAAGUGAACCUAGUUGAGUAGAAUCCGAAUUUUAUUAAAAACAUUUAUUUGUUUAAAUGCAGUUUAAUGACAAAUAUGGCGAAAACGAAAGGUGGAGAUAAAUCGCACAGUCGAGAUCCGGUAGAGGAAGAAACCGAUGGGAUCCUUUGGCCGAGGGGGACAAAUGGCGAAAACGAAAGGUGGAGAUAAAUCGCACAGUCGAGAUCCGGUAGAGGAAGAAACCGAUGGGAUCCUUUGGCAGAGGGGGAUAAGGAUCCCACCUGCGGCAUGCGAGAGCCAGUUAGGAGAUCCGGAGGCUUUGACACCGUUGGUGACGGCUGUGCCGCCGGCAUGGUGAAAAUCGCUGAAAAAAAUCCCUUCUGGAAAUUUAGGAGAAAAACAUUUCUCUUCGUAAUGCGUUAGAUGAUAUUUUGUUAUAAAAUCUCAAACCAAAAAAAAAAAACUUAAAUCUGGACUUCUCACCUCACGGUCACACAUUGGAAAAAGUUUGAUUUUAAUUUUGCUGGUGAUUAGUUAUGUAUUGCUGUCCAGGGCCAGACCCUGGUUGGGUUGGCCUUUCAAUGAAGGAAUCACCCCCCCCCCCCCCCUCAGACACCCAUCAACUCCAAAUUCUUUUCGCAUCAGACACUCACACAAACUUGUCACGUUAAGACCAUAUUUUCCCGGAAAUUUCAAUCAUAUUUUAAUUUUCCCCUCCCCUUUCACCUUCCUUCUUCCUCCAUCCAUACAAAGAAUUUUCUCCGAAUCUCGCUCUCUCUCUCUCUCUUCUCGAGAAAACACCUCCUCCUCCUCCUCCUUCUUCUUCUUCCUCUGGAUUGUCCAAGUUAAAUUAAAGAGCUGUUAACUGCAGCGCUAGUACACGACACCUUCCAUAGAGUUAUGCCUAUGCUUCACAAGAGCUUCAAGCCUGCAAAAUGGUGAGUUGACGCUUCCCUUCCCCGUUUUACUUGUCACCUGAUUUUUAUUUUCCAGCCUUGGUCGACCGAUGAUUAGGAUAUCUCAAUUAUCUGUAAUCUUUCUUUCAUCUUUUAUUUCCAGUACCAAUUUUUUAAUGGCGGAUUCAGCGUUGUAACCGUGUUUCGUUUGUUUUGACUUGUGGCCUGGUAUCGUCGUUGUGCAGCAAAACGGCAUUGAAGAUGGCAUCAUCACGAAUCAAGCUGCUGAGGAACAAGCGAGAUGUGCAAUUGAGGCAAUUGAGGAAAGACGUCGCCCAGUUACUCGCCGCCGGCCAUGAUCGGACUGCUAGGAUUCGGGUACACACUCCGUUAGAUUGAUUAUUGUUACUAUUGAUCAAUUUUGGAUUUGACUUCUUAUUUGUGUACUUCUACUUCUCUGGUUUCCCGUUUAUUUUCUCUUCUGCUGAGAAACCCUCUUUCAUGCCCUCUUUUUAUGACUGUUAACUUGUGGGUGUAGUUUGAUGCCUACAGUUUGAUUAUGGUUUGACCUCCGAUUUGUGGAGUGCUGUUGCAGAACUCACAGACUCUUGUCCAAUAUAGAGCUGUGUAAUACGACGAUGACAGCUACUGACAUAUCAGAAAACAGAUUCUAUUCAAUAUCCUACUUCAUCAUUAACUGACUUUUAUUGCGCUUUUAACAUUAUGUACUAAUGGAAGCAACGUAGCUCGUUUCUUUUUCUUUUAGGAUUCGUUCACGUUGUUGGUUUGGUUUCGUACCUUUCUUCAUCUUCUGACUGAACGCUUUGAUAUGCUCUUUAUUGGAGAUAAGUCUAAUUAUAGCUGGAUUUCUGCUGAUUACUCUUUUUUUUUGUUUCUCCUUACAGGUGGAACAUGUAGUUAAUGAAGAAAAGACGAUGGCAGCAUAUGACCUUAUUGAGAUAUACUGCGAACUGAUUGUGGCCCGCUUGAACAUGAUUGAGUCACAAAAGUAUGUUCUGCACUCUUUCUAAUCUCAAAGCUAGUUUACGCUAUUAUUCUGCACAGAUAUUGUGUAUACAGUAUCCUAUGAUUUCAUGGGUUUUGUCUUGAGUGAUGACCAAGCUGUAUAAUGAAAUAAGCAGUAGAUAGCAUUGUGAUAUUGACGUUUGAGUGUAGUCUUUCUCGCUUGUAAUUUAUGGUCUCAAUGUCUAUUGUUUUUAACUGCUUGCAGAAUCUGCCCCGUUGACUUGAAGGAAGCAAUCUCUAGUGUAAUUUUUGCUACCCCUAGAUGUGCAGACUUACCUGAGUUGACGGAUGUUAAAAAGAACUUGACAGCAAAAUAUGGAAAAGAUUUCGUCUCUGCAGCCAUUGAACUACGUCCAAACAGUGGGGUUAGCCGCUUAGUAAGUCUCAAGGAGUCAUUGUUGUGCUUGAUUUUGUGGUUUUGACAAAUUGAAAAAUAACAUUUCGUUUUUUAACUGAUCUCAGCUGGUUGAGAAAUUGUCUGCAAAAGCACCUAAUGGUCCGGAGAAAAUGAAAAUUUUGAGUGCAAUUGCUGAGGAACACAAUGUUAAGUGGGAUCCCAAAUCAUUUGAAGAUGAUAUCAAGCCAUCUGAGGACUUGCUCGUAAGUAUGAGAGUUCAUUGGUUUUUCCUGUUUUAUCUUAUUCUCUGCGUAGUUGUUGUAGCUACUAAUCUUCACAUCUGUGAUCUUCCUUGAUCAGAAUGGACCUGGAAAAUUUCAACAGGCAAGUGUGAUGCCUGCGGAAACUCAUAAUGCAGAGCCAUCCACGAAUUUCAACCAGAGCCAGGCUUCAUCCCAUGGCAGGCAUGAUGCAAGCAUGAACUCAUAUGCCCCCAGUUCCCGCACAUCUUCUCAUAUGCAAUCUCCUAGUGUUGAUGAUUUUCGUGCAAGUAACAUAAAGCCCUCAGUUGCUUCUCAGCUAGACAACAGGACUCCAGGUAGAGCCACUAUUUUAAAGAUUCGAGGUUACCUUAAAUCUGUCUUAUCUAGCCGUCUUUUUGAGUCCAUAUCCUGGUUUGUUUAACAGGUUCAGGACCUGAAGCUGUGGAAUUUAGACAUCCACAUGAUAGGCCAGGGAACAAUUUCUCAUCCGGAAGCCAACAGUGGAAUAUGGAGUUCAAGGAUGCCACAGCUGCUGCCCAGGCUGCUGCCGAAUCUGCAGAGCGAGCAAGCAUGGCUGCCAGGGCUGCAGCAGAACUUUCAACUCGUGAUAACAUUAAUUGGCAACAUUCAAGAGAGCAGCAUUUAGCUUUGGGUUCUUCACCAAGAGAUGAAGGGCAUCAUACUGGCUCUAGAUUGCAAGGUGAGGAACUUUCCAAGGAUAUGGCAAACACAUCCAAAAUUAAGUCUCGUGUGUCCAAUGAACAGCUUGAUGACACUGGAGAAGAUGAGCUAGCUGCAUUGUCUGAAAGGUUCUACAAUCUCAAGAGCAGAAUGCCUACCUCAGAAUCCAGCGGUCCUCCUGAAGUUGUUUUUCCAUCUAUGAGUGAUCCCCACACACCGGAGACACAUUCUCGAAGGAGCUCAUCUGAAUCAGAAAGGAGUGAUAUUUCAAGUGACACAAGCAUAAAAAGACAGCCGAUUGACAAAGAGUUACAUAUUGGUAGUAACAUUCAUGGUGGAAUGAAACAUGAAAGUGUUGAUAGUUUUAAGGAAUCGGGUGGCGAAGAACAGUCUAGUAGUCUUCUUUCGCAUUCCCAUUCACAGAUCCCGAGGGUUGAUGAGAAUUUUACUUCGAACUGGGACCAUCGUGGAUCAAGUGAAGAUACUAUUGGUGAUCCUUUUUACAUCAGUCAGGAAACAAGUCAAGUAAACGCCCAAGAAACAAGCUCAUAUGACGUUGCCACUGCAGCUUUUGAUGAUUAUCGUUCUGAUGAUGACGUCUAUGAUUUUCAUGCUGAGGAUGAAGUCAGGGACCAAAAAUCCAAUUUGUUUACGUCACCAGAAAGUGAAAAAACCUCUCAAAUCCCAGGAAGGACAGAUGCAUGGAGUCCUGGGCAAAGCGUGGUUGAGUCUCCAAGAAAGUCAAGUUCGUCCUCUCUUUUUGCCUCUGAGCAGCAUCCUUCUUCUGUAUUUUCAGGUGGUUUAACCACCAAUACAAUGUCUUCGCAGCCAGGCGAUUCGUUACCAGUGACUUUUGAUGACUCUGAUGGUUCAAGUUCCGAAAAUGAACAGGAUCCAAGUGAAGCGAACGUUGGUGAACCAGGAAUUACCAGCAUCUCAUCUCAUGUUGAUUCCAGAAAUCUUGACCAUCCCCACGAUGAGAGUACUCAAUGGAGGGGAUCUUUACUUGCUGAAAAGGAUGAGGUAAAGGAAAUUAGAAAGAAUUUCUCACGGCCAUCUUCAGUUGACUUUGGUGACGGAAUGAUGCACCAUCAGAUUAACAAGGAAGUUGAAGCUGGUGUGAAGGCUGAUACGCAAUUUGGUUAUUCCAAUGUCCAUCAAGAUCGCCCUUCAAUCAGAUCUGCAGAAUUGCAGCCCAAUUCAAGUGAUGUAAAUGAGAAGUUGCAAACACGAGGACCUCGAUCCACUAAAGAUUAUGGAGGUGUAAGUCAGCAGCCACGAGGAUCUGUGGAGGAUACUGAUUCUGUCAAAGAAUCCGAGUCCGAAAGUGGUUUGGAAUUGAACUUUGAAUUCCUGGCAGGUGGCUUCCGGAAUAAGGGCUAUAAACAUCCACCUUAUCAUAGCAAUGUUGCUAGCAGACCUUCACUGUCCAAGUACUCUUUGGAAGAUACUGUUACUGGUACGGAGCAUUCAACAUCUCUCGUAGGUGAUGUUAGCUCUAGAGAGAAUGGGCAAGAGACAUCCAGUAAGGUAGUGAACCCAGAAGCUGGUAGAAGAAUUAGCUCGAGAACUCAGGUUAGAAAUGAUGGUGAUUCAGUUGACGAGCAGAAAUACGGUAGGAAGGAAGAGCCACAGACAUGGGGAUCGGGAGUUGAAGUUAACAAAUACUCAGGUUCCAAAACCUACUUCGAUUCUGAUGAUAGUGAUGUUGGCGAGGAGCUUUCUAAGCAGAAAUCAAGAGGGAAAGUUCCAGCGCAGGUAUUUUCUCGGCGAACGAAGGGGGCUGCUGCUUCAAAUUCGAAUAUAAGUUCAUCUGCAAAGACAAGAGGAAAUAUUAAUGUUAGCCAUGGUGCUGUAGCGAAGUCAUCCUCGAGGGGUGAUGAAGUUGACAGAUCAGUUGAAGAAGAUGAAUCGACUGAGAGGAGGAAGUCUUCACUUGCUGGAAGUCAUCAAAGUCAUCCAUCACAGUCAAAGGAAUCGCGUUGGUCAACCAGUCCGCAGGCAGGUCCAGACAAGAUAGGGUCAUCUGGUGUGAAACAAGCAUCGAAUGAUGUAGCUCCGAAACAAGCAUUGAAGCCUGUAGCUCCGAAAACAGGGUCAAAACAAGAUUCGAUGAAUAGAGCUAGUCAUGUUCAUCCUAAACUUCCUGAUUACGACAGUUUUGAAGCACACCUACUGUCUCUUCGCCAGAACCGCCAGUGAAAAAUAGAACACACACAUGAAGUUAAUAUUUUAAUAUACACAGGUAUACUUGGGGUGUUUUGUUAUUGUUGAAAUUUUAUUUAUUGUUUGAUAGAUUGCUGGUACAGAAACGUUGGGGAGGCAUUUCAAGUUACAACGAAGAAUAAGGUGGUGGGUAAUAUAUGUAUUUAUUCACACACGGAACGGAAGAAGCAUGCAUAUGCAUGCUGUCUGGUGACAGAUGCGAUGAUCCUUUGGGCUUUUGUGUAGAUAUCUCGAAUAAGGACAAAUUCACUAGCGUGUAAACUUGUAUUAUUAUGGAUGGUGGAGCUGUGCAACUGCAAUUUUUAUUUCUCUUCUUGUUUUAUUAUGGGUGGUAGAAUCAAUCAUGGACAGCCUCAAGAAUAUGAGCUGCGUUGUUUGCUUCUCUGAAAGCAAGUCACCAAGCUCUGUGUGGCAGGGGUGCUUGUGACUGCAAAUCAAUAACCUUCUUGCUGUCUGAUUCGACAACCUCGUUGGACCAGCCAACUUGAGGCAAAAACAGACUUGCUCUAGCAAGCACCAUACUUCCAUUCCAAUCUCUGCAGUUAACACAAGCAUCAACAUUAAGCUGGGUGUUGAAGUCGAUGAAAGUGCCAAUUUUUUCCUUUCCCAACAACCAAGCUGGAUGCUGUAGCGAAGCGUCUCUUCUCUUCCCCACCAUCAGUUAGAUACAUACGCUUCAGUUAUUAUUGAAAACAAGUUCAUCUAAUGUUCAAGGGUAUUGGGAGAAUGGCCAAACCAUUUGUUGGCAGAAUAACCUAUGGCGGCUUACUAGUAGCUAGAGAAACAUGUGUUAGCCCAUAGUAUCCUGUAAACUAUUCCGAUAUCAGUAAGUAACGAAAUUCCAGUAUAUAUCUACCCUUUACACACAUGUAUGUAAGUUUCCCAGGUUUUUAUUUUGAAAUUCAAAUUGUCUACACGAUCAGCCAUCCGAGUAGGAGAUGCAUCAUUAGCAUGUUCAUGACUAUAAGAAGACAAGUGUAUGGAAAUUCAAAACACAAUAAUCACUAGCAUGUUUACUGCAAGAAACAAAUGAUUUAGAUGGAUUGAGAUCUCAUACCACGAUCCAAACAUAUAAGAGCAAUUCCAGUAUUGAGUGCUAAUCAAAGCAACUUCAAUAGUUGAGCCCAAACUGACAAACGUCCAGCUUCAGUGGUUAUGGGAUAUGAUUUCUGAUUUAGUAUCCUGCAAGCAAUCCUAAGAUUGUAGACAGUGAUCUAAUGAAAGUAACCAAGAACCUGACCCCCUACGUUUCGUUUAAUUGCCUCCUCGUGAUCCAGUACACCGUCCGGAGUUGAGAUCACUACAUAACCCCACUGCAUAACAAGAGGAUGAAAAAACUACAAAUUAAUCUCAAUUUUUGACGUGCUGUAAGAGAGAUGGCAAAACAAAAGAAAACUAAAGCUCAACCUAACCUGACGGGUUGGAAGAGUUUGCUUUGUGUAAGUUUCAAUUUCCUUAGCCUUGAUAUCUUGUCUGUAAGUAAGUGCCUUGCAAUCUUUUACCCUUCCUUGUAGUUCAACCGUUAUCCUCCCCACUCGCUGUGGGUCAAACACUUGAUAAUUUUUUAUGUACCCUGAAACCAUCAAAAUCAAGGCUUCAAGAUUCAAAUAAGAGGAAUUAAACAAACAGUAUAUGGAACAGCAAGCAAACACAAGAAUUGGAUUUCAAGAAUCGGCUGAAGAUUGCAAAUCUGAAAGAUUAUGUCAGCUUCUGUAUGAACAGAAGAUGUUAUCCAUUCCUUUUUAUCAGAGAGUGUAAGCAUCACCAUGAUCUAGUCUUUCAUUUCAGUCAACCAGAAGUACCAACAGUUGUCUGAUUAGGCGGCCUUCCAUAAUUUCCAACUAUGCAUACAAGUCUUUAGGCUGAGUUCUCUAACAUAGUCAGAUAAUUGGCCUUUCAUAAUGUGCCUGAAUACUCCUAGUGAGUUGCUUUCACUUAGAAAUUCCUAACUCUCCACAUGAAACAUAGCUGAUAAAUGAAGUAGUGUUUUUUGCUGACAGAAAAUGGAUAAUUCUAACAUCUCGCAGAGGUGCUGAACAAGUUGAUGCUAAGAAUAUUAGCUAAUACCUUGGACACAUAAUAUAUUAGCUAUUGUGCUAGUGUCUUUUUUCCAAUAAACGAUCUAAACCAAAAUCAUAAUUUGUAUGAACUAUCCAUGAUAUGCUUCAAUCUAAAUCGACAAGCGUUGCCACUGUGAACUGCAGCAGUGUCCUAUUGAAAUUGACCUCUUUCGGUUAAAGCCUUGUGAUUGUUAUGUUAGGGUUUAGGCAGACCUUGAUGAGGGUGAGGAUCAAAGUAACAAUACAAACUGAGUAACGCGUAAUCUGAUCCCUAAAUUGAAUAUCAUCUGGCCGAAAGUAGAAAGUGAAGCAUCACGAUAAACCAGACGAAAGCUAGAAAACAACAGAAGAAGAAGAAGAAGAAGAAGAAGGAAAUUGGAUAGAGAAGGAGAUACCUCGAUUUUUCAUGAUCCUAAGGAAAGACGACAUGACCGUGGAAAUAGGUUGAAGCUCCACUGUAGCUUUGGCUCUCCUUUCCGCAUUCACUAUGGCCCUCAACGCAUCGUUCAGUAUCCUCCUUCCCAUCUCUCCAAGCAGGUAAGCAGACUAAAAAUCUCAGAACCCCAACUGAUGAACAGACGACAAUGGCGAUAGAGAUUGAGACGGCAGACGGUUUAUGGUUUCGUCGCUCGUAGUUGACAUUAAGAGUCCCUAAAGUUUCUGCACAUUAGUGUAUUGGUCCUUAAGUUUCAAAAUUGGUCACUUCAGUCUCAAGGAUAUUUACUGUUAUAACUUUUUGAUCUAUUGAUCACGUGAUGCUGACUCAUCCGAUCCCAAUCCGCAAAAUUAAUAAUAAUAAUAAAUUAAAUUAGAAAUAUUUGUUUUGUGAAUCUGAAUUAAAAAUAUAACAAAUUUAAGGGUGGUCACUUUAAUGCACCGGUGCGCCUCAUUGCGUAUAGUGCUAAAAAAAAGACUUCAAUAUCAUGCUCAAUUUAUUACCAAUAGUUAGAUCGUGCUUUUUUUAGCUUUUUUAAUGUAUAGGUCUAGAGUAUUGUUGGCAGUUUUGGUAGUUAGAAAAUAUAUGUUUUUUUCUUAUUUUUUAACUCAUUUAGUUUAAAUCUCAUUUUUAUAAUCUUUAUAUAGAAAUACUCUUUAACGAGAUCAAUAUUGAUUUUAUUUCGACGAUUUUAAAAAGUAUUGUUUCAUCGAACAUAUAUACAUUUAAGUUGUUCAUACCUAUAUCAAAGUUGCAAUACAUACGUCUAAGUUGUUAAUAAAUAGAUUCCCCCUUAUAUCUACAUAAUGUUUAAGUUGCUAAUACCUAUGUCUAACUGGAUAAUAACUAUGUCUAAGUUCCUAAUAACUACAUCUACAUUUAAGUUGUUAAAUUCUACUUCUGAAUUGGUGAUAACUACGUCUGAAUUCUCUCAAUAAUUACGUCUAACUGGCUAAUAACUACAUUUUCCCCACUUAUACCUUAAGUUUUCAUCGACCAUACAUACAUCUAAGUUGCUAAUGCGCACCUAACUCAAAGUUAUCAAUACUUAUGUCUAAGUUGCUGAUAACUAUGUUUCCUCUCUUAUAUAUACUUUACGUUUAAGUUGUUAAUACUUAUAUCUAAGUUGCUCAAAACUACAUCUACCUCAAAGUUACUAAUGACUACGUCUAAGUUGCUAAAACCUACCUCUAAGUUGCCGAUGCCUACCAAGUAUAGUUUUGAGGCAGUCAACUCACAUGUUUGACCUCGAAAAAAAGUUUGUCAAAACUCUAUCAUGACUGUUAUAGUUUUAAUCAUCUUUGAAAUUCUAAGAUUUAGGCAUAAAAAUCGAUCAAAUCUGAGUUCGUAUGUAAAAGAUAUUAAUUAAAUAAAAAAGUUAGGGAGAAAAUAUCAUUAAAUGAAAUAAGAACGUGAAAUUACCAAAAUGGCCCUCUGCUGCAAAAUAAGUUCGUUUCCCCACUUAUAUCUACCUUAAGUUUUCAUCAACCAUACAUACAUCUAAGUUGUUGAUAUGUACCUACCUCAAAGUUGUCAAUACUUGUGUCAAAGUUGCUAAGAACUAUGUUUCCCACUUUAUAUCUACCUUACGUUUAAUUUGUUAAUACCUACAUCUGAGUUGCUAAAAACUACGUUUAAUUCUAAGUUUCUAAUAGCUACCCAAAGUUGUUGAUAACUAUCUCUAAUUUGAUGAUUACUACGAAGUAUAGUUUUGAGGCAGUCAACUCACAUGUUUGACCUCAGGAAAAAAGUUCGUCAAAACUCUAUCAUGACUGUGCGACUUUUAAUCGUCGUUGGAAAACUAAGAUUUUGGAGUAAAAAUCAUUUUACCAAAAUGCCUCUCUACUGGAAAAUUCAGAAGCGUUCAGCAUGGGAAAAGUUCAGCACACGAUGCAGAUUCCUUAUGAGGCACAUUGCAGAGUCGUACACUAAGGUGGAUUAUGUACUUCAUUUAUAUCUCGUCCUCAAAUUUGGUUACAAAUAAACUGUAAUCUUUAGCUUUAUAAAUUUUUAUCCUAAUUGCUCACUAAGUUAAGUGCAUUAUAUAUUUUGACCAAUCGAUAUAAAUCGAUCCCUCAAAUCAAAUCCAUUCGUAAUCAAAGAAAAUAACUCCAUAAUUAAAAAUGAACCUAAAAUCAAAUGUGGUCAUCACUACCAAACUCAUUAUUCCCCAUUCUCAGUCUUAAAUUUACAACAUUGUUGUUCUUCCCUAAACUUCAUUGUCCUUGAGGAUCAAAAUCGAGUACUAACUCAAACAAUUAGAAUGAGGAAUCACAAAUGAAAGAUUUGCAACGCUAAUCUACACUUGCAUGAAAGUAAAUCGACAGAGGAAUUAUUCACGCAGUUGGGGAUAACCUUACUCUCCGGAGUCUCACUGGGAGACUCAACCUGAAUACACUAUUACAAGUCACUAAGAAGAUUAAAAGUAGCCCAACAAGAACCCUAAUACAACCAACCACUUAACAAUACAAUCCCAAUCAAGCACAGGAAGGACACAAUCCAGAAGCACUAGGAAGGAACAAUAUUUCGUGAUCAGAGCAGCAGCUGAAGCUCCGGUCUGUGAUCCACCGUCCGUCGGCACAAAACCCUAGCAGAGUUUGAGAGAAUUCCAUAACCAAUUGAGUCCACAUCUUGAGUAAAGGUGGAGAGAGGUGUCGACAUCUUGAGUCCACCAAAAGUAACCUCUUAGUAUUUAUACUAGAGUUCCCAAGCCUAAAACGCACUGUUCCAUUUAGGUGUUUGAUUUGGUUGACCAUCAUGACCGGUCUGUCCCAACCGGUCAAGUCCAACCAAGACUUGGAUUGGUAUAAGGAUCAAAGACUCAACAUGUGCCCUCCUAAUCCUUGUACCAAUUCUAUCUCCUCUAACUUCAGUGAUGUAAUGAUAAUGGAUCAAGCUUCAUCGACUUCUUUCAUCAUUGACCUAGGUCAUGUCUCAGGUACCUUCAUGGACAUGAAGAAAGUUCAUGCAAAACACAAACUUGUUAGUAAGAAUGAUCUUAGUGCCAAAAUCAGAUGGACUCUCAGAUCCAAAGACCUUAACAAUAGAAAGAUGUUGUUUUUUAACUUCAUAUUGGAUGAAAUAAAAGCGCACAUUGAUAUGUUUAGUUCGCCCAUGAUAGUCGGGAUCUUUCCAGAGAUGCAGAGCACUCUGGCUAUCAAUAUGUAGAACAUGAACAUAUGAUUUCCACUCAAUUUUAGACAGGAGGCCCUUAGGCCAAAUGGCUUCCUUGCAAGCCUCUGCAACAGCUAUAUAUUCUACUUCCGUGGAAGACAAUAAUUGAUUGUUACUGUGACUUCCAUGAAACACAAUUACCUACCCAGGAGAAGACAAAGCAAGUGGUAGUGUAAAACUCCACCCUAAGAGUCUCGGUCGAACCACUGGUUCAACCCAAGAGUCCUACUCAUGUUUCAAUUUAAACCAUAACUCAACUCUAAUCUACUAACCAAGCAUUAAAUACAAGCAUUAAAACCUAAACUGAAAUACUUUAUUAAAACUAACCAACUGAGAUCCCAGUUUCCAAAACACAACAAAUUAAGGAGAUGCCACUCUAGUUUGAAAAAUACAUAAAAAAUGAUAUCCAAAGAUAUCAAAACUUCGACCAGCUCUCUCUGCACCAUCAACUUCAAUACAUGUGACUGAACACACAUAUACACCAAGGAAAAACAAUAUCUAACAAGGUUAGUGAUAAGCACUGAGUGGCUAAACUAGUAUUGCAUAGAACUGAAACUGAACUGAGACAGAUUCUGUUGAGCCUUUACUGUGCAUGUACUAAGCCUUCACUAAGACUUUAUUAUGCCAGAACUGAGGAUAGAAUAAGAAGUCUAUCUAUACUGCAUCUAGUAAUAUGACCUUGUGGUCCUAUAGGUAUCAUCCUAACGUCAGCCACCCCUAGCUAUGAUCAACUGACAGCCUCAUGGUGUAUCAGACUAUGAAACCACAAUGAAAUGCCGUGAGAACAGCACUGAAGGCUUACUCGUCACGUCCUACCCGAACCUGUACCUGGGGGAUUGUACAAUCCAUAAGGUGGGCGACCAACGUAAUAAUCGGAAGCUAAUCUAGCUAAUCUUGAAUCCUGUCCUAAACAUGAACUAUGAAUCCAAGUUCAAAUGUCAUGAGCUUAUGCUCGAAAUUAAAGAAUUGUCUGUACAGUAGAUCACACGCUACUGCACAGUCUAAGAGCCCAGCUCUAUUUCAAAAUACUUGUACAGUACAUCACACACUACUGUACAGUCAUAAGAAUCCAAUAAUUGGAUUCCUGACAACCUAAUUACAGUUCUACGCUUAAAGCAGAAAAGUAAUCCUAAACCCCCACCUCUUAUAAAGAGCUGACAUCUCUGGUUCUGACUGGACAUGAUUCAUCUUAUUGCGACGAGUCCGUAGCUUCUGACCGUGCAUCGUUUAGAGCUCAAACGGCCGAGUUAUGCUCCAUUUACUUCUUUGCAACUGUCUGAAACUUAUAGAGGCAGAAUUGCCCUUUCAUCGACCUAUCAAACCACAAAGCUUUUAAUGAAACCUAUUUCUCUGUAAUAUAACAAAAUAAAAAAAAUUAUGGCAUAAACGUCUAGCACAUGUUAGUAUUACUCGUUUGUCAAAGUUAUUUAAAAUGGGAAUCGUUAGAGAAACUAAAAAAUUUAUGUGAAGCUUGCCUUUUCCACCACCUUCGCCAUAGUCCCCGAGACCGAAAGCUCGGCGGCCAUGGCUUAGCCUUCAAGUACUUUGUUAUCGUUUAUCUAUUCUAUAACGCAAAUAUAUGGUUGAAAAAUAACAUGAUUUGCGUUACUACAAAGUUGACUAAUACUAAGCAGAUUAUGCAUAAGAUGUUCAACAAGAAGUACGUUUGAAAAACAUGGUCCAGUAGACUCACCUAAUGUACCACGAUCAAUGAUUGUUUCUUGUCCAUUGUCUCUGAAUGUAACCUUUCCUUUCUUUUUGUAAACAAUAUCCGAGAAUAGAUCAGCAUUCCCAAUCAUGUGGUUGGAACAAUCACUGCCAAGAAACCACUCAUUCUGAGUGUACUUUUUUUCAUGUACAUAUAACAUUGAUAAGUACUUUUUGUACCCAAAUUUUUUUGGAUACUUGUUUUUAUAGAUGAGAAUUGCAAGUACAUUGAUAAGAGUAGUGAUUCUUUCCAUAACAAUAUUCACAAAAUAUUUUUUUUCAUAACAGUUUUUACCAAAAUGUUUGAUCUUAUGACAAAUAUCUAUAAUUGCAUUGAGUCUGAUAAUAAUUCUUAUAUACCUGAAUAUUUGAAUAUUCCUCUAACUCUUUAGUUAACCUUUUAUUAUCGAUUUUAAAAAAUCUUAUCUUGUUAUGAAUAUUAUAAUUAUGUGUAUGAAUGCCCAUUUGUAACUCCUACCUUUGUAACUUCUAUACAUUGAACAUGAAAAUGAAUAUCCUAUUUAAGUGUAGUUAUACUAGUGAUGUAUAGGUUAUGAAUUCUAGAGCCUAUAAAUAGUGCUCUCUCUUGUACCAUUUUCACACCUCAAUAAGAAAGUACUUCUCCUCCCAUGUUCUUGUUCUCUUUUGUUCUUAGUUUUAUAACACGUUAUCAGCACGAAGUUCUGCCGUCGAGCAAUCUCUUGUAAUCAUACAAUGAGAGAUUACUUUUAAUCGUGAGAUAAGCGGUGCACGCGGAACAAUACAAUUCCGCCCGCCAUAUGGCUAGUAAGAUUUACGCUUUUGAUGCCCGUGAUAUGGCCAAUGAGAUUUAUGCUCUUGAUGCCCACGAUAUGGCUAAUGAGAUUUACACUCAUGAUACUCGCGUUUUGAAAAUUUAUUAUUUGCCUAUUUGGUAUAUGCGUGGGUUGCAGUUUACUUUCGGGUGCAUGAAAUUUGCAUAAUACAUGCUGGCGUUAUUGUUCAUUUUUCUAUAAUAUUUCUCAUACUUAUUUUCAACAAUCGGAGUCAUUGUUCUUUAUCAUCAUGCACAUCAAUCACUUACAUUACUACUAGUUUAAUAUAAUUUAAUUUCCUAUUUAUGGGUUGCUUACCAUUUGAAUAGUAUGGCCGAAUAAUUCUUCAUUGAUUUCUACUUUAUUGUCUGCUUUAUGUUUUUAUUUUCUUUAUAUGACCUUAUUAUUAAAUUUAUGACCUUACUAUAUUUUUUUUAAUAUGAGUUAACAUUUUCUUCCUUACAAUCAUAAUUAUUCACUUGUUGUGACUUUUCAAAUUUAUGACUAUAUUAUAUUGAUAUUUAUGUUAUCAAAUAGCCGUUAUACUUAUUAUUAGUUAAUGGUUUAUUACUAAUUUUAUAUGAGUUUAUUAUCAAGUUAAUGAUAUUUUAUUUAUUUCUUAUAAUAUAUUGAAUAUUUUGUAAUUUGAGCCCCUCCAUGUUUCGGGCAAGCUUCACCAUUCAUUGGCAUUGGAAGCUAAAAUUCAUUACAGCCAAGUUCACCUUUUCCUAAUGAGCAGCCCACCUUUGGAAAUAGUGAUGCUCCUUCAAAAUGUAGGGUAUCGUCCUUGUGAUUAUCGUUGAUUUCGUUUUGAACUGGGCGAUUAAAGUGGGUUUCAACUCCUUGCAAAUAUCUAGAACAAAAUAUGAUGCACUCUUCGGCAAUAUAACCCUCAGUGAUGGAUCCUUCAGUUUAGCUUUAUUGCCAACAUAAGACUUAAGCGUCGAUAAGAACCUGCAUAUAGAUUCAAUUCAUUUCAAUAUAUAGGUGAAAUACAAUAUUAAUGUAAUCACAGAAACUGCUUGUAUAUAAAUUACCUCUCGAUUGGGUACAUCCAUCUCCCUUGUACUGGCCCACCUAAUUUGGCUUCAGACACCAAAUGAACAGUUAAGUGAACCAUGAUAUCAAAAAAUGAUGGAGGAAAUACUCUCUCCAAAUGACACAGCGCUAAAGCAAUUUCACCUUCUAACUUAUUCAAACGUUCAACCCGUCCCACCUUUGAACAUAAUUCUUUGAAGAAUGAGCAUAGUUGGAUUAUAGGCUUAACCACUUGUUUAGGCAAUAAUCUUCUAGUUGCUAAAGGAAGAAUUUGCUCUAUUAGAAUAUGAUUGUCAUGACUUUUCAGACCAGAAAUCUUACGCUCUUUCAGGUUGACACACCUGGAUAUGUUGCUAGCAUAUCCAUCUGGAACUUUAAUAUUCUUCAGUACCUUACACAAAAUCUGUUUUUCUUUGGCAGUUAGGGAAAAACAAGCUGGAGGCACAUAUAACUUGCCAGAGUCGUGUCUACGGGGGUGUAACUCAUCUCUUAUUCCCAUUAACUGCAUGUCCAAUCGAGAUUUCAGACCGUCCUUUGUCCUUCCAGUAACAUUUAACAAUGUCCAAAGAAUGUUAUCACAUACAUUUUUCUCAAUAUGCAUCACAUCAAGAUUGUGUCUAAGGAUAUUAUCCUUCCAAUACGGUAGUUCAAAAAAAAUACUUUUUUUCUUCCAACCAUAUGACAGUGUAUCAUUUUUACUCUUCUUUCCAAAUUUGAUUUGCUUUCCAUGUAACUCAUUCAACACCUCUACCCCAGAUAAUGGUUUUGGAGCUGACCUGAAUUCUUGACUAUUAUUAAAAGACUUUUUGUGAUGUCGAAGUACAUGCCCCAUGGACAAAAACCGACGAUGACCAAGAUAGCAAAACUUUCCUCCAUGUGUUAACCAUUGCGAGUGAGUAUGUUUAUUACAAGAAGGGCAUGCAAAACGACCCUUUGUACUCCAACCAGAUAACAUUGCAUACCCAGGAAAAUCACUAAUAGUCCACAUCAAUGAUGCCCUCAUCUGAAAAUUGAGUUUUGAAGAAGCAUCAUAUGUUUUUACCCCAUCAUUCCAGAGAUGUUGUAACUCGUGAAUCAAAGGCUGAAGAUAUAUAUCAAUAUCAUUUCCUGGAGAUGACUUGCCGGGAAUAAUUAGCGACAAAAACAUAUAUGGUUGUUUCAUGUACAACCAAUGAGGUAAAUUAUAUGGUACCAACACAACUGGCCAAGUGAUGUGAGAAGUACUCAUCGUCCUAUAUGGAUUGAAACCAUCAGCAGCUAAGCCCAACCUCACAUUACGUGGAUCAGAAGCAAAAUCAGGAUGUCGAAAGCUAAAUGUCUUCCAUGCAGGUGAAUCUGCGGGAUGCCUUAAAACUCCAUCAUUUAUACGACCGUCUGCAUGCCAACGCAUCAACUUAGAUGUAUCUGAAGACAUGAACAACCUUUGCAAUCUUGGCCCUAUAGGGAAGUAUCGAAGUCUUUUUUUUGCAACUCUAUUAGUCUUUUGUUUGGAAGAUCCUGCUUCAGUGGUGUUUGUAGUUUCCCACCUAUGUGCUCCACAAACAAGGCACUUCGCCUCAUUUAUAUCGUUCUUCCAAAAUAACAUACAAUCAUUUGGACACGCAUCUAUUGUUUCAUAACUCAACCCCAUGUCUGCAAUCAAUUUUUUAACCUGAUAGUAAGACUUGGGUAAAGUUUUCCCCUCAGGAAGCACUUCAUGUAAUAGCUCCAAUAGCAUAGUAAAUGAUUUGUUUGACCAUCUUCCAAGACAUUUCACUUGAAAUAACCUAAUGAUGAAGGAAAGCUUAGAAUGACUGGUGCAACCAGGAUAAAGUUCUGUUUGAUUUGCUUCCAUCAACCUAAAAAACUUUUGAGCCUCUGGAUUAGGAUCUUCCGCAGAUGCAAGUGAUUCAUUACCCGUAACCAUAUCAUUGAGCAUGUCUUCAAUAUCACUACUUGCACCCUCAUGGUGUUGCUCCACUCCAUCAUCCGUAGUUGGUGCUGCAUGAAAUGAACACUCCAUGUGUAGCACCCAACGAGUAUAAUUAUGGACAAAUCCGUAGCAUAUUAAGUGAUCAUCACCUCCGUUCGAGAGUUCCAAUAAUGGUUGGAACAAUUUUUGCAUGAACACAAGAUCUUGUCAUCGCGGCAAUUUGAAGAACCAAAUGCAAACUCAAGAAAAUUGCCCAAACCAUGUAUAUACUCGACGGAACUUCUAGGUUUGGUCAUCCAACUUUUAUCUAUGGUAAAUACCUUUCACGUUUAGUAAAGAACACAAAUGCAAUGUCUCUAUAAAUAAACUACUCAUAAAAAUGAAAUUACCAAAAAAGAUAUAUCCACAACUUGAUUUAGAAGUACAAACGUGUUCAUUAUGUUUACAAAACAUUUAUAUAAUCAUUCAAUUUGGGAUUAAUAUACAAUUCUAGUAAAACUUUUUUUCUCGGCCAGUUGAUGUGAAAAAAUGAUUAUACCAAGUAUCACAACAAAAUAUCAAAAAAGCAAAGUAAAAGCAGUGUGUAGAUAUGGUUACUUCUAAUUAAAGCAAUUUAUUUCUCUAUGAUAGUCUUUUUUUCUCUGUUUGAUUAACUAUUUUUUUUCUUGCUGCUCUUACUCGAAUUACGUCUCCCGUGUGUUGUUAAUAAUUGUGUGUUGUUGGUAAUUGUAUGUUUGGGUUGCAUUUAAAAAAUGAGGUCAACUUGUUAAUCAUUAAAGAAACAGAGCACAAACCACACCAAAAAUCAUAAAGAAACAGAGUACAAACCUAUUAAUCAGCCAUUGUCGAAUCGUCCAAUCCCAAACAUAUGGCACAAAUCGCUCGAGAAUACACCCCACACGUGUAGGCAGCUCUAACAAUCAAAUCUUGUCUUCGAUAGAAAAAACUUUAUAAGAUAAAAUCAGAUUACUAGCAAAUAACAAUUUGUUAUGAAUAUUAUAAUUAUGUGUAUGAAUGCCCAUUUGUAACUCCUACCUUUGUAACUUCUAUACAUUGAACAUAAAAAUGAAUAUCCUAUUUAAGUGUAGUUAUACUAGUGAUGUAUAGGUUAUGAAUUCUAGAGCCUAUAAAUAGUGCUCUCUCUUGUACCAUUUUCACACCUCAAUAAGAAAGUACUUCUCCUCCCAUGUUCUUGUUCUCUUUUGUUCUUAGUUUUAUAACAUAUCUCAUUUAAAAAAUAAAUUUUAUUGAACUUUUAGAUUUUAGUGAUGCUUUAACCAUCUUGUUUUUAAGAAUCUCAUCAUCAAAUUUAUAGUAUGCAUUAGUAGAUUUAAGAAUUUUGUUUUGUUUCCUAAGUGAUAUAUUUUCACCUUUUAACUUAGCAACGUAUCCUUCUAAGGUUAGAUAAGCUCUAAUUAAUUCAGAACUCCAAACAUCAUCAAGUUUCUCGGUUGAGCAUAUACUAAUUCUGAAUUAUCCUUAGCUCUAGCCAUAAAUGCAAAUUAUUUUGCUGUUAAAUCAAUAGAAGAUGCAUGUUAAUUCUCCUUCUUCAACUCUGUAUUCGGCAGACUUGAUUUCGAGGUUUCUCUGAAUCUAUUCCAACCUGCAACUCAGAGUUAAUUGAUGGUUAGAUUAGCAACAAUCCGUAACAAAUAUGAAUAGAAAAGAAACAAUAAAGGAUCGUGGAGAAGCCACUGCCCUUGAAGCAAUUUUCCGAUCACCACAACAGUCAGAGUGUCGAGAAAAGCUCCCCAAGGUAAUCACUAGAUAGACUGAGACCUAGAUAUCAAAGGAAAGUUGAUUGAGUGUGAAGCAAGUUCUGUGUAGCAAUCUCCAGAACUCCAAUCCUGCAUUUAUGUGUAGUUCUGUUGCUUCUUCGCGUAGGAUAGGUGAUCAACUCCACUUCUUGUAUUCAUGGAAUUCAGAAGAGUUGGUUGAGAGAAAUCAGGAGGGAGAUCAGGUCAUGUUCAUCAUAUCUCCCUCUAUCCCCAACGGUCAAAUCCAGUUCCGUUAAGUUUCUUAUUUCAUUAGUGUAACGGUGUCGUUUUUUAGCACUGGUUUGAUUCAUUGGUUAUUUGGUCAACUCUCCUGGUUUGAACCUUCAUAUUCCUAACAUUAAUGACACACAGAUAUGCAUAGUGAUAUAGAAAUGCAGAAUACAUCGAUCUAACGUGAUUCAGGAACGAUCCCUAGUCCACGCCCAAGGUAAACCUUGGGAAGUCAAUCUUAUUCUAUUCCUUAACUAAAGUCCCUGAAUGAAAUCCACAUUCAAAAACAAUUACAAACUUGCAACUCCACAAGUAACCCUGCUGCCAAUCCCCAACAGCAGAGCGAAUCAAAAGCUCUGUAAUCUCCAGUCUUUUCUUUUCCAAUUUGAUGAGUAUUAUACUAUUUAUAGAACUAAAAAUGACCGUUGCUUAACUUCUAGUACCAUUGAUUGAUUUCCAGACUAGCUCUGUUUGCAGAUUCCCUUGAGAUCUCCACAUAAAAGUUGUACUUAGGAUUGAUCUGAUUUCAGACAGCUGUGACUGUACCUGCAGACUAAAACUUUCUUUUUCUGAAACAAAAUAAUUUUGGGAUUGAAUUCUUAUUAUCAAGAUGGUGUACAACUUCAAGUUCUUCCUCAUGCUCACACCUCUCCUUUUGCUUCUCCUCACUCAACUCCUCUCCCAGACUACUACUCCUCAUAACAACAAUUGUGGUCGCGGUCGUCGUUGGAGUACUUGGUUCCUCCCUUCCUUAUCGAUCCAUCUGCGGGAGAAGGACUCGAUCCACUGUGCCGGUGGGUCCCUGUGGGUGGUUUCUCGUCUUGCUCGUUUUCCUCUUGUACAUGGUCUCUUAUCAGUCUUCUCUUCGUGAACGUUGGUUCCCUUUGGUUACCAAAUGAAAUAAUAAGUUUCUGUUUAAGAUACUUGAUUUUCGAAUCAACCUGUCGUGGUGAAAUCAAGGAAGCCUCUUUUUCCUAGUCGUGUCACGGACCGUGCUUUCUUCGGGUUCAUAGUUUCGAUAAAUAUCUAGUUUCUAUUUUUCGAGGUUCAUGUGUAUCUUUCUUUUUACCAGUGGUACGUUAUAAGUAAUUCGUUUUUUGCAAUUAUUAUAAGGCUUCCAUGAUAUUCAUCUUCUAGGACUAAUCCUCUUAUUGUGAUAAAAAAAAAAGCAACUAACUCCUUAGAUAAAAUAUUAUCGUCAUAAAUAGUCGGACUUGGACCAAUCUCAAUCAAUCGAUUUAAUUAAGUACAAAAAACAAGCCUUUGCGACAAAAGAUUUGGUCUCAAAAGGCUAUUAAUUUUGUCAGAAAUACAUUUUGUGAAUAUUCUGUUCAUUAUAGGGGGUUGCGAUGGGAAAUCUAAUUAGUCACAAACUGUACACAGUUUCAAUUUGUAACAACUAAACAGUCGCAAAGGAUAAUAUUUAUGACUAUAUAACGAGUUAGAAAUACAAUCCGUUUUUCUGUGACAAAAUUUUGAUAACACAAUGCUUUUCAAGUGUUUANNNNNNNNNNNNNNNNNNNNNNNNNNNNNNNNNNNNNNNNNNNNNNNNNNNNNNNNNNNNNNNNNNNNNNNNNNNNNNNNNNNNNNNNNNNNNNNNNNNNNNNNNNNNNNNNNNNNNNNNNNNNNNNNNNNNNNNNNNNNNNNNNNNNNNNNNNNNNNNNNNNUUAAAACAGAAUUUUGAAUACAAAUAGGAAUUCUAAAUAUAUUAAAUUCGAAAUAGAGGAGGACAGUAGUCGUACAAUGGAUUCCAGAAACUCUAUUUCAAUACCACCAAGCCGCCCGAUGUCGACAUCUUUUUAGCUUCUGAAAACUAUUAUCCCCAACCCAUAUUCCACAUGUAUCCUUAUNNNNNNNNNNNNNNNNNNNNNNNNNNNAUUAAUUAUUAUAUAUAACUAUUGAUAACAAAAUUAUUAUAUAUAACUGAAUUAUUAACUCACAUGACAUGUAAUUAUUUUAUUUGAGAAAGGAGACAUUCAACAAUCAAAAUCAGUAAUUAUCAAACUGAUAUUUUUUUAUAAUAUUCCUUAGAAUUUAUAAAAAUUAAAGAUAUGGCCAUGCAUUCGUACGUACAUAGGCCCCCUUACUAUAGUAAUGGUGAUUGAAGUGUUAAUAAUAAAAGUAUAAAAGUGAUACAUUCUAUAUUAGUUUCUAAGAAUUUAUAUAAGUUAAAAGAUAUGGUAAGGUAAUUAAUGAUUUGUUUGGUUGUUCUACAGAAAGAUAUAUAACAAGUAUUACAGAAGUAGAUAAACAAAAAAAGCAUUACAAAUGAUUUGUUUGGCUGGUUAUGUUGGAAAAGGUGUACUUCGCGAGGCGGUCUCGAUACGAGCUCAACCGCUUGUUGGUUGGAGGGUGAUAAUCGACAUCUCCGCUUUACCUUCCUUCGCAUUCACGACCCUAUUUUGCUGCUUUCCAGACUCUCCGUGUUGGCUGGUAAUGUUGGGGAAGGUGGACUUCACGAGGUAGCUGCUCGUGGAUUGUCGAGGUCGUAUGGAGAAGGAGAAUAAUGAGGUGGAGGCUAGGGUGAUGCAAGUAUAGAAAGUUGUGAGGCAUCUUGAUCUCCACUGCACGGAGAACCAUGUCAUAGGAGUCCCAUGAAGGAUUAGUGGUUUCUAAGCAUUGAUUGUUCUAGAAUGUUGCCUCUCCUCAUCCGUGGCAGGAGUCAUGCUCGUCGUAAUUAAGCUCCUCUCCAUUUAGCUAGCUUUUUGUGAGGUGGGUGAAUAGGCUAGGUGGGCUAACUAGAUGAUGAUGGGGUUUAGAUGAGCCUGCCAAAAAAAGGUGUGCGGCUCAAUUUAUACUGCACUGGCAACUAUGACACGGAGAACCAUGUCAUAGGAGUCCCAUGAAGGAUUAGUGGUUUCUGAGCAUUGUUUGUUCUAGGAUCUUGCCUCUCCUCAUCCAUGGUAGGAGUCAUGCUCGUCGUAUUUAAGCUCCUAUCCACUUAGCUAGCUUUCUGUGAGGUGGGUGAAUGGGCUAGGUGGGCUAACUAGAUGAUGAUGGGGUUUGGAUGAGCCCACUAAAAAAAGGUGUGGGGCUCAAUUUAUACUGCACUGGCAACCAUGUCGUAUAGGAGCCCCGUACGGAUUACUGGUUCUCGGGCGUUGUUUAACUGUGCCUUCAACGAGGACCUCAGUAUCCAACCCAUCUUCAAGACGGUUACUUUGCUCUUCUCGCUUGAGGCAAUUUUUGAAGAGUUAGUUUUUUCAGACCUUUGCCACAUCCCUAUGGCACAAUGAAUUAGAAUGUUGCCUUCCUUAUUCAUGGCAGGAGUCCUGUUCAUGACAAUCAAGCUGCUCUCCACCUCGCUUUCUGCAAGGUGGGCGAGUGGGCCAGAUGAGAGCAAGGCCAUCCCAGUCCUGAGCAUAUUACUUUAUUAGUAGUGAGGCUCGUUGGGAUUCUCCAAAAAUAAAGAAAAAAAUAAUUUUGUCGUCAGAACUUGAACCAAAUGGACUACAACGGAUUUGGUGGAAUCCCGCAUUUCAGUCAAAAUGUGAGGGAAGGGCAAGUCAAUGGAAAAUAUUAAUCGGCUAGCCGAGUCGUUUGAUUACUGCUUCGAAUAGGAGAGAAGCAAAUACGAAAAAGAAGAAACCGAAAAUCUACGAGACCCUCGAGCCUUUUGCCCCUAUUAGGAUUUCGGUACGCCUCGAUGGCCAUGGUAGACCUCCAUCCCCGGCUAGACCCGUUAGAGACCCCCCCUUUCCUAACUUCAAAUCGGAGAUUUAUGCCAGAUGACGAUGAGAAGGAAUUGUUCGGUGGCUAUGAGUUUGAUAUUUUUCGGCCUCCACCGUUUAGGGUUUCUACUGGGUCGUCCCAUGCUUCAGUGAAAGUUGGUGUUAUAGUUUUUUGGAGGGAUGCUCGCUUUUCUCGUGCCAUGAGUACCCAUGAUGUCCCGAUAGAUCAGGAGGUCGAGACUACUGGGGUCGGGGGAACCUUUUACGCACUUGACAGUUUGAUUCGGGGUAGUGGAUGGUGGCCCGAUUGCAAUCAGUGUGAUUCCCAGUUUCGGGGGUCACAUUGCAAAUUAUCUAUGAGAGGUCGGUCUGGACUACCGUAACAUCCGCGAUUUCAAAUUGGACAAGGCACUCAUCUACGCUUUUGUUGAGAGGCAGUCAGAUACUAACACGUUCCACAUGCCCUUCGGAGAGAUGACCAUCACACUUCAUGAUAUUUGACAUAUUCUCUGUAUCCGGGUACAUGGAUGUCCGCUUCACAUUCCACGUUCCAGCGAGGACUUGAAGGCCGAUAUAGUUAGGGCUCUCCGUAUCCAUCCCGGGGAUUUGAAGUUGCCAGUUGGAGGCGCUGCAGGUGGGGAUGCCCAAUACCCUUGGCUGAAGGGUGCUGCGAUGGAUGAAAACUCGAUGUUAGUCGUGGGGAACGGUUUAGGGGAUGCGGAUGCAUAGAGGGUCUUCGUUUUUUGUCUGCUUGAUUCGACGUUGUUCACAGAUAAGUCAGCCGAUCACACUCGUCUCGUGUUGUGAUUUGCUUGGGGGAAUUAAUCAAUUCAAAUUUGAUAUAUUAGUCAGAGAAUUAAUCAAUGUUUAGAAUUUUUUUGCAGGAAAGGAAGAAACUAACGCUGAAGUGAAAUUUUCAUUGAUUUCUCGGAUUGUAUAAUUUAUCUUUUUUUGCUUACCAUUGAAAUAAGUUAAUGUAUAUAAGUUCGAUGGCCACAUUGUCAAAACUCUAAUGGGUUGAUGACCACAAUGGAUAUAUGAUUGAUUGCUGAUAACUGUUUGUCCUGUGAGCUGAAUUCUCACUUUUGAACUUGGCUGUCUCUGGUCAGUCUUAAGUAGAACUCUGAUGAGCUUGUUUCGCUUCCAGUUUCAGGACAAUCCCCUAUUUCCCAGUUCUAUUGAGUUGAAUAUGAGGAAAAGUUUACGCCUUUAGGAUUCCAAGACGAUUUUGCUCAACACCAUCGAUACUGAAUCAAUCCUCUUUCCUCAACCUUCCCUUUUCAAUUUGAAUAUACCAUGGUUCUUCUGCUUCAUCUUCCUCAUCAUACUUUUACACAAAUCAUCUUCAGACACCCAAAGUUCUCACCUUUCUCCAUCUCUUCUUCUUUCCCACUUUUCCUUCAUCGUCGUCUCCAAAACCCCUAAUCUCACAAAGCCGUCCUAAUUGGACUACUGGUUUCCUAACCAACCGUCCAGUUUGGACGGCUGGUUUCUUAACCGGUCGUCCGGUUUGGACGGCUGGGUCAAUUUUUCCAUUUUUGUUCAUACUGACCUUCACCGUAUGACGGAAACGAUGGAUCCGCAAAAUUCUAUCCGCAGCAGUGGUCCGGCGAAACUCCGGCGAAUGUCCGGCGACACGAGGAUGAAAGUAAAAAAAGAUGGUGUACGAAUGGACUUCAUUGGUCCUCUGAAUAUUUAAAGCCGACGUUAGGGGCAUUUAUGAAAUUUCAUAUUUCAAAUUUUAAAGUUAAGACGAUUUUUUUCAAAAAUUAGGACGAUAUUUAGCAAUUCAGUAAAUUUAUUGAGUCACAUAAAGAGUGUAAAGGUGUGCUCCUACCAAACAUAUAUAGUUCCGUUUAAUUGCUGAGUUUAUUUUAUUCCACCUCCUGAGUUCAUUCGUUAGAUUUGUCUUAUUUUUCAUAUACUAGCAAAGAUUGAUUCGUAAUUUACAUCAUAAUAAAUAUUUGACCAAUAAUUUCCUGACAUUAGAGAAGAUGUCAAUAAGUCACUACUUCCGCUGGAAACAACAAUUGUCAAUGUUAAAGUAUGGGAGAUGUUUCAUUCCAUACUAACCUACCAAAAUCCACCCAUCAUCCGCUGUUAUCCGCCUACAUCCACCUAUCAUCAAUAAAUAAGUGGAUGACGAUCAUCUAAACAAUCACCCAUCAAUUAAUGAAUGAGUUAAAUUUGUCGUCAAACCCAACCUUACAUAAUCCACGAAGCAAUGUUACUAACUUCAUAAUCAGACUCCCAAAAAGUUUUACUCAAAUUUCGGAUCCUUCGAAGCUAUUUGAAAUAUCAUAUAACCCCUGACCACUUUGAAAUAGUUCCAGUUAGUUAGUAUUUUACUAUUUCAACCCAUCAAAACCCUUGAAACUACUACAAGUCAAAGAAGACAAAGCUGCAAUAAAGAAUCCCUUCACUUUCUUGCUUCAAGCAGAUAACAGAUAACUGCAGCAGCUCUAAAUAACGACAAGCAAAGCUCCAAUAGGAAAAUCGGUCGAAACCAGCAGUCUCCUAAAAUGCUAUUCAUUCAGGCCUAUCAAUUAUUAUUGAUGUCUCAGCUUCAAAAAUUUUGCAAAACCAAAAAUCUGCUGAGUGUCAGCAACUUCUUUUUAAUAACGCAGAUCAAAGUACUGAAGCUUUACAUCUCAAACAAACACGGAGAACUAUAUUCUCAAGGGUAAUAGCCGGUGAAGGUGAAUCCCCUCCCAAUGAUUUCACCUGCACAAUACCAUGCGAAGCACUCAAGUCCAAACAAUGCAGCAACUCCUGCAUCCUCAACCUUUAGCUCCUGCCUGUUCUUCCAUAAGUUCUUCACGUAGUCUAGCUCCUUCCAGAAUGCUUCAUUUCUACCCGGGAUACUGUUCACCAACAAAAUUAACACUUGUCAAAAACAAAGCUGAUUUCAUCCAGUUCGCCUCACUAAGUACGGCCACAUAUUCACACAAGAUGAUUUCACUGCUACUUCUGCACCACCCUAGCUACCCAGUACAGAAUAGGUUUUCCUUUCACAAACUGAAUUUAUCACAUAAUACGUAUGUUAUGACCAGUAACAGACACAUAAAGGAUUCGUAUAUUGUAUGCUAAGCAUCCUUCCAUUGUGUAACACAUAGAAUAAAUGUUUUUACUUUUUUACUAGAGUUUCACAGCUAGAAACUUGAACACCGUUAUUGUACUCAUAAGAUCCUGAUAUUACUACUGAUUCAAGUAGGAUAUUUGAUAACGAGUAAGACUCAAAUAAAAAUGCAAAACCAAGCAAAUCACUGAACACAAAGUAUCGUCAUCAAAACAUCAGUUCAAAUGAUUUGGAGUGAUAUCAUUUGAAGGUCCAAAGAAAUACAAUCGUCAAUUGAAUCAUCAAUAAUCAAGAACAAAAUAAUGUGUUUUCAUCUCUUUUGAAGGCACAAGAUUGACUGAUAGAUGUAAAUUAUACUUCAAUGUCAAGAACAAAACAAUCCAUUCAGACUUAGACGAUGUCGAUAAAGUCGAAGAUGACAUUUAACUAAACCCCUCGAAUCUGUAAAAUAGGGGUCAUAAAACAAAAUUCUCAACAAGAUGUCUAGAUUAAUCAGGAACACAUCAUUCAAACAGACUUGUAUCAAACACAUAACAGAGUUAUUGGCAAGAAAAUUAAAUAAAAGGCUGACAAACAUCAAGCCAACACAGCAAGGGCGGAAGAAAAACAACACCUGGCUAGCCGAGUGUAAAACAAUUGCUUAGACAAUUCAUUGCACUUCUCAACACUAGCGGGCUCCUGAAUGUAUUUCUUGUUCUGUUCCAGUAACUGUUUGUAGUAGGUAGUGCCAUGCUUAGACACAAACUUAGACGCUUGGCAAGCUUUAGAUUGCAAUUGCAUUAAUUUGGACGCCAUCAGUUCCAAAACCCUGAAAUAAUUAAGGAAAGAGAUUCAAAAUGGCAGGUCCUACAAACCCUAGAAACAGGAAUAUAAAAUCUCAUCUGCCUCAAUAUCCAUAAAAUCUCGCAGCCAUAAACCAUUCCAAAGAAGCUAUAAAAGCAAGAUCCCCAGCGCCACAUGAUCGUAAGUUAAAACCACAAGGAAUCAAGCGAAAACAUCAAAGAAAGAAGGAACGCAAGGAUUGAACAAGAUCUGGAGAUACGAACAGCCUAACUACGAGACUGAAUCAAUCUUGUGCGAAUCGAAGGAAGUGCAAAUGAAAAUCGAAAUUGAGAUUGGGAGUAGAACGAAUUGGUCGCCUGAGGAACGAGUUACGGCGUCGCCGCUAACAGUUGUUCUUCGAGGAGUUAGGAUGGGAGAGCUAGAAAGUAGAAAGAGAACCAGGAACUAUAAUUGAAGGCAGUGCGGAAUGGGGUUUCUUUAUUUUUUUUUGGAUGAAGGGGUUUCUUUAUUUAAGUUGUGGCCUUGUGGGCUGUUUUGGGAAUUUGAGAAUUUUAGGGGGGCUUUCCUUUAUUUUCUCAAACAUUUCGUUUGCAAUAAGGCAUUGGGGAUUAUUAUUCGACCAACUAGUAUUUAAAAAUAUUUGCUCUAACUAUUAUAAUUAUAAAUUGGUUAAAGGCAUUCUCAUCCAAAAUUAGGUUAAAGUGUGGGGAGAAUGAGAUAUUUCAUUUAGCAAUUACUAAAGAUGUAUAUAUGUAAUUGUCAAUUUAGAAAUUUUGUUAGAAAUAUUUAAAUUAAAAUUUUGAUUAAUUUCGAAAAAAAGAAAUUUGAUUAACAAUAUAAAUAUAUGGAUCAAUUUUCUAAGUAAAAUAUUUAAUUUUUUAAAAUUUUAUAUAGNNNNNGAGGUGGUUUGGUAUGGAUGAUAUCUGAUAUGAUAUCACUCAAUAUCGUGGUAUUCAAAAUAUCUCUGUAUUUCGAAACAUACUACUGUAUUCAAUACUUACCGAAAAGGUAUCACCUCUAAUAUUACUCCAUCUGAUCCAAAUUGCCCCGGGUUUUGCUUCUGAUUACAUGCCACCAAGGUGACACGGAGCCAUUUUUGUUUUCGCCAUCAUUAUUGCCCCAGUCAUUUCUUUGUCUGUCUUCUCCUCUUUCCCCGGGCCGACAUUAUAACCCUGCUGAUUAUUCUCCACCGCCGUGACUUUUACCAUCAGACGGCUAUUCCUCUCGCCGUUGACGCCAACUACUACUCCUAAUCUCUUAUUACAUCACAAUAUCACAACCCACUUACCUAUCCACAGUUCGCUCCGGCAAUGUCAUCAUCACUGACGACAAAACCACGGCGGAGAGUCCAAUUCUAAACCGGAAAAGAACAACUUAUCAAUCCAAGCCUCUGGCUUAGUCAUCCCUGGAGCCCGAAUUUGCUUUCAAAAACCCCAACUUGAAACAUUAUAAAAUUGUUACCCCCAAUUCCUACCAACUUCCCAAUGCGAUUACAUGAGAGCAAUGGACACUAAACGGCGAGCCGGUCGGACCGGAUUUUCAUCCCAGGCAGAGCAGCUUUCAAUGAUGAAAACGAUGAAGUUCGACAGUGAAAAUCUCGGUAAAGAGGAAGAGAAGAAUAAAGUGGGGUUAUAUUGGUAAUUUUAUAUUACACUAUACCAAAUAAAAACAUUUUAUAUAUCAAAUAUCAAUAUUAUCCAGUAUUGUAAUAUCUCAAAUAUUAUUACAUACUAAAUUAUCUAAAGGGAGAUGGCUUAAUGGAAAAGACUUUGAUACCAUGACAUAUGUCAUUUUGUUAUUGGUUGUUGAAAUUUUAAAUUGCACAAAAAGCUAUGUAAACGCACUAAUUUUGCCUGCAUUACGAGAUGCCCACCAAAGAAAGGAAUUUAACCAUACUCCUAAGCCACGUUCACUCUUCGUCAUAUUUAAUUAGAUUUUUCAUAUCAUCUUUAAUUUGUUUUUUUUAUGAAUAUUUUACAUUUAUGUAUUUAAAUGUAUUUAUCAUGAAUUUCAUUACUCUCAUUAUAUUGUAAUAAUAUUAAGUUGUAAUCUUGAUAAUCAACCAACGAAAACAACCCCCGAGCUUCCCAACCCCACAAACACGUCCCUAACUAUGUUGCUGCCCUCAACAUACCACCAAAUAUCUCCACUCCCUCUCCAUUAUUGAUUACAACCGCAUGUGCCCCACCAACCUCACGAUCAACCGCCGCAACAUCACCCACACUACCACCAAGGGGCGGAUCCUUUUCCCUCAGAAUGACCUCAAAUUGCAUGAGUUGCUUUUCAGAUACUUCACUGAAGCGGUGGGAGACGUGUCCCCGUCAACUAUGCUGGUAAGGAUUUCGCAUAUGACCCACAAAAUAAUGCGUUAUCCUCGGCAGACCAUUAUAUUCUCAUUCAGGUGGCACUUGAUGUCAGGAAACCACUCCAUCGUUGUAAGAGGGUGUUGCUCCAUGGUGACGACAGGGUGAAGUGACAAUUCAGGUAUGAACGUCUGGAGAAAUUCUGCAACAUCUGAGGUGUUAUGGGUCAUACAUACAAGUACUGGGAAGUGCUCUUUCAGAUCCUGGCGACCUUAAACUUUUUGCAUCUGGGACGACUCAAUUAGGGUUCAACCUCGGAAUGCGCAAUUCAAAUUGGCAUCAAAGUACCUCAGCGAGAAGGCUAGGUCCGAUGGCCCCACUCCACAAUCCUCCCUAAUUUAUGAGCAACUAAAGUGGCCUCUAGAGAGCAAGGUAGGGCCUAUAUUACACAAUCUUGCACGGAUCCUACUCGAGUCAAUACAACCCCUCCAGCGCCGAUGAAGAUGAAGAUAUGUUGGAUGUGACGGACAAUGAAAAGCACCACCAAGAGGAGACACCAGACAAAGAGAAGUUCGCAGAGGAGCCCACAGGAAUGAAACCAUAAAAAUUGCCCAAGAAGGAGAGCCACAUCCUUACCCAAGUGGUCUAGGCAGGUCAACUAGAGGGGACCCACCCAUCAGCAAAGGAAAGCAACGGAAGUUGCAUGGCGGCAGUCGGCUCGACCAACAUUCCACCCCGACCGUUCGAUAGCAGUGCCACCGCCAAUGUUCUGUGUUUUGUCUCUUUGUCACUGCCAUUUUUUUGGGUUCUAUUUGGUGACGAUGUGAGUCUCUGAUCCAUCAAUAACCUUCGUUUGGAUCGAGUAUGGGAGGUUGGGUCAUCAGUAUUCCUUUUCUUUUCUUUUUUUAACCUAGUAGCAUUAUGUAGGUAUUUAUUUUCUCGAGUCUUUGAGGGGAUUGGUUUGAGGAGACCUAAGAUGUGGAGCGUAUGAUCUUGUCUCAUUGCAUCCCCUUGUAAUUCCGAUUUGGGUUACACCUCUCAGGUUAUUGCUCAUACAGUAUGUCGCGAAGGUCUCCCACUUAGACUGCAUUCCGCCCACACUCGGUCCUUCCGCCAUGGGGAAGGGGAUCAGCUUGUGCGGGUGGCACAAAGGUUACGUUUGGUGAAGUCACCAUCGGUCGGUGAAAAUUGGGGUGGAUCGAACACCGUCCAAAGCCGCCAGCCGCAAAAUACAAAAAGUUUGGAUAUGGGUAUGUUGCUCAAGACAGCGGGUUAACGAAAUCAUUUCGCCCGGCAUAAGGCCAACAAUAACAAAAAUUGAUAAACUCUCUUUCAUUGUUUUAGGUUGGCGCGCUUUGAAAUAUGGGUGAUAUUUACCGUUGACCUAACGGAUAAUAUUGAAUUUUUUUUGGUGGAUUCGAAUGGGUGAUAUUGAUAGUAGACUUAACAAAAAAUAUCAAAGUGCCUUUAGGUGGACUCGAAUCAUUUAUGAUUGCCUACAUACCAAUAAAUCGGGAUAAAAGUCCGUGUAGUUUGAAUUUGCAAAUUUGUUUUGUUUUGCAACUCGGUUAUACUCCGGUGCUCGGGUUUGACAUCUUUUAAAAAAUUGGGAGAUAUUGACCGUAGAGUUAACUAAAAAUAUUGAAUUUUGCCUUUAGGUGGACUCAAAUUAAUUCUGAUUGCCUACAUAUCCGGACCUCAGGAUCAAAGUUCGUGUAGUUUGAAAUUGUAAAAUCAAGAUUUUUUUCAACCCAUUUAUACUCUGGGGUUCAAGUUUAAAUUCUUUUGAAAUCAGAUGAUAUUGAACGUUAUAAAAAUANNNNNNNNNNNNNNUCUUUAUAAAAAUAAUGGAAGAUAUCAAAUUUUCUUUUUUGGUAGACUCGAAUCAUUUCUAAUAACAUAUGUACUCAUACCUCAGGAUCAAAAGCCGCAUAAUUUAACUUUGGGGAAUUUGAUUUUUUACUCAGAUUUUCGGUGUUAAUCUAUGCAACCACAAAAGACUAAAACUUAAUACUUCUUUGACUUUCACUAUGGUGAUUGUUCAUAAUAGUAAUUAUGAAGAAUUUACUAUUAUAAUAUAAUCAAUCACUUUUCGGAACUUCUCAACUGUCAUUCUAAUAUUUGGGUGUUUUUAGGGAUUUCAAAAGAAAAUAAAUUAUAUUAGAAUAAUUAAUCAUAAUAAUUAAUUCUCGAACGUUAAGUAUUCUGAAAUAAUCGCACGAUGUAUUUUAUGGAUCUUUUAAUUUUUAUUUGAUUUUUUGAAGUUUUUUUAAUGAAUAAUUACUUUUAUUUCAUCAAAAACCCAUAAUAACAAGACAUAACUCUUUCAACAAAUAAAAAAAAAUGGAAAGCUCGUCGCUUCUAAAAAACUCCAAGCCACAAGGCCAAAAGUAGAAAAGGAACAGAAUUAGGCAAUCUACAUAUUAAUACAAUCAAAUAACUUUUUCUCAUCAAUCCUGACAUUCACUUUGAAGAACACCUUCUCUAAAAUAGACUGAGUUUAGCAGUUAUAGAGUGAGGACCAUCAAACACAUUUUUACACCUUUCCUUCCAAAUUGAGGAAACCACGAGACACCCGAUAAAGCGCUUAACAUUAUACAAUUUUGAUAUACUAUUCCACAAAUAGCACGCAUUAGUAACAUUUUCAUCCCAGUCAAUUUUACUGGAAAAUUCUGGGAGAAGCAAUUUGAGAAUCCCAUGAGAAAAACUACAACAGAAAAACAUGUAUCCUUGCAUCAACUCCAUUACUGCAGAAAAUACGGGAGAUAUCAACCGUAAUCAUGCAAUUGGAAAGUUUUUCACGAAUUGCAAGUUGAUACUUGAAAAUAACUAACAGAUAACACUGAAUUGAAAAUUUGUCACUCAUUCUAGAUGAGGUUUGCCUAAGGCACAUGUUCUGCUAUGGUCUCAUGACAUCCCAGACGAUAGAUAUUAAAUCAGAGCAUGAAUGUAGCAUUCCAUAAGACAUUAUCAUUAUUAACAGUAACAUGUAGACUAGCAAGAUCACGCAUGUUUUUAGAAUUUUACCUCAAAUUCAGGAGUUUGUUGACACCUUAAGAGUCCACAAAUUCUUGUUAUUGAUUUUAUAGUUAUACAUCAAAGCAACCCAAAGGAAUCCUCCAUCAACAAACAACGCCCAAAAAUGUCUGAAAGUAUUCAUUGCAUUCCAUGAAUAGAGAUCUUUGAGUUCAACUCCUCUUUUUUUUUGAAAAAAGUCAAAAACCUUUAAGCCACUUUGCAGUCACCACCGUUGAGCUUGCCCCACAAAAAAUGAUUACCAAAGAUAUAAGUCGCAGCUUUCCAGUAUAAGUCAAACCUUUGGCCUUUCAAUUUUUGAAGUUAAGUUUUGAAAGAAAAUAAGAAAAAACUCAUUCACAGUGACAGGAUUCCAAAUUGAAGUACUUUCGUUAUAAAAAUGGAAACAUAAGCGUCAAGUCAAAGGAACAAAUCCCGCUCGUUCAUCGUGAGCAGUGGGCCAUGAAAAUCGCAACAGUUUUUGACUUCUAUUUCGUUACACCCACGAAGUUCUAACGAAACAGUGGGAAAUUACCUCGGAGGACAAUAACCCUUUUGAACUCAGUUUACAAGCGGGGGCAAACUGAUAAUUACCUUCUCAUCUAUGGAUUCCGUCCGACUUGUCAGUUCACGACACUGUACGAACGGUGUAAUUACCAUUAAGGACUUAAUUUAAGUCAUCUAAUGGUUGGUUUUAAUAAGGUCGGGAUAACUUUGUCUUUCGACCCCAUGGCCGAACUAAAACUAACCCUAGUCGACCUAAACUUCAUCCUCUUCAUUUUUUCGACUUUUCUACAGCCACUGCUGCUAUCUUAGGACCUCUCUUCUCUCGGUCUUCUUCUUCCAUCAUCAUGUCUGGUGAAGACAACGACCACGAGCUGUCGCCGUCCAGCAAGCGGCAGUCUCCCAACCUCUAUCCUCUCCUUUCUGUCUGUCCACUUCUAGGAGGACAAACCGACGCCACCGCUCCGGCCGAUCUACUCCUCUCGGGGAUCUUUUGCAGCAAAACGAAGGUAAACUCUCUCCCUCUCUCUCAAGAUCUUUUCUUAACCUAGUUUGGAUCUAACUCUUGUCUCCUACCCUUCGAAUGAAAGUCACGACGUAUGUGAAGAAAUCGGCCCUAUGGGGCUAAUCUGUCAGGCUAUUUUCUCUGAUGAAGUCUCUCGGUUCUAGUCUUACGGGCGAGUUGAAAAAGGUAGGUAUGUUCCAAUCGCUUUUUGCUCGAUUUCUGAUUUCAUCCAGCUCUUAACCCUAGCUACGCUUUUGGAUAGAGCAUUCGGGAAAGGGGUGGAUAAGACUACGAAGUCUGGGGACUCGAAUAGGUAGGAGAGGCGUCUGGAUUCAGCCAAGUUAGGGAAUCAAUAAGCAGGUAUACUCGAGCGGCCUCUUGGGUAUAAUUUCAAUGAGGUUGAGAGUGGUUAAACGUGAGGUUGAGUGUAGUUUAACGUGAGGUUUAGAGUGGUUUGUUGAGAGUCAUGGUUGCCAGGUUUGAAAGGUUAUUUGUAAGAGGUUUGAGAGUUGAUUGAGAGUGAUCUUGUGGUGAGGUAUAAGGUCUGUAACUUGUCCUUUCUUUUGCUUCCUUCCUUAGUUUUCACAUCUAUCUAUUUAUAGGCUUGCGAAUGGUAGAUUUAAGAAGAGUAGUAGAAGUGAAAUGAUAGAGAUUUGGGAGGUAAGAAACAUUCCCUCCAAAAGUCUAGAAUUAUCCAAAAUUGGUCCAGAACCUGAAUCGGUUAGCCAAUGGGCCGAGCAUCAGUUUUAACUCAAACUUGCAACUUUGGGCCCAAUCUCACAAAACACCUUUUUAACCAAAAAUCGUUCCCGUAAUCAAUAUUCGUUCAAUCGAUGGGCCAAAAUUCGUUGAUUUAGUUCGCAUUCGAUUUUUCAACAUAGCAUAACCCUCAUAUUCUUUAUCUAUUUAAAUCUUAAAUUAUUUGAAUUUUCUUUCUAUAAAUCCACCCGCACAAACAAACUCUAAAUUAAUUAAAAUAUUGGAAGAAGAAUAUUUAAUAGCUAAGUCCUAAGAGCAUAAGAAGAUUGAUUAGGAACUGGUCAAAAAUAGUUGGUCCAUAGCUAAUUCCUAGAGCAUAAGGAAGAAUGAUUUAAGUAAGUCUUAAGAGGAGAAAGAAUAUUGAUUAGGAAUUGAUCCGAAUUAGUUGGUCAAUAUUUAAGUCAUAAGAACAGAAUGAAGAAUGAAUAUUAACUAUGAUCAAAUUCUCAUAAUCUAAAACAUAAAUUGUUGGUUAGGCUCGAAAAAUAGAUAGAGAAACAAGAUCAAAACAAAAAGAGUAAAGGAGAAUCAGAUGAUGAUUAUCUAAUUUCGAAGAUCAAGGUUGUAUGUAGGCAAUGAUUUAGACAUUUUGAGGCAUAUUCCCGCGGUUGAAGCAGAAUAUCUAGGAUUAUAGAUUUAUUUCAAUGAUUCUAUAUAGGAAUCUGAAGACAUGAUAAAAAAAAAGAAGCUGGAGAGGAGGAUUUUUCAACAAAGGAAUCGUCAAAUCGACGAUUGAAGUUAUAUACCAUAUACAUAAAUAACGACAUAUUGAUAUCGUGUCAAAUAGGAAUAAAUAUCCUCAAAUCCCUCAUCACCUGCAAUUUAUCGCAUUCAGAUAACGGGUCUUCCGAACCCAUUAAUCACCGUUUUAAAAUAAGGACCCAAAUUCACAAUAAUUUUUGCCAAGCCAGCCUUAUUUUACAUGUCUUUGUAGACAUCUAAAAAAAUGGAUACAUUUUAACAGCUAACGAUUAGUUUAACGGCCCGUCAAAACAUAGCACCGUAUAAAACCCACUCUACCAGUUGGGAUAUUUACGUCUCCUCUGCUCUUUCUCCCGCCUCCGUUUCUUUUAAUUGCCCCAAAACCCUAAACCCUAAUCUCCAUUCCAUGGGCCGCCGGAAGCAGAAUACAAACAGUAGCAGCUCAACCAGCUUCCCAACUCCCCAGAAUCAGAGCACAAACCUCCAGUUCCAGGACGCCGACGAGGAUCCGGCCAUGGACAGCUCAAUUCCCGAUGGCUCCAUUACUACUGUUCCCACCGACUUGCCCAUUGCUAUGGACGAUGACUCUAUGUCUGAAGCCAAUGCAACUCUUACUGGCCCCGCUGACGAAGACGAGCAGACCAGCGCCGAUUACUACUUCGAUUCGUACUCUCACUUCGGUAUACUUCUAUUUCUUUUUCUUUCUUUUGCAUUGAGCUCUGGCCGUUAGGUAUUCAGAAACUGACAGCUUUCUCCUUCUGUUGCAGGUAUUCACGAAGUAAGCAUUUUUCUUGGAAAUCAUGUGAUUCUGUUAUUUUUUUCACGAAUCUGUUUGUGAUUUUAUCUUUUCUUCUAUGUUUGGGUUGAUUGAUUUUGGGGAUUGUGAUAAUCUGAACUCAAACGAUUGGGUUCUUGCUUGCCUAAAUAUCAAUUUGGUAGUGGUAGUCGAUAAUCCAACAACCAAGUUUGCACUUUGCAGGAGAUGCUGAAGGAUGUGGUGAGGACUAAGACGUACCAAACUGUUAUUUAUCAAAAUAAGUUCCUCUUCAAGGACAAAGUAGUACUUGAUGUUGGUGCCGGGACUGGAAUUUUGUCUUUGUUCUGUGCAAAAGCUGGUGCGGCACAUGUUUAUGCGGUAUGCUUUUCUUGUUCACUUGCAUUUGUACCUGUUAGUUGAUGAUUCUGUGUUUCUGUACAAUAUUACUCUACAAGGUAAGUAAAGCUAAAUGCUACUGCUGAUUUUUGGACUUGUAGGUUGAGUGCUCGCAGAUGGCUAACAUGGCGAAAGAAAUUGUUGCAUCAAACGGUCUUUCUGAUGGUCAGUCAUUUUUCUUUUACCGCUUCUGCUUUUGUUUUCUCUAUCUUGUUAGUGAUGCAGGUUUUUGGUUCCAACUCUCAAAUGUUGCAGCUUUUUAUAAUGAAUUAAUGUUGCAGUUAUAACGGUUUUAAAGGGGAAGAUUGAAGAGAUAGAGCUACCAGUGAAUAAAGUGGAUGUAAUAAUUUCAGAGUGGAUGGGGUACUUUCUCUUGUUUGAGAACAUGCUGGAUACAGUUUUGUACGCUCGUGAUAAAUGGCUUGUAAGUCGCUAUCUACCAUUUCUUUGUUAAUCGAAUAAUGCGACAAAUUUAUUAAAUUUGCCUGCCACUGUGUGUCAUCGAUGUGAAAAUUUCUCUUAAACUGGCAAGUUUAAGUUGGAUACUCAUUUGUUGUACUGAACAUGAAGGGAUACUGGAUGGGUUUAUACCGCAAGGAAGCAUUUCUUGAUUCGCUUGGUUUAAAUAUUCAAAAGAAACUAGUAGUGGACAUUGCUUGCAGUAGUGUUUUAUAUUCCUUUUGCAAAUGACCAUGAUAUGGCUCCUUGUAUCAUCCCAUUAUUCGCUCUUUCCAGGUCAAUGAUGGAAUUGUGCUGCCUGAUAAAGCCUCUCUUUACUUGACAGCCAUUGAGGAUGCAGAGUACAAACAUGACAAGAUUGAAUGUUAGUUCUGAAACUUGUUUUUUCCUUUUAAGUUGAUAUUGCUACCUAGUUGCCCCUUACUCAGCUCUUGUUUAAAUUGCUCGCUGAGUUCUUUUCUCGUGGUGGGAAUGUAUUUGUUCAAUAACUAGUACUUUUUUCUGUCUGUGACCUCAAUGCUGGUGCAGUCUGGAAUAGUGUGUAUGGUUUUGACAUGAGCUGUAUCAAGAGGCAAGUAAUUAUGGAACCUCUAGUUGACACUUGCGACCAAAAUCAAAUUGUUACAAACUCACAACUGCUAAAGGUACUGUUGGGAUAAAACUUAGUUUACCUUUUGCAUAUAUAUUGUGUUUCUCCGUUCAUAUUUAGUUUAUUUCGUUUGUUUCAGACUAUGGAUAUCUCCAACAUGACUUCUGGUGAUUGCUCGUUUACGGCUCCUUUCAAGCUGGUGGCAGAGCAUAACGAUUUCAUCCAUGCAUUGGUAGCCUACUUUGAUGUAGCGUUUACGAAAUGCCACAAAAUGAUGGGGUUCUCCACAGGUGCCUUUUUCUUCUUUUUGGUUAGAAUCUGUUCUUGAAUACCUUGUGUUGAGGAUCAGAGCAUUUACCUGGAAUAUAUGCAGGCCCUAGGUCGAGGGCAACACAUUGGAAACAGACAGUCUUAUAUUUGGAAGAAGUGCUGACAAUAUGUGAGGGAGAGGUGCUAAGUGGAAGCAUGACGGUUUCACCAAAUAAGAAGAAUCCUCGGGACGUUGAUAUAUUGGUCAAAUAUGCGUUGAAUGGGAAGCGUUGUUCUGUUUCAAGGAGUCAGCACUUCAAGAUGAGAUGACCUCAGUAGCUGGUGUUGAUUUCAACAUAAUGGUGUGCUACAUCUACAUCUAUCUAUUAAUAUAUGCACGAGUGUGGUUUGCUUAUUUUGUUCUUCUUUUUGUUCACUCUUCUUUUAAUUCCAACUUCCAAGUCCCUUCCUUUGGGAAAGGGUGAAAUGUUAAAGCUAAGCGGCAUUGUAUUAUCAUGCGCAAAUUUUGGGAAUUUGAUUUCGAAUGAAAUUAUUUAUGAAUCCUUUUAUUUCAUUCGACUCAAAUUAUCUAUGAUUUUGUAUUUUGUAAGGGUUGGUUUGAAUAAGUGUAUUUGUAUUUGAAAUUUUAAAUACUAAAUUUUGGUGUUUGGAUGGGGCUUUAAUUGUCCAUUUGAUUUUUGAAAUCAAAUAUAAGGUUCCAUUUGACUUUCGCUGCCGUCGGCCGUAGGCCACUGUCAUCCCUUCGUAACCUCCGUAGCUGGCCACCAUCGCCAUCAACUUCCACCACCAUCCUCCAAUCACUAUUGUCACUGAUCUAGAGUCACUUUGUCGCCGCCCAUUAGUCGGUAGUCGCCACCAUUGGUCUUCAGUCGGGAGUCUCCUUCGCUGCUGGGCAUUGCUCGGGAGUCACCUUCGCCGCUGGGCGUCGCUCGGGGUAGGCCACCUUUGCCGCCGGCCAACUCUAUCGGUGAUGUGAUGAUAGCUUUCGGUUUUGCAAUUUUAUAUAAUUGUGUAUUGUUUGAUGGAGUGUGUAUUGUAUUUCAAAUACAUACAAAAUAACUUCUUUCAAACACAUAAUUUCAAUUUCAAAUAAUUUCAUUCAUGCAUUUCAAAUACAUGAAUUUAAAAUCCCAAAUCCAAAUACACCUCUAGGCAAAUGAUUAACUUUGAAAAAUUGGCAUAUUCUUCAGCAAGAACCUUGAUCUGAUGCUUACGCCAGUUUUUUCUUUUAUCCUUAAUAUCUUACGGUCACUCGAUACUGAAAGAUAUUUAGACUUGCCUUUUCUCAUAGGGCGAAAUAAGAAGCAGAUUUUUGGAUACUUGAACUAACGGUUAUGAUCUCGCAUCCAAGGGUGGCGCGACAAUAAAUUGUUGAAGAAAGGAGGAGAGGUUCUCUUCAAAUCGAUAACACGAGCAAUUCCGACAUACUGCAUGUGCAGGUAUUUCUAUUAGGUACCACUUUAAUCAAGGAAUUGCAAAUUCUUAUGAAUGCUUUCUGGUGGGGCACAAAAAGAUGUGGAGAAAAUGGCAUACCUGGAUUUGGUGGGAAAGGUUAUGCACAAGGAAAGAAAAUGGUCGACUCGGUUUUCGAAAUCUACAUAGUUUUAAUCUCUUGCUUUUGGACAAACAAGGUUGUCGUCUUCUCGCUAAUCCGGAUACUCUAGUGGGACGUGCUCUCAAAGCUAAAUAUUACUCCGCACUUGAAAAUAACCCGAGUUUCACUUGGAAGAGUAUCUAGGAGGCCCAAGGUGUUGUGAGCAGUGGAAUUAGGUGGAGACUGGGAAAUGUGACAUCUAUGAAUAUGCGGAAGGAACCGUGGCUAAGAGAUCGACAUGAACCUUACAUUCAGGCAAUACCUUCUCCGGCGAAUAUGGAAGUCAACUUGGCGGAUCUCGCCAACGCUGAUAGCUGGCAUAUAUAGACUUUACAAACAUCAUUAAUGCCACGAGAUGUUGAUGAGAUCUUGAAACUUCAUCCCCCUAGAACGGAUUGGGAGGAUCAUCAUAUCUGGCGAUGGAAAGCGAGGUGAAUAUACAAUCCGAUCGGCGUACUAUUUUAUCAUGGAAAUCCUGGCCCCGAGAAUGGAAUGGCACAUUCCUGAGAAUUGGCGUAAACUAUGGAGAUUACAAUUCCCCGAACAGCGACGAUCUGGUGUUGGAGUAGCCUUACAGGAUAGCACGGGCUCCUUUAUAUCAGCAAAACAAAUGGUUUUCUGGGUGUUGGGAUGGAAGAGAAAGUGAAGGCAUGACACUACUGAACACCCUACAAUGGCUCAUCGAUCGUCAAAUCGCGACGGUGUAGAUUGAAUCGAAUUGUUAGGAACUUGUUCAAACUGUACAAAAUGGAAUUAAAGAUCUCACGAAAUUUGGCAUGCUGGUGGCACAAUGUCGAUCAAUAUUGGCUUAUCGACCUAUUUUCUGGGUCUCGUUUGUUAGGAGGAAUGAAAAUAUUCUCGUUCAUGAAUUAGUUAGGCGAUCAUAUUUUCUUACUUCAUCACUUGUUGUUGAAGCUCGUCCUUAAUGGAUGGCUGACAAUAUAAAAUAUAUAUACUUUCAUCAUUAAUAAUAUUACUACGUAAUGUCGAAAAAAAAUCAUAUGUUAUUCCGACGCUAUUGCAUGUCGAAUCUUUUUGAUACCGAACAUGUUUUUUCUGGCGGACUAAAACCAUCCACAAUGGAGUGUUCUACAAUGGUUGAGCUAUAAAGACAAAACUGCUAAAAAAUGUGGCCAAAUAGCUAAAUGGCCAGAUUUCACUCCAUUCCGUGGGCUUAUAAUGAUGGGAGGAGGGGAAAAAUUGAAGGAACCCUGAAAAAGAGAGUGACAACAAACCCCUAUUGUUGGACCAAUCAUAAGGCGAGUGUAUGACAAGCAAGGUACCCACAAGUGAACUUCUUUAAAUGGUUAAGUUUUUAGUGGUGUCCAGCUGUCACAGUUUUAUUGGCUUAAAGAUGGUUGGUGUUUAAAGAAGAAAACAAAUAGUUUCCUUCCUUUUCUCAUAGCAUCAACAACGAUUUUUUUUUCAAUGAAGUAUCUUAUUUUAAUUAUGUCAUAAUAAAUGUAAAAUAACAUUUGGUCCAAAUUAAAAAAAAUUACAUUAAAAUGUUUGUUUCAAUUAAUUAAUAUCAUUUAUAUAAAAAUAAUAAAUAAAUAUUUUAAAUAAAUUAACAAAAUUAACCAUAUACUAAAGUUGAACACAAAAUUAAAUAAUUAUAGCCAAAUUUAGCUCUAAACCAAUAUAGAAAAAUCACUUUUGUAAAGCUAAAAAGCUAAAUUUAGCUUUGUAUUUGACUUUUUUACCUUUUAUUAUAGAUCGUCUAACGGAAUGGAGGGAUACUGGAACGACGCCGUAUGCUUGCCACUCUUAAAUGCAGGUUGGUUCGCAUAGGGAUUUCCCAAAGAGGAUUAUUAUACGACGCUCUACGAUUCGAAUUAAACAACACCCUACAUUAUAUAAAGACUUAAAAGUCCAUCUCGAAAAAACGGAAAAUUUACAACUUCAAUUGAAAAAACUCUCUUCUAGUAUGUUUUAUUUGUUCGAAAAACGCUCCGACCAUUUUUUGGUAAGGAUGAUCGAAAAUUAGCGGCUGACCGAUCGGACGGACCGGUUUUCGGACCGAUCAGACAACCCAGACAGACCUUAUUUCCGUCCAGGUUGUCUGGCCGGACUAAACUCCGGUCUGUUCGACGGACGGACUGGUGUUUAGUCUUGCUAGAAAACCUAGACGGAUAUGCGGUAUGUAUGGAUUGUCUAACUAGCCCGAAAACAGGUUCGUCCAGUUGGGUCCCUCUAGUUUUUUAUAAAAUUUUAAUUAACUCUCUUAAUUUUUUUGUAGGUCGGUUCGUGAUCACACUCGAAGGCGAGUUCAAAGAUGAACUCGGUAUAACCAAGAUCGUAUUCACGGGGUUUCAUUCUGAGUAUUACUCCGAAAAGUGCGAGGAUGAAAGUCUAAUCGUUGGAAUAGCAUGUAUGAAAGCACGAAAAUCGGAAUCGAGUUUAAUGGAUGAGUGAAACCUGUCCCGUCGGGGAUUUAGUGGCACUUUCGUAUCUAAACCAAAUCCCCAAAAUAAUCUUACAAUUGGUAUUCGAAAAUUGCAAGAUAUGACAGUAGCUAUAUGCAAGAGAAAGACAAGAACGAAAUUAACGAAAGUUUUGCAUAACACACUCGAAAUAAUGUCGUAUUAAUACAUAAUCAAGGUUUCAUCAAUUCCAGACAGAGGUAGAGCUAAGUUACACAUGAUAAUCAACUUAACAACACAGAAAUGGAAAUAAUACAUGAACUUGGAGCUCCAAGAUUCAAGAACUCUCCACCGUCGUAAAACUUAGCAAUGUCGGCGAUUUCGAACGGAAGUUCCGGAAUGGAUUUCUUCACCUUCGGAGCUUCGAAUUGGUGCGGUUUGAACUGGCAAGUUCCUGGGUUGAAAGAGAACGUCUUGGAAUAGAGUAGGAAGGCUUGGAAGUCUUAUAUGGUGUGUGUGUAUGAUGUGUUUUCGAAGUGGAGAUGAGUUGCCCUUAUAUAGACUCGAAAAAGGGCGUAUUAAAGACUCCGACAUGGGCGCACCAACUUCAUUAGCUGCAUGUAAGCUAUAGCUGUCCCUAGAGUGAUGAUGGACAGAUCUACAUGUGUUGGACGUCCCCAUCUAUGCCUGUUGUCCUUCCGGCGAUCGGUUGUUCGAUGGAUCGUAAAACGCCCGUAACUUCUUCGUUCGAAAUCGGAUUUAGCUCCAGUUUGUAUCGUUGGAUUUGUAAUUCAUCCCUUUAUAACUAUGUGGCCUGAAAUUUCAUUAUAAACACUAGAAACAACAUAAAAUUAGACCAUGAAGGUCCAAAGGUUGAAUUUACGAAAUUAAGUGCAAUAAAACUGAUUUCCGUCGAAACUUCCGUUUGCAACUGAUAUUAUGACAUGAAGGUUAUAAAGUUUAGUGCCAAAUAUUACGGUAUAUUAUAAUGUCAUCAGUUCGUUAAUUUGAAUAUGAGAUUAGUACGUGAAGUACUACGGGUGGAUGCACAUACUAUUGCCAUGAGUACUACGGUAAGCACUCGUCCAGUGUCUCGAAAGGUUUAACGAAUAUGUUAUAUGUAGAUAAAAGGUUAAUGUAGUUUGUACUUUAGUGUUCAUGUUUAACGAAUAGGGAGUUGAUGCCGGUGGCGAAAUUGAUUACACCGACUGGUUCUUAUCCGACGAUGUGUACAACACUGUCGUUGAAGCGGUUGAGGCUGCAAAACUGAUUGCUACAACGCUUAAUUUCCAUCUUAUCAAAGGGUCCGAAAAAAGCAAUGACGCAGAAAUGGAGUGUCUGGUGUAUAUGUAUUGCUCAAGUGGACCUGUUCGUAAAUCUGAGGGCUCAGAUCCGCCGAAACAGGCGACGAAGUCAAAGAAGUGAAAUUGCCCAUUCAAACUUGUCGUGCGGUCAACGGUGGUAUAUUGUUAGUGGAGUUUUUUUUAUUGACGGUGUUGACGACAUCAAGAAUCCUGAUAAAUCAAAGGGGUACCACAAUCAUCUUUUGAUUCUAUUUUCCGAAGUCAGCUCGGAAAGCAAUCCGCUCUUGGAUGCCGCGAAGAAAGUUAAUAGGGAUAUGGUGGUGGUUCACACACAACCGAAUAAGAUCAGGUAUUCUGUGAACAAGAAAUUCAACACUCGUCACGCGUGUCAGUCAUACUACGGCCUAGGUGGUACAGUCCCGAGGUCGACAAAAAAUCCUCAAGUGUUAGUGUCUGACGUUGAAAUCCCAUUACGUACUCCAGGUGUCUCGGGCGAGUGUAGAAUCUGAAGUCACAGAUGUUACGGUAGUAUGGACCGGACACCCAUAAGCAAUAAGCAACGUGACCCCUGAAACUGGGAAUCACACUCGUCACCAUUGGGCCGCCAUCCUCUAUCCCCUCAGCAAGCAGCCACGUGCGAAAAUUUCCCUUGAACCCAGUAGUCUCAGCCUCAUCCUCGAUUGGUACAUGGUGUGCAGUCUCGGAUGGAGCAAAUCGACCGGCUCUCCCACAUGUAGCGCCAACGCUCACCGAUGCAUGAGAUGGCCCUGUAGAAGUCAUAUACGGAUGCUGCGGAACAUACUCAAACUCAUAGUCACCCAUCAACUCAUUAUCAUACGGGUAUGGAAUAAAUCUACAUCUCGAAGUCAGAAAGGGUGGAGGUCUAACAGACGCGACGAGAGACAGAGGUCUAACAUGGCCAUUGAUACCGACCCGAAUCCUAAUCAGUAGGAAAGGCUCUAGAAUUAAUCUAACGAAUUCCACUAAUUAUAAUAAUCUAACAAAUUCUAGUAAUUACUACUUUAAUUACAUCUAUACAAUUUUACUAAUUACUAUAUUAAUUUAAUAAAUUCCACCAAUUAAGAUAAUUUGGUAAUUCACUCAACCUACCCAUUAUUUAAUUCAGUCUCCAAUCAGUAAGAAUUUGGUAGGGUUUUGCACAUUUGCAUCCUUCUCCUUCCAUCCCUACUUUUCCUCCUCCAAUUUUCAAAGAAGUAAAAGACGCCAUCUAACAUGGAGCUUGUCUACCCUAUUUCUCUGAUGGGGGAAAACUACACGAAAAAGCUAAACCGAUCGAUACAAGAUGUCGUCGAUGAAAUGAGCAAAGCCACACCGAAUUUGUCUCAGUUUAUUCAAGCUUUUUAUGAGCUAAUGCAAUCGAAGCUCAACCCGCCUCUAGAAGCCAUCUGGGUAUACUCGGCACUUUCCUAUAACGGAAAGAAGAAGGAAAACGAGGGUCUUUCCGAUAGACUGACGACGGUGAAGCAACUCUUUCAGCUCAUAUCGGCAUGUUCCGGACCAUGCAGUUCCUCAACAAGCAUUGCGUUGCUUGGUCCUGUUGUGUUCGAGCUCCAUAAAUUGGUGACCGAGCUGCUUGGCCAAGAUUCAGAGGCUAAGAGAGUGAAAAAGCUGGUUAGAAAUGUCCAGUCUUUAAUUGGUUCGGUUCUCGGUUACGUCGCUUUGUGUGCAGAGGCGACGCCCGAAAAGAAAGAGUCCAACUUGAUUGUGAAGUUGGCGGAUUUGGUUGGUAUUUGGAUGGAUGGGAAGGAAGAGCUUAAAUCGUUUCUGCCGCUAUUGAAUGAUCAAGCGCGGACAGAAAUUGGUUUGGGAGGUUUUACUGUGAUACAGUUGGCUGGGGCUGUUACUGUUGAGUUAUUCUUGUUGAAGCUUUGCUUCGAUUUACGGGUUGGGAGUAGAGGAGUUGAUCAGUUGGAGAAGCCGCUCAAGAGUUGGAUUGUCGGGUCGAUUACUGGGUUUCGGAGCAUUUAUUUCUUUGGUAAGUGUUGGUCAUGCUGCAACUUACUUCUUAGACUCUUGGUCCUUUGUAGAUUUAUUGCAUUUUACUGCCUUUCUUCUGCUGUUCCAAUCAGUUCCGAAAGUUAUAUUGUACUUUAAUUUGUAUGUAUUGCUCUCAGUUGUAUCUGAAACUUGUUAUAUUGUAGAUAUUCUUUUGAGGGUGCUAUUGGAUCCUAGUUUACCAGUUGCUUCACUGUUGGUAAGUGGGAUUUCUUUGUUUAUGAAGCUUGUUGUUUGAUUCAGAAAACCAGUCUGUACUAUUUUGCUUUGUUCAUAGAAUCGCAUAAUCAUUUAUUUUCUGCAGAAUUCUGAAGAUGAAAUUUUGCUGCGAAGUGCACUUUAUGAAGCGGUUAUAUUGGUUGAGUACUCUUUCCUCAAUCCUGCUACUGCAGUUUAUCUUCCUGAAGAGCAUUUCCUAAGUCUUGGCUUGAAAAGAUUGGUCCUCUCUCUUGAGGCUAUAGAAUUGUUCAGGUAAUGAAGUCGUUUUUUACCAAAAGUAGGAGAAGCAAUGUGUACAUUUGAGAGAUGGAGACUCUCAUAAUCUCUGGCUUACUACAGGAAAGCAGGGAACCAUAAGAGAGCUGUUUCCUACUCCACUUCAUUCGCUGGUUCUCCAUUGCCUUUGCUGAUAAUCAAACAUGUCACAAGCCAGAUUGGCAUGGAGGAAGAAGCAGGAAGAUUAAAGGGAUCAUCUCCAAAGGCUCUUUUAGGUUGGUGCUUCCAUCUCAAACAUUUUUGUUCCUUUUGUCUGUCUCUGGAUUUUUUUCUUUUUGGCCGUCAUUGUUGUUGUUUCUCCUUUGUCAGGAUGGUUAUUCUCCCUCGAGGGUCAAGGCGUACGAAUAUUUGAUGAUAGCAUCUCCAAAACUCGUGUAAAAUUCGCCCUUAAUUCAUAUAAAGCUGAUGAUGCGGAAGUAGCACAUAAUGCCGAGGGAAACAAAAUGAAUUCUGAGCUUAUGUUCUACAUUGAUAACAAGGGAGAAAUGGAAGAUGGAGGUGAUGAAGAAGAAGAAGAAGAAGAUGAGAAGUCUGAUAAAGAGAUGAAUGAAUCCAUGACAGCUGCCUUCAUGGCUGCUGCUCACUCGCUAACAACGGCAGAAACCAAAGGUAAAAAACGAAAAGAAGGCCCAAGUGCUGGGAAGAAAAAAAGAACGAAACUUGCUUUGCAAUCCGAUACUUCUGAUUCAGACCUACUUGAUGAUGAUGGUUCAAGCAGUGCUGGUGAAGUAGAGAACCCCACCAGUGAUCAGGAUGCCUGACUAUUUGAGCUUGCGUCAUCCGAAACGUAAGGCAUACCUAUCCAUCGGCUACUAAAAAAAUUGAAGAGAAAUAUGAGAUUCAAGCAGAGAAGUUUUGCUCCAGAGAAACUGCUGAUCUCUGCUUAAUCUGAUAGCUAAAGUUAUUCAGGUGCAUUUUAUUCGGUUGUUCAUUGCAGAAGAUCUGCAUUUCGAGGCUUAUUAUAGCUUGAAUGACAAUAUUGUAUUGAACGUUUUGAAUCAUUGAUCUGUUUCGGCAUCACCAGUGUCCUAAACACCGUUUGAAAAGAUGCACUCAAAUUUCCUGUUGGAUCAAAAUAAGGGGACAUGAUCCGUAUUAUGUCUGAAAAACAUAAUUGAUCUUACCAUAUGCAUAUUAGUAGAAGUUAGGGAUUGAGAAUUGAGAUUUCUCGAAUCCGAUUUAAUUUUUAUAUUACGGCGAUUGGGAAAACAGGGAACAAACACAUUAAAAACAGGCAAACUAUCCCAUUACAAAUUGUAAUUGUGUAUGAAGAAUCCGCAAAGUACAACAACAAGAGAGAAAAAUUGCCUAACGGCUGGCACUAGGUUGGAGUCUCAUCCCCUUGUGUUGUAAGCAUCUCUUCCUUCCAGGAACAGGAGCCCUAACACACGCCCAACCAUUCAGCAAAGGAACACCACAAGUAGGUGCAGUGAACAGUAAAUCAUCAUUAGUAACAUUAGCAUUGGCAUUAACAAUCUUGUUGCCUUGGUGCUGCCAGCAUCUUUCAUUCCCUUUCUGUGGCCAUCUUCUACAUAGGGAACCAUUCACCAAGCCUGCUCCACAUAACUUAUCAUUCAAUUGCGAUCCACGACCAUCAAUAUCAGUAGUAAACUUGGACAGCUCAUCUUCCUCUACUGUUGUUGCCUUAAUGGCGGAGGAGCAAGUGUUAUUCACAGCUCCAUAGAUUCUCAUCCCUUUGUGUUCUUGACAUCUCUUUCUUCCAACAACCGGCGGUAUUGUGCAAGGUAUGCCAUCCACCAUUAUGAACCCACAUACAUUACCAGAGUUGUACUUGUCAUCUGGUAUUCUAUAACUGUCUGAAACAACCAAUCUGGGUUUCGACCUAUUGAAUUUGAAGACCCUAGCAAAGAAUUUAUUAAUGCCAUCAGCAUCAUCUUCGGUUUUGAGCUUUUGCGGGUUGGCGAUUGCUUCAAUCUUGAUCCCAACUGCAGCUUGGCCAAAGGACAUUAGCCUCUUGGAAAUGUCUUUGAGCUUCGCAAUAGCAGCUGUUGAUGAAGAAGAAAUUCUAUCAAGUUUGUGGAGGAUUUCAUCAGGUCUACGAGCGCCAUUUCCUCCUCGAUUCCACGCAUAAUCAAAGGUGUUCAACAGCUCUGACUCUGUCUUCUCAGCAGCCUUUUUGUUCUUCAUCUGGUUUACCCAAAACAAAACACAUCACUCAUAACUCUCUAUAAAGCAGAAAUUCUGUUAAUACAUACUGCACUUACAGCAGCCCAUCUGAAAACAAUGGAAUGGCCUCUUAAGAAGAUCUCCUGAAACAAGCUGAUUCCUUUAUUAUUAUGAGUAAUAGUAGGAUGAUGAUCAUCCUUCCUGCUCUCCAAAUGGGCACCAGUUCGUCCGUACCGCUGGAGUCGAGUCCUCACAUUUUCCGCUUGACCUAGGUAUACCACCACGAUCUCGUGCUUCUCCACUCCUCGGCUUGAUCCCAUUCGCCCGAUGGCAAUUCCCAGCUCGUAAACUCCAGCGAAAGAAGCCCAAGGGAGAUUAUGGACUCUGUAUCUCGCAGCUCCUUCCUUUCCUGAUAAAUAGUCCGCCCAGUCGGAUGCCCCGAUUAGAACCUGAAUCCCCAAACAAUUUUAGUCCUAAUAUUCUGGGGAAAGAAACAUGUUUAAAGUUAUAACCGACGAGAAAAUCAAAUCAAUGGAGGAACUCACUCAGUUCUGGCUGCCUAUGGAACUGAUUAGCUAGAACAAAAGGAAUCACAGGUUUGGGUUUUGAUCGAAAGAAUUGUGGGAAGGAGAGAGUAUAUUACCUGCCAUCUGGAGAAGUGGGAGUCGUGCUUUGUUCGAUUACAGUCCUCUCUCUUCAAUUUGCCGCCGAUGAGGGCGCCGGAUUUGGCGGCAUCAGCCAUCAGACAUAAGGAUUAGACUCCACCGCCUACUGUCUGAGAAAGCCACCACCGCUUCUUCAAUUCAAAGGCUAAGACCGGGAAAGAUGACCGUUAGUUUGGCCCAAUAGAUAUAAUCUGAUUAAACAAACGAAUUCUGACGGAGCAGAAUGGCUAUGCAGCUGAAUCUAUUGGCUCCAAUCAAUAUGUGAUCCAACGAUUCAAAUUUUAUCUGGUAUAAUUUAAUUGAACGGCUGGAUAUGAUAGAGGUAAGAGAGGAAAAGUGUUAAACACAGAUUUUAUAUUUUAAAUCUUUUAUUCAUAUAUAUCCGAUUUUCUUAUUUAUUAUCAAAAACUUUCUUGCUAUCAUUUUUUUUUUUUUAAUUCUCUCCCUAACCCUGAAUUAUAAUAUCUCCGCCGCAUCUUCUUUCUAAAUCAGAGUUGAAGAAAAUCAUGGAUUCUUCCUUGGCGGCAGAAAAAUGAACAAGCAUCCUCUUACAAAUCCGUCAAGCAUCGCCUUUUAUUUUGUGUUGUUGUCAGAUGCUUUUUUCUUUAUUCUCUCACUCCUUCAUUCUUUUCUUUUCUCGGAAAAUAACCCAAUCUCAAUCUAACAGCAAUGUUUCGUCCACACAAUUCAGUCCAAAAUUGAACGCAAGACGUUCUUGAUUUCAAAAGAUGGGUAAUCAAAUAAAAACAAUCCUACCUCAAAACAAACAUCAGCAUGUCACAAAAUACGAAGAAAAAACUAGUACAGAAGAAACACCAUACAAAGUAGACACUACACUACACCUAUCAGUUUGUCAGAGUUUCAAGAUUCAAAGAUGGAAUGAGAACAAAAAUGACUCAAACUUUGCUUUCCUUCCCAUAGAGGCUUUGCCUCUGACUCCAACUUUGCUGCUUCCUCCACAAUAUUGGAUUUGGUGAUUGCACGCCGACCGGAGCCGCUGAGAAGGAAAAUGCACCUCUUAAUAAUAGUCGGUCACCCAGCACCAAGUGUUGGGUCAUAUAUGGUGCUGCUGAAUGUCAAAUUAGUAGUGUGAUUACAAAAGGUAAUUUGAAUUCCGAAGGCCGCCAACCGAAUGAAGCUGCUGCUGCUACUAUCUCAUGGAUGGUGAUUUCCGUGGACCAUCAAAUUAAUGCGCUUAGCACUCUCUGACCGAAAGCUUUCUCCUUUAUACCCUAUCUGGAACCAGAAAUUCACAUUUCAAUCGGAAAAAAAAAACAUUAAAACAAAAUCCUGCUUGUCUACUGUCUGAUCCUCCAUUGUAUGACCCAAAUAUAUAAUUUGACACACUGCAUACAACUAGACAAAAGCAUUACCUCAUGAAUGCUUUCCGGAGGAAACCACCGCAACAGCACACCAAGAUGUACCACUGCUGGAAUAAGCUUGAAAAGAAAUGGUGUCGUUACCUGUGCCGGUCAAUAUCAAAAUAUUUCAGCAUGUAGUGAUUACCGAGAAGACAACGCAAGCUAAUCUAGCUUCGGAAACUCUUGAUGAUACCAACGUAUUGCAGCCCCAGGGGUAACUCACCAUGGUCGUUUUACACUCUCAUAAUGUUUUGAUUUCAAAUUAACUAGCAUAACCACCAGAGCCAGACAAAGCAGAGAAAGCCAAAUAUGAUCUUUGCAUGCUUGUUUCUAUUUAAUUUGCACGCUACAUUUCCUACUAUAAAGAUAGGAAGAUAGCAAAAAUCGAUUAACAUAGUGUUAUCAUGAUGCUCAAAUGUGUACUAACCAGACUGAGGGCUGUCGUUCCAAGAAGCAAUAGAUAUAAUUUACCCUGCAGGAAUACGUUGGUGAUAAAACAUUAGCUCAUAGAAAAUACGCAAGUUCCUUCUCUUCGACAGUUCGAUUAGUGUUCCUAUAGAAUAAUAAAAGAAUUAUGUGUUAUAAUUCACUGUUAGUUUACAUCUCUAUACAUGCUUCUAUCUUAAGAGGAUUCGUAGUCUGCUAAACUAAUUAGUAGUUAUCUACUCACUAAUAUUUAGUAUUUAGAGUAGUUCUAAUCGAAACCGUUAUUAUCCUGUACCAAUAAGACAACACUAUCUAUCGGAUAAUAUAUAAUAAUAACUGUUUGCAGUAAAAUUAGGGAAUAUUUGUGUAUAGGGCUAAUCAGCCAAUAAUACUAAGACAUCCUGUGUUGCUGAAAAAUAGACUUCAGCAACAUGCUGCAUUAUUUCCAGCCGUCAGAUCGUCCUUUUUUCAGCUCUUUUAAUCUACAGGCAUAAAUUAAUAUAAGCAGUCUUGGUAUUUGGAAAGUAUUUUUGUUUUCUUAUUUUUUUAAACUAACAUAAAUCAUUUAGUUUCAGUCCGAUUUUUAUGAUCUUUAUAUAGAAAUAUUCUUCUUUUAAAAACCAAUCUAACGAGACCAAUAUUGAUUUUUUUUGAGGAUUUUUAAAAAAUAUUUUUUUCAUCGACCAUACAUACAUUUAAGCUGCUAAUACCUACGUCAAAGUUGUAAUGCCUAGAUUUAAGUUGUUAAUAACUAUAUUUUCUCUCUUAUAUCUACAUUACGUUUAAGUUGCGAAUAACAACGUCUAACUAGAUAAUAACUGCAUUUAAGUUGAUAAUAACUAUAUCUACCUAAAAUGUGUUAAAACGUACCUCUGAAAUGAUGAUAACUACGUCUGAAUUCCCUCAAUAACUAUGUCUUAUUGGCUAAUAACUACAUUUUCUCCUCUUAUACCUACCUCAAGGUUGUUAACGCCUAUGUCUAUUAGUUUCUAAUAACUACAAUUUGCCUGUUUAUAUCUAUCUUACGUUUAAGUUGCUUAUACCUAAUCUAAGUUGUUGAUAUCAACGUCGAACUCUAAGUUAGUAAUAGGAACGUCUAAGUUGUUAAUGGUUACGUCUAAGUUGUCAACAACUAACAGUUGAUAUUGGCCCACUAAUAUCGUUGGAUAGUUUCGAGGUGGCUGAUGUGCAUGGGAGGAAGCUUCCCGUUAAUGUGCAGGUGGAGCAGAAUCCACAACCGCCACUCCUUGUGUACCAAACGAGGAAACAACGGAAUUCGGCGGCAACUAUUCAGUCCUCGGAGGAAGCAGGUCAACAUAUGAGCCAACCUACUACUCAAGAGCAAACGAUAGCGGAGGUAACUGAGCUGGCUGAUGUGACUGAUGACCUGGAACUUUCAAUUGCUUUAAGGAAAGGGGUGAGAAGCUGUGCUCACUACCCCAUUGGUAACUACAUGAGUUGUGAAAGGCUCAAUAAUGGAAACAAGGCAUCUAGAACGGGAUCUACUCGAGGAGGUAUAUAUGAACUUCCCUCUUGUAAUUCAGAACUCGAGUCAAGGGAAAGUGUGUAAACUCAAGAAAGCCUUGUAUGGGUUAAAACAGUCCCCGCGAGCAUGGUUUGAUAGGUUUGCUAAGUGUCAAACUGACAACACCUUAUUUAUAAAGUAAUCCUCCACCGAAAGAAGAUCAAUUCUAAUUGUCUAUGUUGAUGACAUUAAUAUCAUAGGGGAUGAUGAAGAAGAAAUUCGACGUCUAAAGAACAGAUUGGCUUGAGAAUUUGAAAUAAAGGAUCUUGGAAACUUGAAGUAUUUUCUGGGUAUUGAAGUAAUAAGAUCAAACAAAGGGAUUGUUAGAUAACAAAGGAAGUAUGUGAUUGACCUAUUGAGAGACACUGGGAUGACAAACUACAAACCAGUAGAUACUCCAAUGGAACAGAACAAGAAACUCAGCAAUAAUGCUAAUGUUAUAGCAGUAGAUAAAGGGAACUACUGGCGUUUAGUAGGAAGUCUCAUCUAUCUACCUCAUACUCGCCUUGAUAUUUUGCUUUUGCAGUAGGCAUUGUUAGCCAACACAUGCAUGCUCCCAACGAAGAACACAUGGAAAUGGUGGUGCGCAUUCUCAUAUAUCUAAAGGGAUAUUCUGGUCAGGGAAUAUGGUUCAAGAAGACUCAACUCCGCAACGUUACAGUGUACACGGAUGCUAGUUGGGCCUAACUGAUCGAAGGUCUACUUCUGCAUACUGCAGUUAUGUGUGGGGGAAUAUUGUGACUUGGCGAAGCAAAAAGCAGGAUGUGAAGCAGAGUACCGAGUCCUUGCCCUUGGUAUAUGUGAAGGAAUUUGGCUAAAACGGGUUCUACAAGAACUAAAGAUUGAUCUGAACGGACCUAUUCAAGUAUUGUCAAAUAGCCAGUCAGCCAUUAGUAUUGUGAAAAAUCCAGUCCACCAUGAUCGUACCAAGCACGUUGAGGUGGAUAGGCAUUUCAUUUCAGAUAAUGCAGCAAAGGGAGUCAUUCAAGUUGAGUACAUCCCAUCCAAGCACCAGGCAGCAGAUAUUCUGACCAAGUCCCUUGGGCUUGAUGCAUUCCAAUUCCUUUCUUCCAAGCUCGGGUUGAUCAACAUCUACACCAAGCUUGAGGCGGAGUGUUGAAUAAUAUAGGAUUUGCAGUGUAUUAGAAUCUUAGCUACCUUAUUUCCUAAGUUAGAAAUUAGGUAGUUAGUUGACAUAGUAAGUCUGAUCCUAGCAUAUCUCCUAUUUAGGUAGGUCUGAAUUAGACAACAUGUAUAUAUAUUCAUAUAACCUAAUACGUAAAUCAUAAGAUGAAGAAGAGAUUCUCAUACCCUACGUCUCCUCUCUAAUUUGAGAGAUACCCCACAUGAAAAGGAUAUAAGCAUAAUCGACGGCUUCCAAUAGGCAUGAAAAACAAGAACAGCAUCAAGUACAAACCUCAAUUAGAUGAAUAUUAGAAGCACGACUGAGAAUCACAAAGGAAAAUUCCCCAAUUUGUGCGAGAGACAUCCCAACCUACAUAUAUAAUUGAACCUGAGGCCCUUCUGUCAAUGGAACAAAAUGGCAUAACAAAUGGAAAUACAAAUGUGCUAAGAAUGAUAUUGGAGAUCUUACAAGAAGUGCAGUCUUAUUGUUGUAUCCAAAUCCCUUGACAACAGAUGUAGUAAUAAUAGUUUUGACAACAAUCACUAACAGUACCGAAGCAAGUAGUAUAUCAACAUGAUUCCAUAGGAAAUGGACAUCUAUCAACAUCCCAAUGCUUGCCAAGAACAGAGCUGCAAAGAAGUUGCGAAUUGGUUCUACCUGAAAUUAUUAAAAUUGAAAAGGAGCGCAAAUGCAUGAGAAUUUAACACCCAACCAAGACUUUGGUGAUGCGAAGAAUUGAACUCACCACUAAGAGAAACGCAGGGCCAAAAACAUUGUACUGAUUCAUAAAUUCCUUACUAAAAGUUCGUUAUCUUUUCAAAAAAAAAAAACCAAAACAUACAAUUAACAUACACAGGUACUAACCAAAAAGAUAGCAUGAAACAAUAACUCACAACUGAGUAAUGGGCUGAUGCCACAUAGGACAAGAACAUGCUUACAAAGAUAUGAAAAGGUCAAAACCACUUGCCAACGUUGUAUAACACAGAUGUUUUCCCAAUUAAUCAUCCAGGGUAAAGAAGGUUGUUUUCCGUUUUCUAAGUUACAGUGGCUACCGUUAUAGUUAAUAUUCUCUUAACCGAUUACUAUUUACUGAAAAGCACACAACAGAGCAGGGUAUUAUCAGUAUCCUACCCAUCCAGAACAUCUAAACAGUCACAAACAAAAUCGAUAAAUACUAAUUAAAUCAAUGCAUAAUUCUUCAGAUGUUAUGUAUUCUAGACUGGAAGCGAACUAUAAAAAAAGGAGAAUCGUUCAUAGCAUAUUAUGAAAAUAUACCAGUUACAGUAGAUGGGAGCUAUAACACUUUGACACUCCCAAAAUUGAAAUAUAAUGUCUUACUUGCUCGAGUGUAUGGUGCGCGAAAUCAGUCGUGGAUAUCAUCACACCUGCAGCAAAUGAUCCUAGUUCAAGGCUGAGACCCAACUUGUCACUACACUGAAAUUAUCAAAGAUGCAAGGACAUAAUCAAUAUUAGUAUGUAAAACAGGUCUGACAAGAAAAAUAGUUACUAGCAUGCCACUAACAUAAAAGAAAUCGAUUGCAAACUAGUGAAAGGCAGUGAAACGGUAUCUCAGAGAUUAAAUUCAAGAUCAAGCUGGUUCUUCAUGUCUGUCCUUGCUGUUGGGAGAUAAUCACCAUACACAGAUCAUAUAGAGAUAGCACCAAUGUAACAACAUUUAUGCGAACACGCCAACACAGAGAGCAUUUCCCAUCAAUACAUUAUAAAUAGUGAAUAUCGUAGCAACUGGAUCUACUGGAAAUCACAAUUCAGAGACGGAACUAAAUUUAGAUAGGGUAAACUCCCCAUUUCGUUCAUCAGAGUUAAAAUACAACUCUACAAAAAAGAUAAGAAACAAACCAGCCCAAGUGACACGAGAAGUCAAGAAAUUAGGUGAGAAAGUCUACCCAUGCGACAAGCAGGCAGAACGCCACUGAUGCCAGCUGAUAGAGUUCAUUAGUCUGUACAGAUAAACACUAGUAAAAAAAUGAUCAUGGUAAUACGUUGAAUAAAAAAUCUUGAAUUAUGAUUACCUGAGACGAUAAGCUUAUCAUAAGCUUAAGGAACCAUGGCACACAGGUACGAGACAAUAUUGUUAAAGUAGCCAAAAAUGCAAGCAGCAGCACUAACCUGAUUGAAAUACGAUAAGAGGGGAUUUGAAAAUCAAAAUCCAAAAGGGACCCCCAUCCAGAAGAAAAAAUGGAGAAGCAAUGAAAGUAGGGUUUAAGUAAAUGAAUAACUGUUAGAAUCUGUUAGCUGUCCUUUCUUUCCUUCUUUGUAUAUAGCCGUUGCAUAUCUUCUAAUUAUGGUAGUUAGGUAGUAAAGUAAUCCCUAAUUUAUAGGGAUGCACCAUGUGAGAGAUCCGCUCCUUGAUAGGAGCAUUUGACUGUCUAUAUACCCCUAGAAACUUAAGAUUGCCAAUAAAAAAAAAUAUUCAAGUAUUUCCUAAAGUUAAAAAUAACAUUAAUCGAGCAAUAUCAAAUCCAGUGCAACAAACACACCUCCUUUAUCAUCAUGCAAAAAUAAAAUACUAUCCACACCUAGAGAUCUCAAGUUUGAAAGUCAAUCACCAAUCAAUCCUUGUAACAUAUGACAAUUCAAUACUAAACAGAUGUGCGGAUAUGCUAGCAUAUGUAAGCAACCAAUGCAAGAUUCAUAACUGAUAUCAAUAGCACCACUAGAAUUGAGCUAUGUUAAGCAUAAGGAUUGCCUAACAUAGCUUAUAUAUGAUGCAUAUGAUGUUGUGUUCUUUAGAUACUUACAACUUAGUCAUGGAUAUCACUCCCUGAAGAACACCAGAAGUACCACCAAGAACAGGAAGUAAAGCAAACAGCAGACCAACUGCACAAUCCUGAGAGAUCCAAAUAUAGUAAGGAAGACAUAAGAGAGCAAUAAUUUAAAAAGAGCUAUGAACUUUGAGCUAUCUUCAAUGUCAAAUUUCCGUGACCAUAACAAUCUAAAAAAUAUGACCAUGGAUCAUCUUAGUCCUAAAAUCAUAUCAUUAGAAUGGUACAAUUUUCUACCUGCAGAAUGAGGGUACCAACAGUGACCUGGCCAUAGAGGGUAUUUAUGCUAUUUUUUUCCAUCAAGAACUUUAGAACCUGCAGCAGGACAAAUAAACGAGGGAUAAAGAAGUCAUGGUGGCUUUUGAGCGGGGAAGUUUUUUCUGAAGCAUGUGCAAGAGACUGAUAAAACACCAUGUGUGUUCACUAAAAGAGACUUGUUUAGUUAUUUGGCCCCGUGCAUGAGUGGGGCUAUGGAAAUGAAAAAUCUAUUUAAAGCAGGUAUCUCAUAAAACAACAGUGGUGGGUAUUUGACCAAACCAGAACUUAGUACUGCGAUAUCAACAGUUAUGUACAUAACCUUUGGUAAGUCACAAUGUUCCCACUAAUUUGCAAUUAGAAGAACGGUAAGGUUCAAAGAAAACCCUAAUGGACCCACAAAAUGACAAACCUGAUACAUCGGAAAGAAAGGUGAUCAUUACUGCAAGUGGAACAGAAACCAAGACUCAACAAUAGAAAAGGAAAAAACUAGGAUGUGGCAUGCUUUAUAACUAUCCAUAGAAAAGGCUCCUUUUGACCUACAACCUUACGCAGAAAAACAGAUGGAACAGAAUGAAAAUUUCAGAAGGAACUUCUACGUAGCAGUGAAAUCUAAACUAACUUAGUCCGACAUAAACAGUGCCAACAAAUACAAAUACAUAAAAUAACUAUUACCACUGCAGUUGAAGACAUUGAGAGGAAUGCACCUACAAAGAUGCCCUCAGAAGGCUUACCCCCGCAUACCUGAAAAAUCAUGCAACAACAGGGACUAUCAUCAAGUCACAGAUAACGGGGAUGAAAGAGAACAAAUUUGGUUUACUAGUUUCAAGAACCCCCUAUUCUCUAUUCAAAACGGCUAGGCGAGGGCAUUUAAAUACUUUAAAAAUGGUUUAUAUAGUAGUCUGAAGUAAACUGUGUCACCUUGAGACCUUGACCUUGUUUAAAUAUGCAAGAAAAAUCAUUUUUCCAGUUUCAUCACACUAGUUUAGAUGUGUAUUAUCAUGUUUUUCGACAUAGAUCAUAGAUACAUGUUUAUGUCUGUAUUAAUAAUGUUCCAUAGAAUAUGAGAAGCAAAACAUCACAGGUAUUUAUAGUACUAAUCUCAUAAAAAGCAUAGCCUGCCUCUAAACUCAUUUUCUCAUGUGUUUAUUCAGAAGUAACUCAGUUUGAUAUGUCGGUAGAACAAAGUUUCUUAUCCUCGUCCACAUAACAUAUACAUUUGGUUUCUUGUUGAAAGUGUCCAUCUAGAAGUACUUAGAACAAUGCUUACCGAGGCUGUUAAUCCACAAAGGCACAUAAAGAGCGAAAUCUGGAGAAGACCUCCAACAACUGCAACUGCUCGGACAACACGAAGCUGCAUUUAAAAUAGAGAUGAAAUAAAUCAGAGUGCAGAAGGUAGUCUGGAGCACACAUGCAAGAAAGGAUAUACGCAGACCUUGGUGAUGGAAAACUCCAGACCCAGGACAAACAGAAGGAAUAUGACACCAAAUUGUGCAACUGUCUCAACCUGUCAAUUUCACAGUAACGAAAUUUAAAGAAGCUUAACUCCUAAACUAGACAAGAGGACAAUGUAAUGGCACAAGUGUUGGAAAAUGUGAAUAGAAGAUUUCGCAUUUUCAAACAAGUUUCACCUGCAAACAUGUUUAUAACACAAGAAACAAAGAGCUGAAACCAAAAGCAGCAAUCUGUAACUUAAAGCCAGAGAUAUUACUUUAUGCAUGGAAAGGAAAGGAAAUGGUAUAUAGAAAGGCUUGAGAGGCCAACUUGACGGCAUACAUACUUAAAAGCGGCAACAUCUAUUAUUGUGUAGCUUCGACCAAAAUUCAACAGAAAAUGCUGUUUAUACACUACUAAAGAAGAAUUAAUGCAAUAGAUAUUAGGAAAGUGUGACUUUAGCUUUCGUCUGAAAUUCUACAGCUGCAUGAAAAUUCCUCUAUACAUCGCAAACUUCAUGCAGGACAACAUUCUGAAGUUGGCGAUGUAUUAUUCCAAAGGGAAAAAGAAAUUGCCAAAUAAGCAGGACUAGAACUUACUUGCACCAUUUCGCUUACAACAUUGAAUCCCCCUGGCCCAAUCACAGACCCUGCAAGCAGGUAUCCGGAAAAUACCUGGAAUUAUGAAUGAAAGUGGGUAAUUGCUUAAAACAAAUCUAAGGAAGAAAAUAAAGCAAAGCACAAGGAAAAUGAUGUAUGAGAAAGGGGGCAACGGAGAAAGCUAAGGAUGUGAGACAAACACAUUGUCAAUGAAAAGCAUAUAGAAAUCAUUUAGGUCUAACCGGUUGACCAGCACAAGCAAAUGCUACUCCCCCGCAAGCAGCAGACACAAUGACAACCACCAGAUCUGAUAUCAAACUGAAAUAUAUAAAAAUGUUAAAUAGAGAGGCAGGUAACGACUGCCCUAAUUGAAUGUGUAAAGUCUGAAGGACCAAGAGGACAGAAAGAUUCGGAUUAAGCUCACGUUAAGUCAAGUUGUAGCACAGGAUAUUUGGACUUCGGAUUUGAUAUGAUAAAGACAUUAUCCUGAAAUUAAGACACCCGAAUAAGCAGAUGUGAAAUUUCUCCAGCUAGCAUGCGUGAGGAUGUAACCGCUAUAGAAUCUCCAAGUGUCACAAUCAGUAUCAUAUACAAUUUCAAGUAAACCAUAUAAAGAUUUAUAACGCAGAAAAUUGAUACUGAUCAUACCUUUCGAUCAAUUAAACGUGCGGCAUCUUCUGCACGAUUGUCAUUGUCCAAAUUGAAAACAUUAUGAAACUGAAAAGACCUAACAUAUUUUCACAGAAUCAGUCUUGUCAGAUCUGCUAGUAAUAUCUUUGAAUUAAGAUCUAUAAGUGCAAUUAAAAAAAUCAAGGGAAAGACAAUACGCUGGAUAUUGAACACAUACUUCUCCUCCUUAGAUUCAUUUUUCUUCGUUGUAACCCUAGCCACUGUCUCCAGAACUGCCUAGUGCAAUGAAACAUUUACAAUUAGGCACCUUUUAACACGAAGAGUUAUGUGAUUAAAACUCUAGUGCAGUUAUAACUACGAAAAUAGCUAGCACUAACAACUACUCACAUCUUAAUCCAAUAUGUGUCAGUCUCUGAAAAAAACAAGUUGGAGUAUCGUGCCAACUCCCACAAUGUCUUGCACUUACUCUGCUAUAGUCUGCCCAUAAAUACAGAACUAAUAGAAUCUACUGCUAUCGAGUACCCAUAACUCUAUUUUGGGUGAAAGGUAACCAUAAAGUUUUAACAGCAGCCAAUAACUUUCAGAAGACCUGCCUAUAUAUGAGUUAAGCAAAACAAAAUCGAAAAAUGUCCAGUAGUCACCUGCUGCCCGGCAACGCUGUUAUUGAAGCUGUCCGGAUCAGUGGCUGCAAAAGCAAAUGCCACCACUUGAUAUGGGUUAUCAAAGCUUCUGAGAAGUCAAAUUAGAGUAUACAAUGACAGGAUAAUUUUCCCAAGAGAAUUUUUGCAGGGUACUAGUGAAGACGGAAUUCAAUCAACAACGCCCGAUCCACCAGCGUCUCCCAGUUCCAAUUAGGAAAUAUUGAGGCAAAUGCAACAGAAUAAUAGAAGAAAGAGGUAAACAAAGACGAGGUGAAAUAUAACUGAAAGAUCACGAGUAGGCUGAAAUCCCUAGUGGUUCGUGAAUUAGAAAGGUCAAAGAAGGAGCAGCGAUGAAGUGAAAAAUGCAGCUGUAUAUGAAGAGAGAGAAAGUUAUGGAGCUCGGAUCCAGUAACAGACCUUCAAUUUUCUCUGUCUCGUUGAACUCCUUCUCCAGUGCGCGAUCGAUCAUGAAAGCGAAGGUGUCCUCCCUGGAUCUGAGUCCAGUAGAGUUGGAAUCUAUGCUUGCAUUUACUUUCGUUGAGUUCCACUCUUCAUGGGCGGAUUCAGAGGGCAAGAAGAAGAGAAGAAGAGCGCAAAGUACAGCCGGAGCUAAGAGCAAUCUCAUUUCCCUCUCCGCCGUUCACAGAGGGAAGAGAGAGACGCCGGAGCGAAGUGGAAAGACGAGAGGGAAGGCGGGUGAACAGAUAUGCGGUGGUUAUGUGUUGGUAGCGGUCUAAAUUAGUCAAAUGGGUCGGUUUUAUGUCAUUUGAGUUAAUGGAAUGGGUUGGAUAAUCACGAACACAAGUUCGGUUGGUUUUUGUAGAUUGAGAAAACUAGUAUUAACCGAUUAAUUAACUUAAAUGGUUUUAUUCACAAUGAAACGAGGUUGGAAAUUUCAAAAUAAGUCAUACAAAAUAUGCAAGAACAAAGUAGGAUUAUUAAUAAACACAAAGGGUUCUUUCUCCGAAGAUUGUAGGAGGUGACAAAGGUUUUUUGUGCGGCUUUCUCUUUUCUGAUGGCAGCGAUGGAGCCGCCGGCGGACUUUCUAUCAGGGCAGCCGAUGGUGCUCCAUGACGUGCUGAAUUAGCUCGAAAUGAAGUGCUCGAUGGAGGAGUGCGGUAGGAUGAUCCAGGGAGUUGAUUCCAAUAUAGAUGGUUGCGUCAACUUUGCAGAGUUUGAGAAUAUAAUUGUGACAAAUGGUGAAGCUACUGCUCUGACAGUGAAUUAGAUUUCCAUUAAAUCGACAUAUCUUUUUGUUAUAUCGGUGUUUCUUUCCUUUUGUAAUUUCUUUUUUGGUUUUAUGAAUUGUGAUGGUUUGAAUUUUGAAUCUAGAAAUCUGGAAAAAAAGAUGAAUAGUGUUGGUUUUCUAGAUUGGAUGGUUGGAGAGGAUUCAUCAAACUAUUUGGUUUUUAACUAAUUUCUCUAACUUCUACUAUAGAUACUCUAAUUUAGAACUUCAAUGUUGGAAUCUGGGUUUAAUGUAGUGAUUGCAUCUCAAUACUACACACAUAGAAUCUGAGUUAUAAGAUUUUUAGUUCUGAUUCACUUACCAAUUCUUAGUAAUUCAUGCUCUGGCUACAAGUAAUUAAUUUAUCUUACACACGCUGUCUUUGGAAUUUUGUUCCUAUAAAUUUGUAUGUGGUUCAAUGAAGAGAUCGGUCGGUUUGUAGUGGACAGGGUGGCAUCAUUUUCCCUGAUAAUCAAUUGGUUACACAAAGUGGAAAUCAAAGCGGUCCCCUCUGAACAUUGAAGCUUUACAACUCACCGAUAUUUGGUGUACCCAUUUGAACUCUCUUGAAGUCCAUGAGAGUGAACUUACAUACCACUAAAUCCAGGGCAAUUUUUUUUAUUUUAGGUGAAUUCAAUCCUUUAUAACUUUGGUGCCUAUUCUUGGAGUUCAAUCUCCAAAAUGAGGGCCAAAUUGUCCCGUUAUAGGAACUCGCUCUCCAUUAUUGUAACCUUGUGCUUCAUUAAUAAUACUAGAAUCAUAUUUUAUUCACAAGGACUGAAUCUUCAAUAAUCUCGAUCAAUAAUCUAUAUCAAAUAAGUUGAAGAGUUGUCGAAUUGUCAUAUGCAUAUGUUAAUCUUAUACUUCAUCUCAUUCAAUAAUAAAAAUCUAAUUUUUAGCAAUUUUAUUCAAAAUCUAUCGUCCAAUUGUUCCCCAUCAACAUACUUAACGUAGGAAAUCUUCAUGGGCAUGUUUGGUAUGAGUGAUAUUGAGUGAUACUGAUAUUCAAUAUAACUCAAUAGCUAGCUAUUCGAGAUAUCUCUAUGUUUUGGAGUUUGAAUAGCUAUUCGGUGAUAUUGAAUAUCACAAUAUUAUUAUAUUUAAUUCUUACCUAUAUGGGGUGAUAUUCAAUAUCACCCUAAUAUCUUUUGAUGGACAUAAUUGCCCCAAGGCAAUUUGAUAAUUACAAGCAAGUGAGGGCUACAAUUGUAAUUUUCUUUGUCCUCGUUAUUAUAAACCAGGACUCACACCACAUAUAAUCACUAUUAAACCGUACCACUCAUAUCCUACACCAAACAAGAAUAUUCAUACUUAUUGAAUUUAAUAUCAAUCACACCUAAUAUCAUGAUAUCUUAAAUAACUAGUUAUUUGACAUAUCACGUACUAAACGAGGCCCAUAUUACAUUGAAUUAAAUAUAUCGUGAAAGUUUCGGCCCGCGGCGCCGACGGCUCGAAAUGUUUCGGAGUCGCCACAAAAAUUUCGAAGCGGAUUGGACGCUUUCGACAUAACCCAAGUCCUUUUGGAUGCAAGUUAGAUCAAGUCUGAGGAAUAGAGAUCCUGGAUUCGGGAGGCAGUUACGUGUGGGGAAGGAUUAGCACCCCCGCAACGCCCAAUAAACCGGUACUACGAAAUUCGAUAAGUUAUGUUUUAGUUUCUUAGUUUAGUGGCUUAAUUAUGCUUUAGUUUGGAUGUGAAAGGUUAUGUAAAAAUUUUAGAAAAUAUUUUUACUCAAUUGUAAGUCUUUAUGAAUUCUCACUCUUGUGAAAAUUUAGUUUAUGUUGGUAAAUAUUUUAGUCGAAUAUUCCUUAUUUAAUUGUUUGGAUUUAUGAUUCCCACUUUUGUGAAAAUUUCGUUUUACGUUGGUAAAUAUUUUUGUAGUUGAAUAUUUUUUGUUUAAUUAUUUGGACUUAAGUCUUACGACUGUCUAUGUACCCAAUUCUUUGGGAUCAAAGUCCAAGUAGUUCGCUUCGAAAAAGUUGAUUUGAAGAUUUUGCGUAAUUUUUACUAUUGUAAAAACAACGUUAUCAUGAUCGUUUUUUAUUAUUUGAUAGACAUUUAUUUGGUUAUUUUGAUGUUGGAAUUUUUAGGAAGAAAAAUCCUCGUGUUACGGUAUUCUGAAACCGAUGGUGCUCACACGUUGAUCGAGAAAUUAGAAACACACGUUUUAAUGUACUUACUUACAAACCUCUUGAUUCCUAAGCCGGUUAUUAUUGUUUAUAAAAUUUAGGGGACUAAUAAAGAUUUAUAUUGAUUUGUAAAUUUGAUAUUUAUUUAUUCUCACUAAUUCUACAAAAACCUGAAACUCUUGUCGGUGAUACGAAAUUCAUAUAACAUUGCUAUAAUAUAUUUAAAGGAUUAUUAUUAAGAAAUUUUCACAUUCUUUGCCAAUUGACAAAUUAAUUGGUUUAUAUCAAUUAACUUGAUUUGACAUAAUUAAAAACGCAUUACAGGACGGGUAACGAACUUACAUUUAAAUAGUUAUGUUAUAAAUAUUUCUUUGACAAUUCUAUUGUCGUUAUGCUAAUUAAAAGGCUACGUUGAUUCGAAUAAUUGUAAACUUUCGAGUUUUUAAGUUCACAACUUUAACUUCUAAAUAUCAAAUAGGAUUAAAGAAGUUAUGACGUUUAUUCUGUUAUUAUUCCACACUUAUUUCAGUUUUAUUCCACUCUUAAUAUGGCCUUAAUGAGAUAUGAAUAUAAUUGAAUCAACUAAAGACAUGGCCUUUCUGAAUCAAUUGGGCCCAAGCUCGAGCUGGGCCUAACCAAACGACGGGCCGAACCGGCGAUUAAGAGGAGGGAAGCCCGUGCGCCAAACCGAUCGAACCGGUUACCCACGGUUCGACUUGAAAGUUAAAGAGACGAAAUUGCCCCUGGAGUUCUGCACGCUAAAGAAGGGAGGCAUGUGCAAUUUCGUAACUUCACCCUAACCAUAAUCGGUCGUAUAAAAUGACCUCUUAAAUCGAAAAAUGGCUCAUUUGCAACUUUCCACUCUCCAAAACCUCUGUCCUCUCUCUAACUCCCAUCCUCUCUUUCCCCUUUUCUUCUUAUUCUUCCUCUCGCCCCCCUCUCCUCUCUCUCUCGACCGACAACAACGAUGGUAGCUACCGCCGCCCAUCCCCCUUUCUCUCUUUUCUUUUUUUGUUCUAUCUUUUUUUUUGUUCUAUCUUUUUUUUGUUCUCUCCUUCUCUUCCUCCCUCUUUUUCUUAUGUUGGUAUUUAAAUUUUUUUCGACUUUGUUAUUUGUUUGCGUUUUUUGGUUAUUUGAGGGUGGAAUCGGUGGUGAGGCACAAGACCGCCGCAGCGAUGCGGUUGAUGACGGCGACGGGAAGGCAUAGAAAAGGAAGAAAGAGAAAGUUAGGAAAAAAAUUUCUUCCCUAUUCCUUUUUAUUAAUCUCUGUUUAAUUACUAACGAAGAUAACUAUCAAUUUCUUUGAUGACUUUUUUUAGGUCUUCAAAAAUAGGCAGAGUCGACUAGUUCUCGAAAAACGAGACGAAAAGGAGAAGAUUGCUUUUUGAGGAGUUAAAGCAGCUAAUUUCGAACUCGUUCUAAUUUUUCUAGGUAGAAGUAACGAUUUUGUUUGUUGAUAAGUUGCCUACGAAACUCGGUUUGUUUUGUUACUGAAGUUGGAGUAGUAGUCUAGGUGUUUUCAAAAGUUCUGUUUGAAAAACUUGAUUUUUUUUGCUAUUGUUUAAAAACAUUUCAGUAACAUUAUUUAGUCGAAAAAUCCGUAUUUUAACUCGAUUGUACUAUGAGUUUCGUAGUUCUUUAGGUCCUUUGGUGCGAAAAUGAUGAAAGAUGGCUAUAUGUUUCUUUGUAAAUAUUUUCCAGCAACUUUUAGUUGAUUUUGAAAGCUUAUUUCAUUGAUUUUUUGAUUUUUUUUGAUUGUUUAUUAAAAUGAAACAUUCAUUUGAUUAGUUGCUAUGAAUCAUUGGAUUCAAGAGUAGUCUAAAAGGUUCUUAAGUGAUAUAGCAUAACAAUGUGUAUGUAUGAAUGAUUGUGAAUGCUUUAGAAUAGGGAUGUUUUGAAUGAUUAUCUUUAAUUCGAAACUUCUCUUGUUGUGUUUCAGGUGGUAGCGCCUAUCGUGAGUGACGACAAACCCUUUUGGCGGCUUUUAUGUGGAGGGCGACUAAAGAUGUUGUAAAACUUUUAUUUUUUUACUGUUUUGUAAUAAUUUCCUAGGACUUUGAAGGUUUGAUGUUGGUGUUUUUUUUUUUGGGAUUUUGGGGAGAAUUAGGGGAAGAAGUCUGAAAAAUGUAAGCUCCGUUUUCUGCUGAUCAUUUUAGUUGUCCAUUUAAAUGUAGAAAAGGGCUGCCACCUCUUCUUUUAACCAAUCACAUCUUGCAACGUUUUCGGACAAAAACAAAAGGUGGCAACUCCCCCAAUUAAUAACAGUAACAUGCCCGAUAUUGGGCCUGAAAUUGGGUCGAACACAUAAAUCGUUUUGAGAUAAGGGAUUUUGCUGAAUUUUGAGAUAGCAGGCUUGAGGUCCACUCAUUUCAACCGUUUCCGUUUAAAAAGAUCUAAAACAAAAUCAGCUUAGAACAAUCUAUAACGUAAGAAUUACAUCUAGAAAACAUACUAUUUGGCUACCAAGUUCUCCCCUAACGUGCACUUUGAUUAAUUUAAGUGAAUAAACUUCGUAACAAGUAAAAUAUCGGCGCCAAACCCUUGCUAGAGAUACUACGACUAUUUAGUGAAAUUGAACUGGCGUGAAUUCUUCACCCAGACGAAAUUUGGUUACUACAGUUGUCCCACUUUGUAUUACUUUUGCUUGGAGGCGGAAAGUGGUACAAAGACAAAACCAAAAUUUAAGACAAGCGCCCGAACUUCUUACGUCAAGUCCACUAGGGUCCAAGGAUCUGUCACAACAGUGGGUAGAAAACAAAAUUUGCAACCUGACCAUGGAAACAACAUGCAAUGCACUUUUCCAUGGGUGGCAGGGUGAAUGUAUUAGGGACUCAGCUUUACUUAUCUCACAUUCCAUGGGUUGAGUAUACUAGGGUCUGAGCUCGACUUAUCUCUCGUUCCAAGGUGCGAUCCGCUUGCCCCAUGAUGCUAAGGGUUGAUGUACUAGGGAUUCAGGUUGACUUAUUUCCCGUUCCAAGGUGUGAUCCGCUUGCCCCAAGAUGCUAAGGGUUGAUGUACUAGGGAUUCAGGUUGACUUAUUUCCCGUUCCAAGGUGUGAUCCGCUUGCCCCAAGAUGCUAAGGGUUGAUGUACUAGGGAUUCAGGUUGACUUAUUUCCCGUUCCAAGGUGUGAUCCGCUUGCCCCAAGAUGCUAAGGGUUGAUGUACUAGGGAUUCAGGUUGACUUAUUUCCCGUUCCAAGGUGUGAUCCGCUUGCCCCAAGAUGCUAAGGGUUGAUGUACUAGGGAUUCGACUAGACUCAUUUCCCGUUCUAAGGUGUGAUCCGUUUGCCCUAGGAUGGUAAGGGUUGAUGUGCUAGGGAUUCAGCUUAACUUAUUUCCCGUUCCAUGACUACAAAUGUGUUGAUGACGAAUGGUUUUGAAAGAGUUUGAGUAAGGCUCCCCCUUUUUGAAAAACAAAACACACAUGUGAUGGUGAUGCUUGAUUGAUAUUUGUCUUCUUUUUCACUCCGAGGAGAUUGACUAUUUUGUAGAAAACAUCUUCCCAAGUGUUAGAAACUGUGCUUUGUUCAUAGGUCCUCCCAGGGCCGCUCGUUGCAACAAGACACAAUUUUUGCUGAUGAUGAACAUCGUGGUGGAUUUUUCUAAGGUAAAUGUUGACAGGAUAAUCCGAGUUUGAUAUAAUAAUUUCACUCAUUUCAACCAUUGCCCCCUUUUGCUUGGAAUGUUGCCUCCAAACACAGGGGGAAGAAGAAAAUUGAGUAAUAAAGCCUGGGAAAGGAUCCAGAUAAGAGCGAGAAGGAAAUCGAGGAAAAAGAAGCUUUCACCGCAACAAAGGAUGAUGACGGUGAUGGAAAGUUUUGCAAAAGGCUGAUAGGAUAGGUUGGUUUUCCGAGUCCAUUAUUCCAUGAUUUAAAGAUGAAGGAUCUCAGUUGAGAUUUGUCCUAAAAAGAACCAAAAUAAACAGAAUCUCUAUUUGACGCCCUAAGUUUCGCAUUAAACGACGCCCUAACUUGAGUAAAUUACAAUAUUAUCCUUUCGUAAAAUCGAAAUCCAUAUAAGUUGUGUGUAUUGACUAGCUCAAACACAAUCAAACACUCACAAACACUCUCAAACGUUGAUCCGAAGAAAAAAUCGAAGUUCGGAAGCGAACGUGACAAGUACGAAACUAGUUCCGGCCGGCACUAGCUUGGGCCGAAACGAGCGGCCGGCCGGCCCUUUUUUUAAUUAAUGAAUUUAAUUAUUAUGAUUAGUAUAAUUAGAGAAUUUUUAGGGUAUGUGUAAUUAGAGAAUGUUAGUGAAUAUAUAGAAUAAUUAGGUAAUUGUUAGUGAAUAUUUAUGAAAAUUAGGGUUUAGGGUUAGGGUAUUAGGGUUUAGUUAGGAAUAAUAAGAGAACCUAAUUUAGUAGAAUCCGAAUUUUAUUAGAAACGUUCAUUUGUUUAAAUGCAGUUGAGUGAAAAAUAUGGCAAACACAAAAGGCGGAGGUAAAUCGCACAGUCGAGAUCCAGUAGAGGAAGAAACUGAUGGGAUCCAGAAAAUGAGAGGGAAAGGAAAACAAACGGGCAUUUUAGAUCGGAUGUAAGAGCGAGUAAUCACAUCUUUGAGGCGGAAAGAGGGAGAGGCAGCGAAGAAGAACAAGAAGUUGAAAAUCUAUGGCUCCCCUAACCGGUACCCUCCUGUUACGUACCCGAUUAGGUCGUAUCCGGAAGAUGAUGACGAGGAUGACGGUCCACCGCCGGGGUUUGUGUACAAUGACACACAGACUUCCGUCCACAUGACUUCUCCGCACAUGGCUUCUCUGCACACGACCUUUCCGCACAUCGCUUCUACAGGCUCGUCACAUGCCUCCGCGAGUGUUGGCGUGAGAGGAGGGAAACCUAGCCGACUUGCGCGGGUCCGAGAGGAGGAUGCUGCCAGUGGAGUGGACUGGCAGGGACUGAGUCGUACCUGGGGGCUUACAGAAGUGCUCAUCCCGAGUCAGUGCAUCCAAGGAACAUUAAUACCGUGUGAACAAUUUGAUUAUUUGGAAAAAAUUAUUACAAGAUAUCGUUAAAAAUUUCGACAAAAUUUCGGCCCGAACAAAAGUUCCGACGGAGGACCUCCCAGCGGGCUCGAUCUAAAAAAUUGGCCGCAAGGGGCCCCGACCGGAAGGUCGUUUCGGCCGGAGGGAGCCCCGGCAGGCCGGCGGUUUCGGCCAGGCCGAAACAACCUUCCGGACGGGGCCUCUUGCGGCCGAUUUUUUCGAUCGAGCCCGAUUUGUGUUCACCGAAUUGUAAGGAAAAAAGUACCGUGAGAGGUUUUCGAAAUAAAUAUUUUGAUAGUUUCGUCAGUACAAAGUUUCUCGAAUUAUAAAUUUUGAUAGUUUCGCCGAUACAAAAUUUUUUGAAUUAAUAAAUUUGGAUAGUUUCGUCUUUCCUAAAUUUAGAGUGACAUAUAAUUCGAAAGUUAGGACGUCAAAUAAUAGUUCUCAAAAUAAAACCCCUAAAAUUUACUCAGAUCAAAUUUUGUCCAAUAAAUCUAUAAGGGUCAAAAUCAACAUUUUCCCUUCACGCGUGUUUUUGUUCUUCCGGGCAGACGAUUUUACCACACUUUUUUGGAAGCCAGAUUUUGGCCACGAGAUUUAUUAGAUGGCUCAGGAUUGCCCUGGACAUGCUGGAAUCCAAAAUCCAAGAUUAUAAACCGCUCUCCCUUGGUUGCAGCCUAAUAUUAUCCAGUGAUUAUUCCAAUCCUUUCCUUCCUGAUCCAAAACCAAUCUGCAAGGCUCCGAUUGCAUUUGCAUGUCUGCAAGAAAUUAUUAAAAAUUUCCAUUUUGCUAACCAAAAUGGUAUAUCGUUUUGGACUGUUGCACAAUCCAAACACACCUAUUUCAGCAGUUGCCAAUCGAAUAGGUAUUUCUCCCAGCUUCUGGGUUUCACCUAGUCUCUGUGCUUGUGGGUUCGCUACUGUCCACGGCAAAAGCAGGUUUACCGCAAACCGCAGGCUUGUGAUAGGCUUGGGAGCUUCGUUUCUCUCACAGUUUCUUGGUAUGGCUGGCCAAGUCAGUAAUGUCAAGCAUUUCGUUGCCUCAGCUAGGCAGAAGGGUGCCGUCGAAGAAGUAAAAUUUCUUUAACCCUUCUAUUUGCUAAUUUAGCAGAUUUCAGCGCGGUUAUAGAAUUCACAUUCUGUGUUUGCUCAAACUUUGGAUUAGUAAUUGACUACUUUGAUCGAGAUGAAUAAAUAUGCAAGUCCAAAUUUUAGGAAACCUUACUGACUUUGGAUUUUGGGGAAUUUUGAUUUAUUGUACCAUGUCUGUACUGAGAUUGGACUGAAUCCAAAGGAAUGUUGAAGAGUACCAAAUGUAGGUAGUUAGCUGAGACGAUUUCUGAGAAAUUGGUAAAUAACCAGCUUAUCCUAACAUUUGAUAAAGUUCAGAUUGGGAUAUAUACAUAUAACAUUGCAAAUUUCUAUGAUUGAGAAUUAGGACUUUCGGGUAAGUUAGGAAGGAUACAGUUUAUUAGUCUCUCUCCCUCUUUCUCUCUAUGCUACUGGAGUAUUACUAUUUAUUUAUCCCUUAAUGCUCUUGAUCUAAGUAGGUAUUGAAGAAUGUUGCUUGGCCGGAGCAGUUCCCCUUCAAGGAGGAAGAUUUUCAGAGAUUUGAUGAGUAAAGCCUCCUCCAAACUCUUAUCUUUCACUCCUGAAUUUCAAGCUUCGAGUUGGUAACAUGUUUGAUCUUCCUUGGUGGCUUUGGAAACUGUUAUACAGUUUGUAGUGUGUGUCGCAUACCAUACCUGCUCUGCCUCUGCUAGACGUUCACAUGUCAAUCCAUAAUAGCACAUGAAUCAAAGUAGAUCUUUCAAUGACUUGUUAAUCAAGCGAGUUUUGAAUGAACAUGUGCUGUAAAUUGUUAUCAUUGCCCAAUUAGUGCCUUAAGUUACUCCAAAGCCUUUGAAUCUGUGUUUAUCUAGCUUCUUUCAUGAACUCGUGCACUCAGGUCAUCAGAUACAUCGUUCUAUGAAGCUCCACGAUUUGUUACACACAUUGAUGAUCCAGCAAUUUCCGCACUGACAAAGUACUACUCAGAGGUUCUCCCUCCUAGCAAUACCCUGGGAGUAAGCAUCUUGGACAUGUGUAGCAGUUGGGUAAGUAACUAUCUUGUGUUUGUAAUAGUAUCCUUUAUUCCAUAAUUAUCUGCUCUAGUCAUUCUCAAUAGAAUCUUUGCUCAUGAUUUUGUGUUUAGGUCAGUCAUUACCCAAAAGGAUACAAGCAAGGUCGUAUAGUUGGGAUGGGAAUGAAUGAAGAAGAACUCAAACGGAAUCCUGUAAGGUUCUAAGUUGCUAAGUGUUAGUUUGGUAGUUUUACAGUCACUUGGAACAUCUUCCAACCAAUUACUGUGCCAUUGUUGCAGGUUCUGACAGAGUACAUCCUGCAAGAUCUGAAUGUGAACCCAAAACUGCCAUUCGAUGACAAUUCAUUCGACGUGAUUACUAAUGUGGUAUGCCUUGAACAUUUGGACAGACAAGUGUUGGGAAUUAUGACACUGGAAGUUGAAAGCUUUAUGUUUUCACAAACAGGUCAGCGUGGAUUACCUGACAAAACCACUCGAGGUAUUCAAGGAGAUGUGCCGCAUACUGAAGCCAGGUGGAGUAGCCAUAAUGAGGUAAAUUAUAUCAAGCAGUUGUGCAUGUUAACUAAAGAAACAAUGAUCAGAAAAAUUGUGUAUAUCGAAAUAGUUGAUUUCGUCGUUCUUUCUAACAACACCUUUGAUAUUAUCAGCUUUUCGAACCGUUGCUUUUUCACGAAGGCAAUCUCAAUAUGGACAUCAACUGGGGAUGCUGAUCAUGUUAUGAUUGUUGGGUCAUAUUUCCAUUAUGCUGGAGGGUUUGAACCGCCUCAGGUGAAUGCUAUUUUCUUUUUGGUUUCCGGAAAAAGGCUCAAGUUACAAGUUUGAUAUGUUGGACUGAAAUUGAUUUCAGGCUGUGGAUAUAUCUCCAAACCCAGGACGUUCAGAUCCAAUGUACAUUGUUUACUCUAGGAAGGCCUCCCCAGAGGUUUAGGAGUGAGAUUGGUCCAAGCUUCAGAGUCAUGGAUGAAAGGCUUCAAUAGCUUCAUCUGUUCCAAAUUGUUUAAUUAUUACCUUUCGUUUCGCCGAUUCACGUAGCCACAUCAGAAUACUACAUAUAUAUAUAACUUUGAACUGUUCCGUUUCCCUUUUUCGUGUAUCCUUCCCUUGUAAGAAACAAGCAUGAAUACAUUUUAUAUAAUUCUGUAUGGAACUACUGCAAUGUGCUGAUGUUAAAGUUAGGUGAGAUUCGGUCGGUGCAGGCAAGAGUCAGUGUGCCAGUGGAUGGUGAGCAGUAAACGAGAAGAAUCCAAUUCCCAGUCAAGUUAUUUGCCAAAACAAUAUGGGAUAUGAUAGCAUGACAUUGCCUUAUUGUUUAUUCCAUCUGUCAGUUUCACAAGUGGAAGUGGGUGUGGGGAAAAAAGACAAAAACACACAUUUUUGGUUCGUUGUAUUCCAAUAUGUCCAUCCACAUAAUUUAAAGUAGACGGAAUAUUUACAGCACCAACACCAAUAGACAAAAAGAAAACCAAAGUUAAAUCGGCAAAAUCAAUGCAACUGACGGUGGAUAGUGGGAGCAUUGAUACAUUACAAAUUGGAUAGUGGGAGCAUUGAUACAUUACAAAUUGGAAUACCGAUGCCUUUUUUCAUGUUCUAGUUCUACCAUGCAACAACUUCCUCUAGCUAAUUUUGGGUAGCGGGUUACUUGGAAUUAGCACGGUGUGAGGGACCCAAUUGUGCAUUCUUGAAAGCAAAGCAAGCAACCACAUAGACGAAGAUGAGGAGAACUAGAGCUACAAUGAGAAUGGUAUUGAUUUUCCUCCCUUCUCUCCUCAGGUUGCCUAACAACCCUGCUUUGCACGAGUUGCAGUUGUAGCACAGCUGCUUCUGGUCGUUGCUCCACAUGUAGCAGUCUGGAUCCGCUGUCGGGUUUGUCGGGUUCACCCACAGGGUCGGGUUCACGUAAUUGUACCCACAUACCGUUGGAGGCUUGCAACACCCCGACUGUACGUAGUAAAUAACAUCGUUUAGAAACAUGUACAAAUUGAAAUCUUACUACUACUAAAUCUUAUUGUGGUUACUAGUCUAAUUAGUACAAAUUACCGCUCCUACUACUGUAAGAUCAUAAAAUGGUGGGUCCUACUUGCACCAUCUAUGGCUGUCGUAUUCUAGCAACUUCUCUGAAUUCCCUCCGAAGCUAGAGAAAUAGCUUCUUGAUCCAAUUUAGAAAACCCAUACAAAUCUCCGUCCUCUAAAAAUUAGAUUCUAGAUCUAACAGCUGAAAUUACAGGGCCAAUAUUGACAUUUCACAACCAUACACAUGUGUAUAAUAAAUAUUGUACUAGUUACCAAAUUAAGUAUUACGAUACCUAGUACCGUAGUUAUUAUAAUACUUAGUAUUACACUUUGUAUAAAAGCCAUGCAAAUGUGUAUACACUCUUAUAUACGGGUUUGUAUACCCCUAUACACAUUUGUAUGAUCCGUACAUCUCUCCGUACAAAGUUGUACAACUAGUCGUCGGAAAUGUUUUCUAGAAACGUAGAGCCAACGACGGUGAUCAGGUGGGUACAAAAAUUUAAUAUUUAUUGGGUGGCCAACAACGGAGGUUAGAAUCGCUAGGAAAUUGAUCGGGUAACUUUCCAACGAUCGGAGAUAGCUGGAUUUUUGGUCAAACAAGUAUAUUUAAAACAACAUGACUAUAUUACCCCUGAUAAAUCUUAACCCUUAGAUCAUAUGGAGAACCAAGGGCUUAAAUUGCUCCUAGAUCAAAUCCAAAAAGCAAUGUACCGGAUCCAAAAUCGGACUCCUUCCUUAGGAUGCUUUAAGGUAAAAAAACGACAAAUCAUUAGAUAGAUUGGUGGUGGGCUUAAUUUGAACUAUUCCUUAAAUUGCGGGUUGCCAUACUCUUCUCUCGGCAGGAAAGUGAAAGAACAGACUAGUCCCCUCCUGAAGUAAAUGCUGCUACUGCUUCCUAAUUUUCCACAAAAAGUCAAGGGUAAGUGAAGAAGAAGUAACUAAACCUGGAUAGGAGAGAUGUGACCGGCAAAGAAGUGGUCAGCAGAGAAGUAUCUCGUGCCCAACUUUGGACAAGCACUUGAUUCAGCGAGGCAAGCACGAAUGCCAACCCAGUCUCUGGAGUCAACGACAUGAUCCCUGAGCCAGGAGGAGAACCCUUCGAUUCGAAACUCCUUGUAGCCACGGCCAGGGAUGUAGACGCUGCCAUCAGGACGAGUGACCACGAAGGCGAAAACCAGGAGUACAAGGAGAAGGAUGAUGAGUAUGGCCAUACAGCAGAGGUAGAAGGCCAGCAGGGAUUCCUUGUAGCAGUAGCCGCCGACGAAGCCAGUGAGGGAGACUACUAGGACAAGGACUCCGAGGAGGACGAGUGGC
rnacentral:lncRNA from 1 species